rnacentral:lncRNA from 1 species
GAUGCACGCCUGUUGCGUAGCAAAUGAUGUGGAUUGAAGUCCCGAAAGGACAAUCCUUUGACAUGUCAAUAUUGAUAUUAUGCACGCCUAAUGCGUAGCAAAUUAUAUGGGUUAAAGUCCCAUAAUAUGGGUUAAGGUCCCAGAAAAUAAUUGACAUGUAUGUAUUAAUCUGUGACAUGCCUUCAGCAUGACAAAUAUAUGAGUUCUAAAUGUUCCAACUCCCUAAAUGGAGAUUAUCCACGCCCUACUGCUAAAUAACGCUCCAAUGGAGGUUAUAAUCCACAUUCUCACAUAAUAAAAACCCCAUGAAAUGGCUUGGGUACCCAAAGGCAAAUAAAUGCUUAUAAUUGAUGCAUGCGCAUGCACAUGAGAAUGGUGGGAUCAUGAAUUGAUGAAUGACAAUUUUUGGUUUUGGAGUAGCUACUCAAAUCAUCAAUGGGCUGUGUUGAUUGGAACCACGUUCAAUUAUUAAAUGUCGACAAUAUCAUUGGCCAAAAUGGAAUGAGGUAAUUCCAUUAUAGAUGAGAAUGAACGUGAAAGAACAAACCCACAGUACGAACCCCAAAAGAUGUUAAUACUGAAAUUUAUACUUGGGUGUUCGGAAUAAAAGGGAAUAUGCCUACUUUGUAUGACACACUGUUUCUGGCAGAAACAAGGAAUGUUGGGUUUUCUCCAUAUUUACAGAUUCAAUUGUGCCCCCCCCCCCCCCCUAUUACACAAUUACGGAGACCAACAUAUUAUCUUUAAGGGUUAUUAAAUGCACGGAGCAUAUUGCCAGAAGCAAUUUCCUAAAGAUGUAUAAAUAGCUGGAUUAAAGCUAUAUAAUGUGUCAUAAAGUUUAAUCCCUUUUAGACAAAAUCCGUUGAGAGGAUUGACAUUGCAUAAUGCAAGUCCCUAAAGGACAUGUGCUUGAAGCACAAAAUUUGUACUCAAUAUUAAUAUGCAUAAAUUACCUCAGUGAGUACAUUGAUUAUAAUGUGAUUGCAACACAUUAAAGCUUCUGCAGAAUUCACGAAAUAUUUAUCUCGACUUAAAAAUCGAGCAUUAUGCCAACGAGAUUCUUGCUUAUACUACGAAAGUAUUGAAGCAUUUUUAUGAGGAUUAUCCGUUGGACACUUUAAGGAUUUUCCGGAAGUAUAUUGGACCGUACAUCGUAUUUUCCAGAUAGAGCUCAACUCCAUCACCAUCAUUUUGGGAUGAUGUGAGGCAUAUUUGAUGCUAUCUCAGCAUAACACCAUAUAGGGGCAUAUUUUUUUUGAGUGAACUUACAAAUAGCCCAAGUGUUAUUAGAUAUGUGGACUCUGGAAAUCUCUAUGGUCGCUUACUGGAAAAAGCUAGUCAUGAAGUUUUCAGGGGGAGAUAUUCAUCAGGGGGAGCGUGGUUUUAAUAAAGACCUUCAUACACUGUACUCUUUUUCCUUCAUCCAGGUUUUUAUCCCACUGGGUUUUUCCUGGUAAGGUUUUAACGAGGCAGUGUCGCUCAAGAUUGACUCACAGAAGCAGUGUCAACUACGAUAUUCAGAAAGGUGAUCAACAGUAUGACUUAAAGAUAUUUUGCCGAGCAUCAGGGGGAGCGUGCUAUCAAUAAAGAUCUUCAAACACUGUACUCUUUUUCCUUCGUCCAGGUUUUUAUCCCACUGGGUUUUUCCUGGCAAGGUUUUAACGAGGCAGUGUCGCACGCGCGUCAAUAUACAUAGAAUUUUAUGUUACACAUGAUUAUGUACUCUUUUUCCCUUUGACCAGUUUUUUGUCCCACUGGGUUUUUACUGGCAAGGUUUUUAACGAGGCAUAUUCCAUAUCAUUUGUGGUCUCCAAGGGGGAGUGUUGUAAAUGUGGAGUUGUGGAGUCCCCAAAUGCCUAUAAAAGGCUUCCCCCCUUCCCUACUCAAUAUACACAUUUCAGAUAUACUGAAGAAUGAAAACAUCAGAUUUCUAUGCUUGAUCUAUCCCAAUUCCCUCUCUACAAUCUCUUUAGUUUAUAACACACAGGACAUUUCACUAGUAUUAUAUUCUUAAGAGCAUUUAUGCUCUCCACCCUUAAUUGGUGGUGUGCAUUACCAUCACAUUAAUUUAAUGAUAAUUAAGUGUGGUGAGAAAAAUGUUCUCAUACGGCCUUAUCAACGAAUUUAUUAGAGUCUUCGCAUUGGGAAUUAGUGGUGAGUAGGAACCAUUAAUGCCAUGGACCACUCAAGCAUCUAAUAAACAAUUGCAUUAUUGAACCUACAUCUGGUAAUACAACAAAUAUAAUCGUAUUAAACUUUUAACCCGGCCGGCAUAUAUUCUUAUAUAUUCGUCACCAUCGUUGCAAGCUCCAGAAAUACCAACCUCAUAUAAUUUCCAGUCAAAUUCGAAGGUACCAAAAAAAAAUUAUCCCAAAAACGAAAAGGAAAAUCAGGGAUGGAAGGCCAAGAGCACAUUGUGAUGCUGCCAUUUAUGGCUCAAGGCCAUCUCAUACCAUUCCUUGCACUGGCAAGGAAAAUCCAACAAAGAACAGGAUUCACAAUCACCAUUGCCAGCACCACCCUCAACAUCCAAUACCUCAGUGCAACCAUUGCCUCAACCUCAAACUCUCAAUCGGACUCCAACAUCCAUUUGGCUGAGCUUUCAUUCUGCAGUACAGACUAUGGCUUGCCCCCGAACGCCGAGAGCACGGAGGACUUGCCUCUAAGCAAAAUAGGAGAUUUUGUUGCUGCAUCAACAAGUCUUGAAGCUCCUGCUCACCGCCUAAUCUUGGAUAUCAUCGCAAAAGAAGGCCGCCCACCACUUUGUAUUGUCUCUGAUAUGUAUUUUGGAUGGGCAGCUAAUCUUGCAAAUAACUUGAGCACUGUGCAUGUGACUUUCACUACAGGUGGUGCCUAUGGCUCUGCAGCCUUGGUGUCUAUUUGGCUUAGCCUCCCACACCGUUGUACAGCUUCAGAUGAGUUCCCAGUGCCGGGGUUUCCAGAGAGUUAUCGUUUUCAUAUCUCUCAGUUGAAUCCAUAUUUAAAAGCUGCAGAUGGUAAAGAUUCUGGCUCUAGGAUUUUUCAGCCCCAGAUUUCACUUUCUACGAAAUCUUUUGGUUGGCUGUGUAGUACUGUUGAGGCAAUUGAGCCCUUUGGAUUGGAGAUCUUGAGGAAUUACUUGAGGCUUCCUGUUUGGUCCAUUGGACCUCUUCUUCCUACAGAUGCACUAAAGAACUCAUCGACUUUGGAUUCAAGUGUUUCAAGGCAACGUGCAGGAAAAGAGUUGGGCAUACCUGCUGAAACAUGCCUUAAAUGGCUCGAUUCGCAUGGUUCGGAUUCUGUUAUCUACAUCUCAUUUGGUUCCCAGAACACUAUCAGCGCCACCCAAAUGAUGGAGCUGGCUAUUGCUUUAGAAGAAAGUGGAAGGCCUUUUAUUUGGGUCAUAAGACCUCCUGUGGGAUAUGACAUGAAGGGAGAGUUCAGGGUAGAGUGGUUGCCCCAAGGAUUCGAAGAUCGAAUGAGCAAAAGAAAACAAGGGUUGUUGGUGCACAACUGGGCACCGCAGUUGGAGAUUUUGUCACACAAGUCCACAAGUGUGUUUGUUAGCCAUUGUGGAUGGAAUUCAGUGAUGGAGAGCUUAAGCCAGGGCGUGCCAAUUAUAGGGUGGCCAUUGGGAGCAGAGCAGGCAUUUAAUUCAAAGAUGUUGGUGGAGGAGAUGGGUGUGAGUGUGGAGCUGACAAGGGGAGGGCAGAGUGAUAUUGCUCGGAAGGAGGUGAAGAGACUGAUAGAAUUGGUAAUGGACAAAAGUGGCAAAGGAGGAGAAAUGAGGGAAAAGGCUUGUGAAAUUAAGGAGCAGAUAAGAGCAGCAAUAAGAGAGGAGGCUGAAGACAAGGGAUCUUUUGUUAAGGCAAUGGAUGAUUUUGUUGCUACCAUUCUAUCAACCAGACAAGGAUUAUAAAAUUCAGAAAGUGUAUUAUUUGUUAGGUCUUCUCAGGAGGAAAUGGAAGGAAACUUGCAAUUUUGAAGUCAUUUGAGAAACCACAAGUGGCUCGCAAAUUGCGCCACCUAACCUAAGUGUGUUUCUGGAAACUAUUGAAUUGGUAUGAAGAAUUGCAUUGAUUUUUCGCAUUUGAAGAACAAAACCUCAUGAAAAGAACAUACAUGAGGGUCAUAUUCAAUGAUACCAAGAUAGAGAUCAUUGCACCAAUACUGGCAAAAGUAAGGAAUACACAAAAGGCCUCAACUUAUGUGUGGGGUUUUAUCGCAAAAAGGGUCGAUAAAAGUUUAGUAGUUGAACCACUCAGCAUAUAUUGUAUUUUAUAUUAUCAAAGUUCCGAUGUGAGACUUUUUUUACAUUCUUCAACAAAUAUGAGUGUAGGAUACUUGGUACUAUAUAUUCCUGUUCUUUGAGAUAUAUGAGAUUCCUUGGACCUAAGUCAAAGAUGAAGCUAUCUAGUUCCUCAGGAUUAUGACGAAGGUUGGGAUUGUAUUUCAUCCCUUGAAAGGCUGAUAUUAGGAUGGAAUAGAGAAAUCAGAGGAUUCUAUAUAUCUGCUAAAAGUGGUUCCCUGCUUUACCCUGAAUGAAUCAUAAUUUGAAGGCUCACAUUCAACAUAAUUCACAAAUCAAAGGUGCAAUAGAGAAAUUUUUCAAGAGUAGAGGAGCUUAAAAAGCAUCCUCCCUUAAGACAUGGACAAACCAUCUAGCUCUAAGAGGGAGAUGAAAAAUUCCAAAAAAACAGAGAGUAUUCCUUACUAGAAAUGUUAUCUUUUCACUGUAUAAUAUGGUUGUUUUAUCCCCCCGGCCCCUGAGUUUCUAAUAAAUACUAAUUCUUUUGGCCUUCUAAAGUGAAGCUGAUACUAUAUGUUCUAGGCUUAAUUUGGGGAUCUUAAAAUUAUCGUGGUCUAUCAAGUUCAAAUCCCCAACCUAUAAGAGAGAACCAUAUAUGAAUAAUGAAUGUAGCAUCUAAUGAAUGGCAUUACACCCUCACUACUACAAAAAGUGAAAAAGACGACCAGAAAACAACGACGGUCUAAGUGAAAACCGUCGUGGUUUAUAAAAAGACGACGGUUCUAAAAACACCGUCGUGUAAUACAACCUUAGACAACUAAAAAAUGGAGUUUCAAAUGGCUGUUCAAAAACAACGACGUACAUAAUUAAACAACCGACGUCUAUUUGAAACAGAUUUCCGCAGUGUAAAAUCAAUGCCAACAAAGAACGGCAGAAGUUAUGAAUCGACCGACGUAGAAAGUAAAGACGACGAUUUCAAUAAAAACUGCCGUUUUUACUCAUAAAAUAACACGACGAGGUUUUCGUAUAAGACGCCGUAUAAUUACAAACAAAUCCACGGCUUUAAAAUACAAAAUAUCGCCGUAUUAAAUUAAUUUACAACGACGGAAAAUAUAAAUAUAACGACGUCAUUCUCGUAUAGUUCUACGACGUUAUCUUUAAAUCGUACAAUAAAAUUUAUCGUCGUAUUUAUUCAUUUUAUACGUCGUACCUUUAAUUUUAACGGUCGUCUUAAUAAGAAUUUUUGUUAACAAUUUAUUUCUUUGAUUUUCUUAUCCUACGUCGGUAGAUCUACUUAAUGACAAGAAUUGAAAUAACCACGACGGUUUAUAUAGAACACCGCCGACAUAAUCAGAUUUGUCUGAGAUCCCAAGGGUUACGAAAUCUUACCAGAUGGAACUCUGUUCCACAUCAUAAUCUUAACAGAUGACACAGAUUUGCAAAUAUUGCGUCGUGUUAGUUUACAAAUUCUAGAACAUUAAUUUCCCUCAUUUUAAAUUUCCUCGGGAAAGAAAAAUCUAUUUAUCACGCUUUGGAAUUGAAAACUAAAACUGAAAGAAUACGGGAAAAAAAACUCUAUUUAUAAUUUAAAAUUAAAAUCCACGUCGGUUGUAGUACACUUAACGACGUUUAACAAAAUAAUCUACGUCGGUAAUUAUAAAUCUACCGCCAUCUUAACUUAAUAUAGACGACGAUAAAAGACGACGGUAGAACAGAAAACCGCCGUUGUUUCAGUUUCUUUAACAUAUCUUUCUGCAGGACUUGUGUAGUUCAAAGCAUUGACAAUGUCUUCAUCAUAUCUCCCAGAAACUACUGAUUCAAUUGCUCAUGCUUUAGAGGCCAUCUGAAGCCAUUUCUAUUCUUUAUCGCAUUCUUGAAACCCAUCUUCUUCUUCUGAAGCUCUACGGAUAAAGGAAGAGGCUAUCACAAAUCCGACGGAUCUUCUUAGGCAAGAAAAUCAAGGAGAGGAUCAGGCACAUCUGAUCUUCAGAUUUCCCUGAGAAGCGAACUUUCCUUCGACAGCGAGUGGAGGCCAGGCUUGCAUCUCUUUUGAUGGAAAGCAAGGAGUAUUCAGAAGCACUAAGUGUCCUAUUUGAUGCGAGUAAGCUCAAUUUCUCUUUGAGAAAGACAUCCAAAUUAUUGUCUUUGAGACAUGAGAGACUGAGAGAGGAAGAACUUGGAACCUUAAAUGUAAACCGAAAAUGAAUGAAAGCGACAAAUUUAUAGAAUAAAUUUUUAAAACCAACGGCGGUCCUUACAAAAAAAACGCCGUUUAAAUUGUAAAAUCAACGUCGGUAUGAUAGACGUAUAUUACAGGAAUCCACGUCGGUAAAUUAAUAAAAACGACGUGUUAAAUAAUCUACCAUGACGCGAGUUAUUACUUAUGUACUUUAAUUUUUGAGUUUAUUACGACGGUACCUACAAACUACUGUCGUAUUUAUUUACCACGUCCGAAGUUAAAUGUACCGUCGUAUUUUGUAAUUUAUACGUCGUAGUUAUAUGUAACCGCCGUAUUAUUUUUUUGAAAUGGUUUUAUAUGUAAGCAACUUUUCGUCUACUUGACUUACACAUUAGUUGUUUUUAUAUUCUUAUUUUAUUUAAAUCUGUCAUCCAAAAAAGAAACUUUACAUAUUGCAGAAUAUUAAUUUCCUUCGUUUUAAAUUUCCUCCGGAAAAAAAACUCUAUUUAUAACGCACUGUAAUUGAAAAAUAAACUGAAAGGUCACGGGAAAAAAAAUUCUAUUCAUAAUUUAAAAAUUAAAAUCCACGUCGGUUAUAUUAAACCUAACGACGUUAAAUGAAAUGAUUCCACGUCGAACGAAAAAUAUUGCGUCGUGUUAGUUAAAAACGACGUAGUUAAAUGUAACCGCCGUAUUAUUUUUUUGAAAUGGUUUUAUAUGUAAGCAACUUUUCGACUUACACAUGCACUGUUUCCAAACCCGAUUAAAAAUUUCAAUCUCCCAGAGAAACCUUUUCGUCUUUUUUCCUUGUCAGAGCAUUGUCAGAGUUUCUCAUCGUCUUCCUCUCGUCUUCUUCGUCGUCUCUGAACUUAAACAUCGAUCAUCUUCCUCUUGCUUUCAUUGCACGCAAAAGGUAAGCUUUCAUUUUCACUAUUUUGGUUACUGUUUUGCAUGCUCAUACGUUUUUUGUUUGAAAAAUCUUUUGACCUUUUUUCUGGCCAAAAUCAUUUUACUUCUUUCCAAGUUUGAUAAAAUAUACAGACAAAGAGGGAAAGUUUCCAACUUUGAAGACAACUACAUCAACUAAAUAAGACGACGGUAGACCACGACGGUUCGUCAGUUGUUCUAGCGUCGUCUGAAAAUUGACAAAGUUGUUUUUAAAAUAAUAGUCUUUUUUUAUAUGCUUGUUUAAUUGCAGGUUUGAUUUCUCUGAACAAUGGUUUUUAUUUUUCCCUUAUUUGAUAAAAUAUAAAGAAAAAGAAACUAGGGUUAAUAUCUAAUAUAGACGACAAAAUAUCUUAUUGUUUUACGUCGUGUGAAUGUUAAUACCACGACGGUGUAUUACUAUUGACGUCGUAUGAACAUAAAUACCACGACGUUAUAUAAAUAAUAGUUUACCACGACGGUGUAUUACUAUUGACGUCGUGUGAACAUAUAUACCACGACGUUAUAUAAAUAAUGGUUUUAAACAUUUAUUACGUCUGAGAUUAUUUCAUUGCGUCGUCUAAAAUCAUAUCAUACGUCGUAUUUUUUUAAUACCGUCGUUUGUGUUCUUAAUGUUUUCCUGAAAUAUUUUCACUUGCAGUUUUGUCUGUUAAAAUGGUUUCUCAACAACAAACUAAGGAUUCUGGCUCCAAGAAGCUUGGAAUGGUAGCUCCUCAAGACAAGUCUUCGAAGGAGAUGAAGUCUUCGAAGAAGAUGAAGUUUGCUUCAUCAUCUGCUGAGACAGAACAAACCAGCCAGACAACAAUCUCUGAUGAUUCAAAGACUGGUCGAGGUAUGAGCACAAUGCCUCGUGUUGUGAAGAGAAAGCUUCAGAAACUGAGGCCAAUUGUUGAGUACAAUAAAAGGGGGAAAGGUGUUGGCCAAGCACAUAUUGAGAUGCAGUCGUAUAUUGGUGUGUUGGCACACUCCAGGAUCCCACUUGUGGACAAGAAAUGGUCCCAAAUCCCCAAGGAUAUAAAGGAGCAGAUUUGGGAAGCAGUUGACAUGGCUUUUGUCGUAGGCCAAGGGGGCAAGACCUCUGUUUUAGCUUCUGCUUCCAAGAAAUGGAAGGAUUUCAAGUCUACACUAACGAGGCAUUAUAUCCUUCCAUACACCAAUGACAGGGAGAAAUUAAGCCAACCCCCUGAAACAUAUAAAUUCAUAGAGAAAGCACAAUGGGAUGCCUUUGUAGCUUCAAGGCUAUCCAAAGAUUUUGAGUCUGUGCAUUCUCAACAUGCACAGAUUAGGGAGAAACUCGAGUACAAUCAUCGAUUGUCUCGAAAAGGAUAUGCUGGAUUGGAGGAUCAAUUGGAGGAAACCAUGCCUGGGGUAGAAAUUGAUCGAUCUACCUUAUGGAAGAGAGCUAGACAGGACAAACAUGGUAACAUCCCUGAUCCAAAGGUGGCAGAGAAAGCAAAAUUAAUUGUAAGCCUACUCACUCUGUUUUAAAUUUUUAUUAAACUGUGAAUUAUUCUUAUUACGUCGUAUGUUAUAUUUUUUGUCGUGUGAAUGAUAUUACCACGUUGAGAAGUUUUUAAAACGUCGUUAACGGUCUAAAUAGGAAUCACUACUCUGUUUUCUUUAAUUAUAGCAUAAGACGUCGGUUGUUUAUUCAUUUCGUCGUUUUAAAUAAAUAACCACGUCGGUGUAACUACCGUCGUGAUAAGUUAUAAUAACGUCGGUUUAUACGUUAUUGCGUCGUGUGAAAUUAUAUAAUACGUCGUUUGUACAUAAAUAACCGUCGUGUGUUUUUUUGUUUAUCUUUUUUUAGGAUGAAUUGCAGAAACAAGUCUCGGAAGGCAAAGUCAGAGUAGAUGGCAGCAAUGAUGUGCUGACCAUGGCUUUGGGCCCCGAGCAUCCAGGCAGACUGAGGGGAGUUGGUGCUGGUGUUUCCCCAAGGCAAUAUUUCAAUUUGCCCAAACCACAGAGGUUGAGCUUUGACGACCGUUUGAAGGACAGUUUAAGAGUUCUCCUUCAAGAAGAGACUAAAAAGAUGGAGGCUAAGGCAAGGGAAGAGGCCUUAAGGAUGGAGGCUAGGACAAAACAAUUGGUAGAGGCUGAGAGGGAGCAUUUCCUGAGUCAGCUUUCCCAAUUAAUUCCCAAUUUUGAUCCAAGCAUGCUUAAACCAAGAAUUAGCCAAAGCCCCAAAAAUUCAAUGUCUGACAAAGCUAGCUGCUCUGAAGGUGAUGUGAGAUCCCUACAUUUGGAGGAUGAUACUGCCAAAAUGGGGAAACAUCAGCCAGAUGAAGAGAAGGAAGAAGAAAAAAGAGAUGAAGAGAAGGAAGAAGAAAAUGAGAAAGAAGAUGAAGAAAAGCAUGACGACAAGGUAUGUUCACAUAACUUUGCCUUUUUUAUUUGUUUUUCAAAAUUUCAGACGUCGAUAUUUUUAUAUAAUCCGUCGUUUGUUUAAAACUUAGACGGCGGACUUUUUUUAAGACGUAAUAAAAUAUUUAAACGACGAUUUUUGCACUGUCGUUUAAAUGGUUUCAGACGACGCUUUAUUAAUAACACCGUCGUCUUUAUUGAAUUACCACGACCGUUUUUUCACCGUCGUUUAAAUCCUUUUAAGACGACGUUUUAUUCCUUAAACCGUCGUCUUUAUUGAAUUACCACGUCAUUUUUUUUAUUUCUUUAAACAGGUUAUUGAAGUUGGUGCUUAUUCAAAUAUGGAGGCGCCAUCUUCUUUAAAAACCCUUUGUCGUUUUGUGGAAACGACACUCCUGCCUGAGGAUAAGACACUCCAAUUUACAAUUGAUAAGGAGGUGUUUGGUGGUGAGCGCGAUACCUUCCUCCUGCCUGAAGAUAUUACACAAUUUGCAGGCAUGGAAGAAAUUGGAGCUACUGUAUUGGCUGUAUAUAUGAGGUUUGUACUUCUAAGAUAAUAACUCGUUGGUUUAUAUAUUGCGUCGUCUUAACUAACUAACCACAUCGUCUUAACUAACUACCGUCGUGAUAAUAUAUUAUAACGUCUUAUCUAUUUCAGUACGUCGUGUGAAUAUAUAAUACGUCGUUUUUUUAUACAUAACCGUCGUGUUUGUUUUUGCUGACUUGUUUAUAUUAUUUUAUGUAUUUAGGUACUUACACGAUGUUUUGAAACAAGCCAAUAUGUGCAGCAUGGUUGGCUUUAUUGACCCUGCUACAGUUAGUGCCAACUCUGGCACAAUAACUGAAAGAUCACGACUGGUAGCAGCUCGACUUCAGAAGACAGACGGUGAACAGCUUUUCAUGAUGCCUUACAAUCCAGGGUUAGUCUCCUUAGGAUUGUGUUUUUAUGAUUUUCAAUAAAUGACAGAUUAUAAACUAACCACGUCGGUGUUUUAUUUUAUUUAGUCGUUUGAAACUACUAACCACGUCGGUAUUUAUUUGUCGUCGUGAUAAAUGUAUAAUGUCGUCGUUAUCUACUUUAUUUCGUCGUGUGAAAUACUAUAAUACGUCGUUUUUGUAAAUAACCGUCGUUUUUAUAUUAAUUUUGUGCAGCCGUCAUUGGAUCUUGCUGAUUGUAAGAGCAAAGAAGGAGACCGUCUAUUUUCUGGAUCCUCUGCCAGGUCAUCGUGUGGUCGACGAAGAGGCGAAAAACAUCGUGAACAGUGCUUUAAAAAUAUAUAAUACCCACAUAGGCCGAGCAGGACGUAAAAAUGUAAUUUGGAAAACUCUCUCAGGCACACCAAAGCAACCCAGCAAUGUCGAAUGCGGGUAUUAUGUGAUGCGCUUCAUGAGGGACAUCAUCAUGGAUCCUUCCUUGGGGUUUGAGAAUAAGGUAAGAAGAAAUUACCUUCAUACAUUUCACGUCGUUUUUUGUAUUAUCAACGACGGUCAUGUAAAAUUAACGUCGUUGAAUGGAUAUACUACGUCGGUUAUGAAAAAUAUCGUCGUCUGUGAUUGAAUUUCUUUUUAUUUAUAAACCCUAAUAGUCAUUGUUUAUGCAGUAUGCCAAGGGAAACCAGGAAGCUUCAUACCCCCAAGAAGCCAUUGAUGAAGUCCGGAAUGAAUGGGCAGAGUUUGUUUUCCAAAUUAUUAAACAGGGCAAUUAUUGAACACUUGAUAUUUAUGUAUAAUGUACAAAUUUUCUCUAUAAUAUGUAAUGUAAAAAUUUGUUGAGGUUUUCUUAAAUUAAAAAAAAAACAAACAUACAAAUUGCUUAACCGACGUGUAAUACUUUUCCAACGACCUAAUAAAGUCAAAAACCGUCGUAUUUUGUUGUUUCGUGUUUUAAACAAAUACGACGUAAAAAUAUAGUUAGACGACGUUCUUUGAACAAUUGAGUCGUUUAAGGUUUACAACAUCUUCAAUUUCUUAAAGGUUCAGGGUAUCAUCGAAGACGUUUAUGUAACGACAGCGGUUAAGUCGUUGAUAUAUAUAUUUUACGUCGUAUAGGUAAAUAGCCGCCAUGGUUUCUCAUUUUAACGACGUCAUUUUAACGACUUAGUAGUCUAUUACAAUUUACAACGUCUACAAUUUAUUAACACCGACGUGGUUUGUUGUUGUGGUAAGAAUAUUUUAUUAUUUUUAUAUCAAAAUAUUCAAAAUAAAUUUAAAAUAAAUCAGAAAAUUGAAAAGUCAACUCCUAUGAAGUCAUUGAUAUAUUUUCUUCCACAUAAACCUUGAAAAAAUUCAUUUUGAAUAACAAAAAUUUAAAAUGACCAUCCAAAACAAAAUUAUUUUGAUGAGUCAUAAAAUCACUUCUAGUUUUAUGGUUUAGGGUUUAGAGUCUAGGGUUUAGAGAUUAGGGUUGUUAUUUAUUGGGGUUUAUUUUUAAAGUAUAAUUUUUGGGUAGUCUAGGGUAUAUGUUAGGCUUUAAAACCAUAAAACCUUUUAUAAACUUAAUUUUUUAAAUUGUAUAAUUUAGUUUUAUGGGUUUAGGGUAUUAAUUUUUAACGACGGUGGUUGCGUCGUGGAAUACAUAUUUUACGUCGUACAGAAAAACAUACGACAUGGUUUACUCUUUAAACGACGUCAUUUUAAUAUGUAAGUCGGUUUAUAUAAUUUACAACGUCUUUAAUUUCUUAACACCGACGUGGUUUUUCAGUCGUCGUUAUAUAAAAAAUUCAAAAUAAAUUUAAAAUUAAUCCGAAAAAUGAAGCUUCAAAAUGAACGGCCUUACGUUCUUAAUCCGAAAAAUGAAGUUUCCGUCGUGGAAUAUUAAAUUUACGUCGGUACGUGUAGAACUUUCGCCUUGGUUUUUCUUUCGACGUUUUAAAACGCGCGAACUCUAAAAAUUUUCGCGCGACCUAAAUUUUUUUAGAUUUGGCUCUUAUUCUUAUACUUCGAACCCUGAAACCUAAAAUUUUCAGAUUUCGCACGACAUAACUAUUUGAUCUUGUCAUUUUCCGCUAUGGAGAAAAUGAUGGGGAGCAAAUAGUACCUACGAAGGAAGAAACUGAUAAUGAAGAUGGGGAUUCGAGUGAUGAUUCUAGUAACGAUUCGAGUUAUAUUAGGUUGUUUUGUUAAAGGGUUUUAUGUGUAUGCUUUGCGAUCUGUUAAUAAUGUGCUUAUAGGUAUGGGUUCAUGGAUUUUCUGUUUAAUGGGUUCAUGGAUUACAUUAUCUGUUAUGUUGAAUUGGGAAUGGAUUUAAUUUUGUCGUAUCUUUUAAUCACCCUAUGUUAUGUUGAAUUGGGAAUGGAUUUAUUGUUUUCAUGCUUGGUUUCAUGUAUAUGUUGGUUUCUUGCUUGGUUUCAUAUAUAUGUUGUGUUCUUAAUGGGUUUUGUGUUCUUGAAAAUAAACUGAGACACGACGAAUUUUAAGGCAUACGACGACGAUUACACGACGGUUUUUUUAAACUACCGUCGUUGUAUUACUUAUACACGACGGUUUUUUCAUAAACCGUCGUUUGUAUUACUUAUAAUAGACGACGUCUGUUGAAAAUCCGUCGUCUAUAUAUGCCAAAUACGUCUGUUUUUGUUUAAAACCCGUCGUCUCUGUUGUGUAUUACUUGCGAUUAGAUCAUUGUAUAAUCUGCUAUAGUGAUGGUCAUUGCCUGUAUUUUCACUUUAUUAUAGAUAAUAGGUUAUAGUGUCGGAGAUGGAUAAGUCAUGGAUGCACUCGGAUAGAAGAUCGAAGGCAUAUGAAUUUGGGGUGGAAGCAUUUUUGAACUUUGCUGUAGAAAAUCUUCUAACUACAACACAUAUCCGUUGUCCAUGUGUUAAAUGUGUUAAUUUGAAGUUGUUUGGGGUUGGAAUUAUAAGGGAUCACUUAUACUUUAAUGGAAUUGACCAAAGCUAUAAGAAUUGGACAUUUCACGGAGAACCUUGGGAAGCAACUACUAAUGCUAGUAGAAAUGUUGAAGAAGAUGAUGGCCAUAGUAGGUACAGUUUUGUGUCUGAAGAAAUUGAUAUGGAUGAUAAUGAUUUUGGUGAUUUUGGUUCAGAUCCGUAUGAGUUUGCCAAUGUGAUUGGGGAUGGAGAUCAACCAGUGUACCCUGGUUGUAGAAAGUACACGAAGUUAUCGGCAUUAGUGAAGUUGUAUAAUUUGAAGGCAAAACAUGGGAUGAGUGAUGUCUGUUUUACAGAAUUAUUGAUACUUCAAGGCGAUUUGCUUCCAGAAGGAAAUACAAUACCAACCUCCAUGUAUGAGGCUAAAAAGACUUUGUGUGCAUUGGGGCUGAGUUAUGAGAAAAUGCACGCAUGCCCCAAUGAUUGCAUCUUGUAUAGGAAGGAGUAUGAGGAUUCAACUAAUUGUCCUACUUGUGGUAUCUCAAGGUGGAAGGAAGGCAAAGAUUCAAUCUUGAAAGAGGGUGUGCCAGCGAAGGUGGUGUGGUAUUUUCCCCCAAUUCCAAGGUUUAAAAGGAUGUUUCAAUCACAUGAGACAGCUAAGAGUUUGACUUGGUGGCAUGCUGCUAGAAAAUCAAUUGACGGUCAGAUGUCUCAUCCGGCGGAUUCCCCGUCUUGGAAACUUCUUGAUGAUAAAUGGCCUGAGUUUGGUAAUGAGCCGAGAAACUUGAGAUUGGCUCUUUCAUCUGAUGGAUUCAAUCCCCACAGUUCUCUAAGUAGCAGAUAUAGUUGUUGGCCGGUUAUCUUAGUUACAUAUAAUCUCCCUCCAUGGCUGUGCAUGAAACGAAAGUUCAUGAUGUUAACCUUAUUGAUUUCCGGUCCUAAACAACCCGGAAAUGAUAUAGACGUCUACUUGGAGCCUUUGAUUGAUGAUUUAAAAUCCUUGUGGGUUGGGAUUAGAGGAGUGUAUGAUGCACAUAAUGGAGAAUACUUUACACUCAGAGCUGCAUUAAUGUGGACAAUUAAUGAUUUCCCCGCCUAUGGAAACUUAUCUGGUUGUGUUGUUAAAGGAUAUAAAGCUUGUCCAAUAUGCGGCGAUGAUACACCUAGUCACAGGUUGAAAAAUGGCCACAAAAUUUGUUACAUUGGGCAUAGAAAAUGGUUACCAAUCAAUCAUCCAUAUAGGAGGCAACGUGCAGCUUUUAAUGGGAAACCUGAAUAUGGCAUACCUCCCGAGCCAUUAACCGGAGAAGAAGUGCUGCAUAUGGUUGAAAAUGGUGACAGAGUUUGUUGGAAGAAGAAAUCAAUAUUCUUUGAUCUCGAGUAUUGGAAAUACCUUCCUGUAAGGCAUGCCCUAGAUGUUAUGCACAUUGAGAAGAAUGUUUGCGAUAGUAUCAUUGGUACAUUGCUGGAGAUCCCUGGAAAAAAUAAAGAUGGGAUUGCUGCUCGAUUAGAUUUAUUGAACAUGGGGGUCAAAACUGAUUUGCAACCCGAGUAUGGAGAAAGACGUACUCGUUUGCCUCCUGGGCCUUGGAAUUUGUCAAGAGCAGAGAAGAGAGAGGUUUGCAAUUCUUUCUAUGGUAUGAAGGUCCCUGAAGGUUAUUCUUCAAAUAUUAAAAAUCUUGUAUCUUUACAAGAUUCAAGACUUCUUGGCCUUAAAUCACAUGAUUGUCAUACCUUAAUGCAACAAUUGCCCCCUGUGGCAAUUCGUUCUGUUUUGGAGAAGCCUGCAAGGUAUGCAAUAACUCGUUUGUGCUUCUUCUUCAUUGCUAUAUGUGCAAAGACUGUUGAUGUUUCCAAGCUAGAUAAGUUGGAAGAAGAUGUAGUAGUUACUCUGUGUUUGCUUGAGAAGUACUUUCCCCCUUCAUUCUUUGAUAUCAUGGUUCAUCUAGUAGUACAUCUUGUCAGAGAAGUUCGUCUAUGUGGGCCAGUAUAUUUUAGGUGGAUGUAUCCGUUUGAAAGAUAUAUGAAAGUGCUGAAGGGGUAUGUUCAGAAUCGUACUCGUCCCGAAGGUUGCAUUGCUGAGCGGUAUAUAGCUGAAGAAGCGGUAGAGUGUUGUACUCAGCAUUUAUCUGAUGCUAGUACAGUUGGAGUGCCUUCAAGCCAAAAGAUGGGACUUUCAAAGCCAUUAUCAGGUUGCACAGUGAGCGUAGUUGAUCAGGACCUGUUGAAUCAAGCACAUCUAUAUGUCUUGGAGAAUACGGAGGAAGUCCUACCUUAUAUCGAGUACGUAUGAGCUUUAUUCUUUAAGUUUCCAUUUUAAAUUAUUUCUUAUGUUUAUCUUCUAUAUUUAGGACCGUAAUGCUUGAAUUUUUCGUGUCAUGUAGGCAACAUAUGAUUCACAUCAAGACUGCUUAUCCAAAAUUUAGAAAGAGAACAAAGUGGCUGCAGGAUAAGCACAAUAGCACUUUCAUUCAAUGGCUACGCUUCAAGGUAUAUAUUGUUGAAUAAAUAUUUCUCUUUUAAUUUUCUUCUUAUUUAUAUGUUAGAUUGAAUUAAGAUAUGAUUAAUUUGCAGGUUCAAAGUGAACUUGAGGAAGACAAUCAUGGCGUAUCAGAAAAUUUAAGGUGGCUAGCAGCUGGUCCAAACAUGCCAGUGCCAUUAUAUAGGAGCUAUCUUAUUAAAGGUAUUAAAUUCAAUAUCAAGGCACAAGAUGAUGUGUGGACAACUCAAAAUAGUGGAGUUUAUUUACUUGCACAUACCAUGCAAGUUGCUAGUGCCAAGGAUAAAAACCCAAUUCUCUCAAAUAUGGGUUUCUAUGGUGUCAUUCAAGAAAUUUGGGACCUUGACUACCAAAAGUUUACAAUCCCAGUCUUUAGGUGUGAUUGGAUAGAUAGUUCUGGUCUUGUAGUCGACGAACUUGGAUUUACCCUUGUAGAUUUGAGUAAAAUUGGACAUAGGAAUGACCAAUUUGUUUUGGCUUCUCAAGUCAAACAAAUAUUUUUUGUUGACGACCCGAUGCAUCGUGGUUGGUCGGUAGUGUUAUCAAUGCCUAAUAGAGAAUAUAAUGAUGUUAUUGGUGAUGAAGUCUUAGGUGAUGUGAUAAUUGAGUGUGAGCCAUUUACUAGAGGGAUGCCAAAUGUUGACACAUUUGAUGAACUGGUGGGUGAGUUAGGCGGUCAAAAUAUUCGAGAUGGGUGUGAAGAUAUAUGGAUUGAAUGAUGCUUAUGUAAUUGGCAGUGUAUGACAUUAAUUUUGUAAUAUAUUGUAAUGUGAUUUCUUCACUUUCUACGUUCAAAUAAAACACGACGUUAUUGUGAACCAGUUAUUCAGCAUAUUUACCGACGUCUUAAAGCAACGUAACAAUGAAGAACCACGAACAAUUGUGAAGCAAUUAUUCAGGAUAUCACGUCGGGGAAGGAUUAAGAACCGCCAUGUAAUUCAAAAUAACACGACUCCAAUCCCAUAAUACCGACGUCUAAAAAACGAGAUAUAUAAUCUGAACGUUAAAAAAUACGACGUCAUCAUACAUUUUCCACGUCGCAAGUUCUUUUAUAAACGAAGAGGAACGAAAUGAAUUCCGACGGAAAUUCAUUAUAACCGCCGUCUAAUAACAAUUAAACGACGUUAUUUGUAAUACGGCUCUCAUCAUAAUCAACGCCGUCUAUAUGUUCUGUAAUACGGCUCUCAUUUAUUUGGAACCGACAUUGUUUAGAAGUUCAACGUCGUCUAUAUUAUUAAGUGCGUCGUGAGUAAUGAUGAUAGAUAUAAAUACAACGUCGACUAUAUAAAUGCCACCGACGUUGUUUCGCAUUUCAACGUCAACUGUAUAAAUACAUACGUCGUAAAUAAUGACACUGACAACUAUUUCCACGUCAUCUUUUUUAGAAAAAUCGAAGUGGAAAAUUUAUUUCACGAAGGUUGUUUGUAAAUAAGAGACGUAGUAUAUUUCAAUAACGUCGUCUUCUCAUGUAUUUAAAGACGUCAUAUUUUUUCUUGUCGUGUAAAUUAUAUUUAACGGCAUAAAAUUUUAGUUGUCGUCGUUGUAUGUAUAUCUUGCGGCCUUGUUCUUUUAACAUGUGUCAUAUUUUUCCUUUUUAACGACGGUGAUUUGUUUGAGUUGGUCGUCUAUUCUCAUCCUCGACUAUUUUCUAGAACUUUAGCAGACUAAACACGUCUGUUUUUAUUGUUUUCCGACGUUGUUUUAUUUAACAACGUCUAAUAUUUAUCGUCGUUGUUUGUUUCUGAAAAUAUGACGUAUAAAUUUUGUAAUACGACUCUCAUAUAUUUGUAACCGACGUUGUUUCAUUUUUCAACGUCUACUCAAUAAAUACAUACGUCGUAAAUAAUGACAUUGACAACUAUUUCCACGUCAUCUUUUAUCAAAAAAUCGAAGUGGAAAAUUAAUUUUACGACAGCUGUUUUUAUAUAUGCGACGUAGUAGGUAUCAAUAACGUCGUCUUCUAAUGUAUUUAAAGACGUCAAAUUUUUUAUUGUCGUGAAAAUGAUAUUUAACGGCGUCGUUUUUUUAUUUUCGUCGUUGUAUGUCUAUCUUGCGGCCUUGUUCUCUUAAUAUGUGUCAUAUUUUUCCUUUUUAACGACGGUUGUUUUAGAGAGUUGGUCGUCUAUUCUCAUCCUCGACUGCUUUUUUAGAUCUUUUUGCAGUACAAAGACGUCGUUUUGUAUUUGUUGAUGACGUUGUAUAUUUUAACAACGACGGUGAUUUAGCGUCGUGGUAUAUGAGGGAAAAGAUGACGGUGGAUUCCACGACUAUUGAAAAAUCGAAUACACGACGGUGAUUUACCGUCGUCUUUUUGCUUUUUUGUAGUAGUGCCUAGUCAUUUCCAUAAUAGUGAAGUUAAUGCUGCCAAAUUGUCUCAUCAGGUGGAUUCUCUUGUUUUAAAACGGGGUCAAGCUUAACAAUCUGGUAAGACAAAAUGGUAUCUGAGAAGGAAGGAAAAUAUUAGUACCUAUUACCUAUAUAUACACACACAUAAAGCUUCAAAACCAGGAUAUGCUAGACCGUUCCAACCACAGCUCAAUUUUGUGUUUUUUUUUCUUUUUCUUUUUUUAAUUUUAUAAAUUUAUGGUUAUCCUCAUUCCAAAAAGGUUUAUUACUUUUAUGGCAUGUGAUAGGAUUUUUAGUACUUGUGCAAACAGUGUUAAAAAUCACAUAAAAUACUUGCAAGAAUACAAGGCUAUUGUAGUAUAGAUGCUCAUGCAAGGUCGUUUUCCUCAAGGACUAAUUAGCAAUUUAUGUAAAAACAAAUUCCAAUUACUACUUAAAAUAAAAAGUCAAGAAAGAUGAUUAUAAAUUUGGUGGAAUCUAAAAAACAAAUAUUAAACAAAAACAAAUACGAUUGAAAGAAAGAGUUUUGAAUAUCAAUUUAUAAAAACACUAGGGUUUCACCAUCACCUAGCAAUCCUAUGAACUUUUACCAAUUACUUAUGAUUUGCACAUGCCACUUUGAAGGUUAGGUUUUCCUAAUGUAUAUUCUACUUGGAACCUCCAACACAGAACGUAUAUCCAACAUGCAACCCGUCCGGACGUUCGGAUCAAAUCUGAACAUGAAAGACUCAUUAAGUUUUGUGAAAACCCUUUGAAAAACCAUGCAACCCUUAAGACGUGGUGUUCAUCUUAAGUGAAAUUACAAUUAUUAAUCACAAGAAGCUAGCAUCAAUUUCAGGGAACCUUCCGACCAAAAUUGCAUCCAAUUACUUUUCUAAAGAUCCUAAUGGUGAUCAGGCAUUAAGACAAUUAGAUAGUUUAAAACAGUGAUUAACAAUUCAAAAUACGCAUGCACUCAUCAUAAGCAAUUAAAUAAAAAUCACAUAUUCAUGCUAAGUUUCAAGGCUUCACCCUAGCAAAAGGAAUUUAGUUACGCAUACUCAUAAUUGAAAUCCAAGAAAAUAUCAUUAAGAAGAAAAGAACGAAAACACCUGAAAGUUGUGAAAACCCAAAACCCUAGCAAUUGCUCUCUACAAUGCAAAGUUCAAAAGUAAUUAAGAAGUCCUCAAUUCCCUGUGAGAAAGAGCUUAAAUACCCCUUAAAACCUAGCUGCCAAUGUACAGCUUUUCUAUCCCCACAAGGAAACUAAUUAAAAUAAAAUAAUACUAGGAAAUAAAGUCCAAAUUGGAAUAGGAGAAUCUGCCUAAAAUCUGCCCAGCCACGUUUUGGCCCCAAAUCUCCUCCAAAUCUGGCCCAAGAUAGCUUGUUUUAAAGAUAAAAAUGUUCUGAACACUUCUCUAGAAGGCUACGAACCCAUCCGAGGUCAUCUUGGGCUCCAAAAACGCAAUAAAAGCCCAACACGUCACUAUUCCAGCACCGCGCACUGCUCCUUUAUUUUAUUGCCAGAAAAGAACCGCUUGGAAGAAAAAUCUGAAAUUUUGAUACGAUCAAGCUAAGUGACUCAAGAACGUCCUCCAACUGGAAUUACUCCAAAAUUCCUCAAUUUGAUUAUGUUUUGCUCUAGAGAGAGUCGAAAGUCCUAUAUUGGAAAUAUAAUUCAAAGUAUCAAAAUUCUUCCAAAAUAUUAACCAAAAUAUACUAAGAAUGAGGUUAAAUAUAUAAUAUAAAAUAUGUCCAUCAGCAUGUUUACGUAUCAGUAAUGGAGAAAGUAAGGAAUCAGAGAAUUUAGGAAUCGGGGAACUACUGAAUCGGUAUGAGAAAAAUCAUUCUCAUUAAGCUGUUUACUAAACAUAUAAAAUUAGCAAAGGAAUGGGGUUGAUUCUCAUUGUUAUUGUUUACAAAUUUGCAUGAAUUAGAAUCCAAAUUAAUUUGAUUACUAAAAUGUCCGGCACAUUUUCACCACAACACAUAUAUAAUUCUCAAAUUAGCUAACGAGACCAAACUAAUCCUGCAACAAACCAGUAAGGCGGUGUAAACAUGAGGAAUUAAUAUGUUGAACAAGAUGAACAACAAGAGCUCAGUUCAAUUAUAAUGUUAAUAACACAUUUGUCCAGAGCCAAUUUCAAACGAAAAAAUAAACUCCAAUAAAUAUAUACUUUUCACCUACAUAGCUAGUAAACAAUCAAAUAAUAAUAACCUGCAUAAUCUUUAUACGAUUAAAUACAUAAUCUUCGUACUACCAAAAAAGAUAUAUAUAAUCUCCACAAAAGUCUUUAUCCAUGACCGUACUUUGUUUUGUGAUGAAUGUGAAGACAAAAGAUAGAAGAAGAUAGAUAGAUAGAUAGAUAGAUAGAUAGAAUGACUUUCAUAGCACAAGGCAUUGCAGCUACUUGUGGGAGGUUGUGUCUGCAACGCUAACAUGAAAAAGAAGUUGGAGCGUCUCGGAACUUCUUAGUGUGAGUUUUUAUUUUUUUAAGGGUUUGGGGUGUUUUGGAAUUAUGGUAAAGUGGUAAGGGUAUUUUUGGAAGUUAUUAAGUGAAAACAAGAAUGGGAAUCGUAUUGACUACUUCCCCCUAGUUAAUCUGAUACCUAGUUUUAAGGGGAUGUGAUUAUGGAUUUUGAGGUGGGGCCCACUUAUUUUUUCAUUCCUAAUUGCAAGUAAAAGUAUGGGAAGUCAGGAAUAGAAAUCAUUCUCUUUCCUUCAUACCCAUUACUGAUACGUAAACAUGCCCUUAGUGGUUGUUUGAUAACGAUUUCAUUUUCAGUUUUCAUUUUCACCUUUUCGAAAACUGAAAACUGAACACAUGAGUGGUAACAUAUUUCGUUUUCAGUUUUCAAAAUCACCCUUAUUUUUUAAAACAACUUGAAACUGCCUUCAGUUUUUGUUUUUUUUUUGGGCUCCAUUUUCAUUCAUUAAUUUUACAUCACGACGCAUGCAAUGCGCUCUUGUUACCAAAACUCGGAAUUUGGGACCUCCCGACUUAGACUCGGCCACUCAAUUCUUGCAUUCAGCCACAAACCCAGUUCAAGACUCGUGACCUCAAGAUCCAACAUUCACCAAAAAUCAUCCUAAUUCGGAAAAAUUCAUCGAAAAAUAGUAUGAACUUUUUGUGACAUCCACUUUCAUUCUAUAAUCCCAAAUUCACAAUUAGACUCCGAAAAAUUCCGUUUUUAAGUUCCACAUAAAACUGAAAAUUGAAAAAAGUUACCAAACAACUUUUGUUAAGUUUCACUUUUCACUUUUUUUACAACUAAAACUAGUUACCAAACAAAUAUUCUAUUUUCUUCUAUUUUAUAAAAAUUAAAACUGAAAAUUGAAAAUUAAAAUGGGCCCUUUUUUAGGGUUUUGUCUUUUGAAUGACACAUUCGAUGAAAGUUUAAAACUUUUCUAACAUUUGUUCAAAUAUGCUUUCUAAGUUCAUAUGACCUAAUGCUAAAGAAAGAUUACAUACUUUGUAUCAUCAGCAAAAUUAUUUAAAGCACAUCGAACAGUUCAAACUAAAAUAGAUAUUAGAAUCUAAAUCAUAAUUAAAGUUUAUUCCCUCACCUAAAUUGCAAACAAAUUCAAAGCUAGGGCCAUACCACCAUCCAAACCAUAUAACAAAGCUUUCACAUACCGAAACUUGCACCCACAUAACCCACUGUGAUUAAUAAGAAUUGUAUAGCAAGAAGUGACCGGACCUGAUGAUUAUCGAGCUGAAACUGCAAUGUAGUACAUGUUCUGCUUUAUCAGGGCUCUCCAUAAAUUUGUUGAGGUUUUCAUAUUUGAUAAAAACAUGAACUCUGCUUGACUUGGCUUAAGCUUAACCAAAUUUGUAACGAGAGAAAUCUCGCUUUGAAUGACUAUUUCUCUAAAACUGAACUGAAGUUAGAGAUUCUGGAUUAUAGCUGACUUGUUUCUUGUGGCUCAAUGAGCUUUUGGUUGCUUCAGUGUUUUGAAGGGCUUUGAGAUCAAGUGAUCAUUUUGAGUUUUUGUUUUUGAUUGAUUUUUUGGCUGUCCUUGAUAUGUUCACCUUCUCUUAGUUUUAUAAGAAUUGCUGGAGUGGGAAUUCUAAUCUGUUAAUAAUGGGCAGCAGAUCUUCAAAAAAAAAAAAAAAAUUCUCUUUUCAAGGCCGUAAAAGAAGGAAGUCAUUGUUUUGGCAGAUAAGAACCAUCAACAAUCAACUUUCAUAGAGGUCUUUUCUUUGCUUUUCUGAAAAAACCAACUCCCUUUGUUCUCUAUUUGUUUCUUAUAAAGAGAAAAACUUAAUCUGCCAUGAUGGUCAGUUUGCUUGCCAUGUUUGAACAACUCCCUUGCUCCCUACUUAUCUCUUGAAAUCGUAGUCUGCUUAUCUCUUGGAAAGGCCACCUGCUUUGGUGCAGAGUUUCUAUAUAUAAUUAAAAAAAAAAGAUUUUGAUCUUCUUCCUUUGGCUGCAAAAAUGGAGAAUUCCUCCUGUAAAACCUAUCUUUAUUAACUCUCUGUUAGCUCCUCUGUGAUAGUUGAGAUUUUUGACUUCUUCAAAGUCAGGUAGUCACGUGGGCUUCUUUGAGAAUAGACCUUCCAAAAAGAUCUGCUGACUUGCACUAUGGGUUUUUGAGAUAAAUGGUGAGAAUUUAGAAGUUGGGCCAAAUCCAAUUUUUCUUUAGAAAUUUAUCGAUCUAUUUUGGUGAUAAAUUGCCAUUAAUUGGCAAUUUUAUUGACUUAUUUUGUGUUUUUUACACCUCUACCACUUUGUAGAAGACAAUGGCCUCUUUUGUUUGGUUUGGGCUGCUUUUCUGGAAUUAAGGCCCAUUCUUUUACUGUUUUGUGGCCUUUUUUAUUUUGGACUGGGCGUGCCAAAUUAGGCCCAAACAUGUACAUAUAAGGCAUAUCACCACCUCUCCGUUGGUCGAUGUAGGAUGUUACAGAUAGGGUCAUUUUGGUCACCUUUUAAAUCCGGUAGGAUUUUGGGGAAUUGAAUGGCUUACCUUCCAUUACUGGUGGAACUGAGGAAAUAUGGGGUAGAACUGGGAAUAAGUCAACAGGGUGGACUACUUGUUGGUUUGCAUGUGAGGCCUAUUGUGUAAAUUGCAUAUUUCUAGAUUGUGCAUGCUGCAGUUGGGACUAUAUUAUUCUGUUUUGACAAGUUGAAAAAUUUGGGAAAGUCCGUUUUUCAAGAGAGACUCUGUCGAAAUUUCAACAGAAAGUCUCGUUCCUCUUUUCCUUAAUUUGAAAAAGAUGUUAUAAUGUUAAUAAAUAGGCCCGACAUAAGUUUGAUGUCGGAAAUACCAGAGGAUUCAUCACAAAUUCUGUGGAAUUCAUGGAGGGUCCUGUCAGGGAUUUUGUAAAGAGCUUGAUGGGUUAAUGGCAAAGUUCUGACAGGGAGGAAGUGAAGAAAAAAGCAAGAUACAUUGGAUAAGUUAGGCGAAGUUGGGGCUGUCAAAAAUAGAAGGUGUUUUGGGCUUCCAUAACCUGCAAGAUUUCACCUUGGCAAUCCUUGCAAAACAGAGUUCUCUUGACUGAGUCGGACACUUUCUGGGCAAUAAUGUUGAAGAGCAUGUAAUUCCCUUCAUGUAAUUUUCUUCAAGCAGGCAAAGGGGCACGCGCCUUUUCGGCAUGAUUCCAGUUUUCUGUUACCAAAUCCCAUGUGCCUCCCUGACUCCUCCUUGUAUUUUUGACACGCGUUCCAUGACUUAACAGAAACUUAACACUAUUUAUUUCAACAUAAUAAUAUGGAAAAUGCUAGGGAGACCAACUUUAGAUACCAACUUGUGUACAACUCUCUAAUAGAGUGUGGGACCCAUUAUAUUGGUGGGCUCCACCUCUAUUAGAGAGUUGGUACACAAGUUGAUAUCUAAAGUUAGGCCCAAAUAAUAUUUAUUUAAAAAAAGAACCCCAUUUCCCCGCCUCGUCUAUUUCGUUCAGCAAAAAGGUUUCUUUUCCAGACCCCAAGUUCGUCAGAUCCGCCAUGGGUCUGUUUAUGCCUCCAUAGGAUGAUGGGACACCCAAUUUAUAUCUAAUCUACACCACCAUGCCCAUUCAUCAGACCCCCACCUCACCAUGUCCAUUGGCUUCAAAAAACCCUCAAACCCACAUAGAGAAAGUGCUUCCAUAUUAAAGAUUUGGCCCAAGGAAACAUCACUCGAGCACUAAAAAGACCAAGAAUUGAUCAAUCAGAAAAACCCACAAAGGAAAGCUUGGAAAUUUCAUAUGGGUUCAGCGAAAUUAAAGACCACACCAAGAUCCACAUGCAAACUAGCACUUGUUGGGUUAUUGUUUGUCGCUCAUGGUGAAUAUCUUGAAUGGAAGCAAUAUUGGCCAAGCUUGAGAGAGAAUUUUGGCUUUGAAUAAUUGAGUUUUUUUAAUCAAUAUAACAACUUUUUCUUUAGAUUUGGCCACAACUCUGAGAAUCAAAUGGAAAUUUGAUAAGAAAAGUAUGAAAGCAAGGAAUGACAAUGACAUGCACAGAAGAUAAGGUGAAGGUUGUGGUACUCGAGAUGGACAACAUGAUUUGGGCUGACAUGGAGGUGGCGGUGGUGAACGAAAGAGAUGACGAGGAGGAACUAGUGUGUUUUUUUUUCAAUAUUAUUGCGUUGAAAUAUUGUUAAGAAUGUUAAAUUUAUGUUUAGUCAUACAACACGUGUCGAAAAAUAUAUGGAGGAAACACAGAGGCACAUGGAUUUGGUAACAGGAAAAUUGAACUCCUUGGGUAUGGACUAGUGUAAGACCCUUGACACUUGACAUAAGCAGCAACAUGGUUUGAUGUCUUGGACCAUGCCAAGGGAAGUUGUCACGAGUAUGCAUAAGGUCAAGACAAGCGUGGCAAGACGGAUGUUGAAUGGUCUCAGUGAAGCUUGCGAGAAGCGUCGGCAGAUUGGCUUGGAACCCUUGACAGCGCAUGUAGGAUAAGUGAGCAGCGCAGCAACGCGCAGCGCACACAAACAUCACAAGCAGCGCACGCAGGUAGCGCAUGCUGGCAGGUCGUGGGCAAUUGCUGGCAGAUCGUGUGGGCAGUUUGCUAACAAGAUGUGUGAGGGUUGAUGACAGAUCGUGUGGGCAGGUUACUGGCAGAUCAUGUGGGCAGUUGGCUGGCAGGUUGUGUGACGGUUGCUGGCACUUUGUGAGGGCAUUUAUAUGGGCAGUUGUGAGGAGAAAUUCCAGCAGAUGCGCAGCGAGAUUAAAGGGCAUGUCUGGGUGGGUACGCAUGGUAGUGGGGGAGUGGCAUGCAUAGGAUGCAUCAUGUGGCAAAGGCAAUGUCAGUGGAAGGAGUGGGCGGUUACCUUGCAUCUUUGUAGGAAUACAACAUGGCAUGAUGGCAUGACAUGACCUUGACACUGACACAUGGCGCCACGAGCAAAAAGGAAGCCUUAAGAAUAGGAGUUCGUGAGUUUCUUUGUGGGAUAAUGGCAUGACGGUUUUUAGGAGGAAAACUACCUAUGCCAUGGUGGCUACGUGCAUGGCAGACAUAUCACCUAGCAAUUGGGGGAUGUCCACUACAUGCUUCUAUAAAUACCUUAGCUUAGGAGUAGAUGAAAAUCACUAGAGACUAGUUGAAGGGAGACUAGAUCGGAAGACACUAGACUGGUCGAGACUAGACUAGUAGUCUCUCGGGAAAGAUCUCAAGAGGAGACGAAAUGGGGGGAAUGUGUCUAGGGUAGGCAUAGAGAGGCAUAGAAAGGGGUAUGGCAGAAAGUGUUUAUGCUGACCUACCCAUGCCUUGAGAGAAACCCGUUGAGUUGAGAAUGAGUGUCUAGAGAGGCACCCUACCUUAAGAAUGGGCGGCAUUGAGGCACCAAAUGUGUUGUGGUGACCCAAUGCGAAACAAAAGGUUGUAUUCCUUGUUAUUAUUAAGUAAUAUAAAGGUUGGGAGUGUGUUGUCCCAUAAGCUUGGGUGUUUAUGUGUUCUGCUGCGUGAAAUCUGAAGCCUCACCAGUUGGAGGUGCGAAAAGUUGACUCAGGAGUAGUUUAAGUGCCGGACAAGGGCCAAAAAAUUUAAGGCGUUUUUCACCUCUAUUACAACUAGCAUCAUUGAGGGCAGAGAGGUGAUUGUUAAUGGCUCACGUUGGCAAGUUUUGGAUGGAAAUGAGAUUAGAAUUUGGGUAGAUAAAUGGUUCCCUCUGUCCUUUAAUGGGAGGCUGCAUCCUACUAAUGAUGAGCUGGUGAAUGAGACAACCCAGGUGUCGGAGAUAAUUAAUCCAUCCACAAAAGAUUGGGAUUUAUUAGAACUUUCUUGGAUCAUACCUGCGAGGGAAGCAAUAGUGAUUAAAGCAAUAGCGAGCUUACAGAGCAGACAACGAUGAUGCCUCGAUGUGGUGGUCUUGACCUCUGAUAUCUAGAACUUAAGGGGCACAAAACAUAAAAUGUGAGUGGACGAAAACUAGAUUUUAAACAUACACUACUACAAAAAAGCAAAAAGACGACGGUAAAUCACCGUCGUGUAUUUGGUUUUUCAAUGGUCGUGGAAUCCACCGUCAUCUUUUCCCUCAUAAACCACGACGCUAAAUAACCAUCGUUGUUAAACAAUACAACGUCAUCAAAAAAUACAAAACGACGUCUUUGUACUGCAAAAAGAUCUAAAAAAAGCAAUCGAGGAUGAUAAUAGACGACCAAUUCUCUAAAAAGACCGUCGUUAAAAAGGGAAAAUAUGACACAUAUUAAGAGAACAAGGCCGCAAGAUAGACAUACAACGACGACAAUAAAAAUACGCCGACGUUAAAUAUAAUUUUCACGACAAUAAAAAAUAUGACGUCUUUAAAUACAUUAGAAGACGACGUUAUUGAUACCUACUACGUCGCACAUAUAAACACAACCGUCGUACAAUUAAUUUUCCACUUCGAUUUUUCGAUAAAAGAUGACGUGGAAAUAGUUGUCAGUGUCAUUAUUUACGACGUAUGUGUUUCUAUAGUAGACGUUGAAAAACUAAACAACGUCAGUUACAAAUAUAUGAGAGUCGUAUUAAAAAAUUUAUACGUCCUAUUUUCAGAAACAAACAACGACCAUAAAUAUUAGACGUUGUUAAAUACAACAACGUCGGAAAACAAUAAAAACAGACGUGUUUAGUCUGCUAAAGUUCUACAACGUCUCUUAUUUACAAAAAACCGUCGUGAAAUAAAUUUUUCACUUCGAUUUUUCUAAAAAAGAUGACGUGGAAAUAGUUGUCAGUGUCAUUAUUUACGACGUAUACAUUUAUAUAGUCGACGUUGUAUUUAUAUGUAUUCAUUACUCACGACGCACUUAAUAAUAUAGACAACGUUGAACGUCUAAACAACGUCGGUUCCAAAUAAAUGAGAGCCGUAUUACAGAACAUAUAGACGGCGUAGAUUAUGAUGGGAGCCGUAUUACAAAUAACGUCGUUUAAUUGUUAUUAGACGGCGGUUAUAAUGAAUUUCCGUCGGAAUUAAUUUCGUUCCUCUUCGUUUAUAAAAGAACUUGCGACGUGGAAAAUGUAUGAUGACGUCGUAUUUUUUAACGUUCAGAUUACAUAUCUCGUUUUUUAGACGUCGGUAUUAUGGGAUUGGAGUCGUGUUAUUUUGAAUUACAUGGCGGUUCUUUAUCCUUCACCGACGUGAUAUCCUGAAUAAUUGCUUCACAAUAGCGUCGUGGUUCUUCAUUGUUACGUUGCUUUAAGACGUCGGUAAAUAUGCUGAAUAACUGAUUCACAAUAACGUCGUGUUUUAUUUGAACGUAGAAAGUGAAGAAAUCACAUUACAAUAUUUUACAAAAUUAAUGUCAUACACUGCCAAUUACAUAAGCAUCAUUCAAUCCAUAUAUCUUCACACCCAUCUCGAAUAUUUUGACCGCCUAACUCACCUACCAGUUCAUCAAAUGUGUCAACAUUUGGCAUCCCUCUAGUAAAUGGCUCACACUCAAUUAUCACAUCACCUAAUACUUCAUCACCAAUAACAUCAUUAUAUUCUCUACUAGGCAUUGAUAACACUACCGACCAACCACGAUGCAUCGGGUCGUCAACAAAAAAUAUUUGUUUGACUUGAGAAGCCAAAACAAAUUGGUCAUUCCUAUGUCCAAUUUUACUCAAAUCUACAAGGGUAAAUCCAAGUUCGUCGACUACAAGACCAGAACUAUCUAUCCAAUCACACCUAAAGACUGGGAUUGUAAACUUUUGGUAGUCAAGGUCCCAAAUUUCUUGAAUGACACCAUAGAAACCCAUAUUUGAGAGAAUUGGGUUUUUAUCCUUGGCACUAGCAACUUGCAUGGUAUGUGCAAGUAAAUAAACUCCACUAUUUUGAGUUGUCCGCACAUCAUCUUGUGCCUUGAUAUUGAAUUUAAUACCUUUAAUAAGAUAGCUCCUAUAUAAUGGCACUGACAUGUUUGGACCAGCUGCUAGCCACCUUAAAUUUUCUGAUACGCCAUGAUUGUCUUCCUCAAGUUCACUUUGAACCUGCAAAUUAAUCAUAUCUUAAUUCAUCCUAACAUAUAAAUAAGAAGAAAAUUAAAAGAGAAAUACGUUAUUCAACAACAUAUACCUUGAAGCGUAGCCAUUGAAUGAAAGUGCUAUUGUGCUUAUCCUGCAGCCACUUUGUUCUCUUUCUAAAUUUUGGAUAAGCAGUCUUGAUGUGGAUCAUAUGUUGCCUACAUGACACGAAAAAUUCAAGCAUUACGGUCCCAAAUAUAUAAGAUAAACAUAAGAAAUAAUUUUAAAUGGAAACUUAAAGAAUAAAACUCAUACGUACUCGAUAUAAGGUAGGACUUCCUCCGUAUUCUCCAAGACAUAUAGAUGUGCUUGAUUCAACAGGUCCUGAUCAACUACGCUCACUGUGCAACCUGAUAAUGGCUUUGAAACUCCCAUCUUUUGGCUUGAAGGCACUCCAACUGUACUAACAUCAGAUAAAUGCUGAGUACAAAACUCUACCGCUUCUUCAGCUAUAUACCGCUCAGCAAUGCAACCUUCGGGACGAGUACGAUUCUGAACAUACCCCUUCAGCACUUUCAUAUAUCUUUCAAACGGAUACAUCCACCUAAAAUAUACUGGCCCACAUAGACGAACUUCUCUGACAAGAUGUACUACUAGAUGAACCAUGAUAUCAAAGAAUGAAGGGGGAAAGUACUUCUCAAGCAAACACAGAGUAACUACUACAUCUUCUUCCAACUUAUCUAGCUUGGAAACAUCAACAGUCUUUGCACAUAUAGCAUUGAAGAAGAAGCACAAACGAGUUAUUGCAUACCUUGCAGGCUUCUCCAAAACAGAACGAAUUGCCACAGGGAGCAAUUGUUGCAUUAAGGUAUGACAAUCAUGUGAUUUAAGGCCAAGAAGUCUUGAAUCUUGUACAGAUACAAGAUUUUUAAUAUUUGAAGAAUAACCUUCAGGGACCUUCAUACCAUAGAAAGAAUUGCAAACCUCUCUCUUCUCUGCUCUUGACAAAUUCCAAGGCCCAGGAGGCAAACGAGUACGUCUUUCUCCAUACUCGGGUUGCAAAUCAGUUUUGACCCCCAUGUUCAAUAAAUCUAAUCGAGCAGCAAUCCCAUCUUUAUUUUUUCCAGGGAUCUCCAGCAAUGUACCAAUGAUACUAUCGCAAACAUUCUUCUCAAUGUGCAUAACAUCUAGGGCAUGCCUCACAGGAAGGUAUUUCCAAUACUCGAGAUCAAAGAAUAUUGAUUUCUUCUUCCAACAAACUCUGUCACCAUUUUCAACCAUAUGCAGCACUUCUUCUCCGGUUAAUGGCUCUGGAGGUAUGUCAUAUUCAGGUUUCCCAUUAAAAGCUGCACGUUGCCUCCUAUAUGGAUGAUUGAUUGGUAACCAUUUUCUAUGCCCAAUGUAACAAAUUUUGUGGCCAUUUUUCAACCUGUGACUAGGUGUAUCAUCGCCGCAUAUUGGACAAGCUUUAUAUCCUUUAACAACACAACCAGAUAAGUUUCCAUAGGCGGGGAAAUCAUUAAUUGUCCACAUUAAUGCAGCUCUGAGUGUAAAGUAUUCUCCAUUAUGUGCAUCAUACACUCCUCUAAUCCCAACCCACAAUGAUUUUAAAUCAUCAAUCAAAGGCUCCAAGUAGACGUCUAUAUCAUUUCCGGGUUGUUUAGGACCGGAAAUCAAUAAAGUUAACAUCAUGAACUUUCGUUUCAUGCACAGCCAUGGAGGGAGAUUAUAUGUAACUAAGAUAACCGGGCCACAACUAUAUCUGCUACUUAGAGACUGUGGGAUUGAAUCCAUCAGAUGAAAGAGCCAUCUCAGUUUCUCGGGUCAUUACCAAACUCAGGCCAUUUGUCAUCCAAGAAGUUUCCCAAGACGGGGGAAUCCGCCGGAUGAGACAUCUGACCGUCAAUUGAUUUCUAGCAGCAUGCCACCAAGUCAAACUCUUAGCUGUCUCAUGUGAUUGAAACAUCCUUUUAAACCUUGGAAUUGGGGGAAAAUACCACACCACCUUCGCUGGCACACCCUCUUUCAAGAUUGAAUCUUUGCCUUCCUUCCACCUUGAGAUACCACAAGUAGGACAAUUAGUUGAAUCCUCAUACUCCUUCCUAUACAAGAUGCAAUCAUUGGGGCAUGCGUGCAUUUUCUCAUAACUCAGCCCCAAUGCACACAAAGUCUUUUUAGCCUCAUACAUGGAGGUUGGUAUUGUAUUUCCUUCUGGAAGCAAAUCGCCUUGAAGUAUCAAUAAUUCUGUAAAACAGACAUCACUCAUCCCAUGUUUUGCCUUCAAAUUAUACAACUUCACUAAUGCCGAUAACUUCGUGUACUUUCUACAACCAGGGUACACUGGUUGAUCUCCAUCCCCAAUCACAUUGGCAAACUCAUACGGAUCCGAACCAAAAUCACCAAAAUCAUUAUCAUCCAUAUCAAUUUCUUCAGACACAAAACUGUACCUACUAUGGCCAUCAUCUUCUUCAACAUUUCUGCUAGCAUUAGUAGUUGCUUCCCAAGGUUCUCCGUGAAAUGUCCAAUUCUUAUAGCUUUGGUCAAUUCCAUUAAAGUAUAAGUGAUCCCUUAUAAUUCCAACCCCAAACAACUUCAAAUUAACACAUUUAACACAUGGACAACGGAUAUGUGUUGUAGUUAGAAGAUUUUCUACAGCAAAGUUCAAAAAUGCUUCCACCCCAAACUCAUAUGCCUUCGAUCUUCUAUCCGAGUGCAUCCAUGACUUAUCCAUCUCCGACACUAUAACCUAUUAUCUAUAAUAAAGUGAAAAUACAGGCAAUGACCAUCACUAUAGCAGAUUAUACAAUGAUCUAAUCGCAAGUAAUAAACAACAGAGACGACGGGUUUUAAUCAAAAACAGACGUAUUUGGCAUAUAUAGACGACGGAUUUUCAACAGACGUCGUCUAUUAUACGUAAUACAAACGACGGUUUAUGAAAAAACCGUCGUGUAUAAGUAAUACAACGACGGUAGUUUAAAAACACCGUCGUGUAAUCGUCGUCGUACGCCUUAAAAUUCGUCGUGUCUCAGUUUAUUUUCAAGAACACAAAACCCAUUAAGAACACAACAUAUAUAUGAAACCAAGCAAGAAACCAACAUAUACAUGAAACCAAGCAUGAAAACAAUAAAUCCAUUCCCAAUUCAACAUAACAUAGGGUGAUUAAAAGAUACGACAAAAUUAAAUCCAUUCCCAAUUCAACAUAACAGAUAAUGUAAUCCAUGAACCCAUUAAACAGAAAAUCCAUGAACCCAUACCUAUAAGCAUUGGUGCACUUUGCACCUUCUCCAGAGCGGAAAAUGACAAGAUCAAAUAAAGGUGUCCUUUUGCUGGAAAUCAUUUGGAAGUUGGUGAUGUGUCUUUUUGUGUUGAUUUCCAGCAAAAGUACACCUUUAUUUGAUCUUGUCAUGAACCCAUUAAACAGAAAAUCCAUGAACCCAUACCUAUAAGCACAUUAUUAACAGAUCGCAAAGCAUAUACCUAAAACCCUUUAACAAAAUAACCUAAUAUCAUUCAAUGAAUUUACAAGGGGAAGAUAGGGUUUGUACUUACAGGUUGGACGAGCUCACAGAUUCGACGAGCCUGGAGAGUGCAACUUUUAAUUAGAGCAGAAGUGAGAGAGCGAAAUGUUAUGUCGCGUGAAAUCUGAAAUUUUAGGUUUCAGGGAUCAAAGUAUAAGACUAAGAGCCAAAUCUAAAAAAAUUUAGGUCGCGCGAAAAUUUUUAGAGCGCGCGCGUUAUAAAACGUCGAAAGAAAAACCAAGGCGAAAGUUCUACAAGUACCGACGUAAAUUUAAUAUUCCACGACGGAAACUUCAUUUUUCGGAUUAAGAACGUAAGGCCGUUCAUUUUUCGGAUUAAUUUUAAAUUUAUUUUGAAUUUUUUAUAUAACGACGACUGAAAAACCACGUCGGUGUUAAGAAAUUAAAGACGUUGUAAAUUAUAUAAACCGACUUACAUAUUAAAAUAACGUCGUUUAAAGCGUAAACCAUGUCGUAUGUUUUACUGUACGACGUAAAAUAUGUAUUCCACGACCCAACCACCGUCGUUAAAAAUUAAUACACUAAACCCAUAAAAUUAAAUUAUACAAUUUAAAAAAUUAAGUUUAUAAAAGGUUUUAUGGUUUUAAAGCCUAACAUAUAACAUAGACUACCCAAAAAUUAUACUUUAAAAAUAAACCCCAAUAAAUAACAACACUAAUCUCUAAACCCUAGACUCUAAACCCUAAACCAUUAAACUAGAAGUGAUUUUAUGACUCAUCAAAACAAUUUUGUUUUGGAUGGUCAUUUUAAAUUUUUGUUAUUCAAAAUGAAUUUUUUCAAGGUUUAUGUGGAAGAAAAUAUAUCAAUGACUUCAUAGGAGUUGACUUUUCAAUUUUCUGAUUUAUUUUAUAUUUAUUUUGAAUAUUUUGAUAUAAAAAUAAUAAAAUAUUCUUACCAUACAACAAACCACGUCGGUGUUAAAUAAAUUGUAGACGUUGUAAAUUGUAAUAGACUACUAAGUCGUUAAAAUGACGUCGUUAAAAUGAGAAACCACGUCGGUGUUAAGAAAUUAAAAACGUUGUAAAUUAUAUAAACCGACUUACAUAUUAAAAUGACGUCGUUUAAAGCGUAAACCAUGUCGUAUGUUUUACUGUACGACGUAAAAUAUGUAUUCCACGACCCAACCACCGUCGUUAAAAAUUAAUACCCUAAACCCAUAAAAUUAAAUUAUACAAUUUAAAAAAUUAAGUUUAUAAAAGGUUUUAUGGUUUUAAAGCCUAACAUAUACCCUAGACUACCCAAAAAUUAUACUUUAAAAAUAAACCCCAAUAAAUAACAACCCUAAUCUCUAAACCCUAGACUCUAAACCCUAAACCAUAAAACUAGAAGUGAUUUUAUGACUCAUCAAAACAAUUUUGUUUUGGAUGGUCAUUUUAAAUUUUUGUUAUUCAAAAUGAAUUUUUUCAAGGUUUAUGUGGAAGAAAAUAUAUCAAUGACUUCAUAGGAGUUGACUUUUCAAUUUUCUGAUUUAUUUUAAAUUUAUUUUGAAUAUUUUGAUAUAAAAAUAAUAAAAUAUUCUUACCACAACAACAAACCACGUCGGUGUUAAUAAAUUGUAGACGUUGUAAAUUGUAAUAGACUACUAAGUCGUUAAAAUGACGUCGUUAAAAUGAGAAACCAUGGCGGCUAUUUAACUAUACGACGUAAAAUAUAUAUAUCAACGACUUAACCGCUGUCGUUACAUAAACGUCGUCGAUGAUACCCUGAACCCUUAAGAAAUUGAAGAUGUUGUAAACCAUAAACGACUCAAUUGUUCAAAGAACGUCGUCUAACUAUAUUUUUACGUCGUAAUUGUUUAAAACACGAAACAACAAAAUACGACGGUUUGUGACUUUAUUAGGUCGUUGGAAAAGUAUUACACGUCGGUUAAGCAAUUUGUAUGUUUGUUUUUUUUUUAAUUUAAGAAAACCUCAACAAAUUUUUACAUUACAUAUUAUAGAGAAAAUUUGUACAUUAUACAUAAAUAUCAAGUGUUCAAUAAUUGCCCUGUUUAAUAAUUUGGAAAACAAACUCUGCCCAUUCAUUCCGGACUUCAUCAAUGGCUUCUUGGGGGUAUGAAGCUUCCUGGUUUCCCUUGGCAUACUGCAUAAACAAUGACUAUUAGGGUUUAUAAAUAAAAAGAAAUUCAAUCACAGACGACGAUAUUUUUCAUAACCGACGUAGUAUAUCCAUUCAACGACGUUAAUUUUACACGACCGUCGUUGAUAAUACAAAAAACGACGUGAAAUGUAUGAAGGUAAUUUCUUCUUACCUUAUUCUCAAACCCCAAGGAAGGAUCCAUGAUGAUGUCCCUCAUGAAGCGCAUUACAUAAUACCCGCAUUCGACAUUGCUGGGUUGCUUUGGUGUGCCUGAGAGAGUUUUCCAAAUUACAUUUUUACGUCCUGCUCGGGCUAUGUGGGUAUUAUAUAUUUUUAAAGCACUGUUCACGAUGUUUUUGGCCUCUUCAUCGACCACACGAUUUCCUGGCAGAGGAUCCAGAAAAUAGACGGUUUCUCUCUUUGCUCUUACAAUCAGCAAAAUCCAAUGACGGCUGCACAAAAUUAAUAUAAAAACGACGGUUAUUUACAAAAACGACGUAUUAUAGUAUUUCACACGACGAAGUAAAGUAGCUAACGACGACAUUAUAUAUUUAUCACGAUGAUAAAUAAAUACCGACGUGGUUAGUAGUUUCAAACGACUAAAUAAAAUAAAACACCGACGUGGUUAGUUUAUAAGCUGUCAUUUAUUGAAAAUCUUAAAAACAAAAUCCUAAGGAGACUAACCCUGGAUUGUAAGGCAUCAUGAAAAUCUGUUCACCGUCUGUCUUCUGAAGUCGAGCUGCUACGAGUCGUGAUCUUUCAGUUAUUGUGCCAGAGUUGGCACUAACUGUAGCAGGGUCGAUAAAGCCAACCAUACUGCACAUAUUGGCUUUUUUCAAAACAUCGUGUAAGUACCUAAACAAAUAAAAUAAUAUAAACAAGUCAGCACACAAAACACGACGGUUAUGUAUAAAAAAAACGACGUAUUAUAAUAUUUCAAACGACGUACUGAAAUAGAUGAGGACGUUAUAAUAUAUUUAUCACGACGGUUGUUAGUUAAGACGACGUGGUUAGUUAGUUAAGACGACGCAAUAUAUAAACCAACGAGUUAUUAUUUUAGAAGUACAAACCUCAUAUAUACAGCCAAUACAGUAGCUCCAAUUUCUUCCAUGCCUGCAAAUUGUGUAAUAUCUUCAGGCAGGAGGAAGGUAUCGCGCUCACCACCAAACACCUCCUUAUCAAUUGUAAAUUGGACUGUCUUAUCCUCAGGCAGGAGUGUCGUUUCCACAAAACGACAAAGGGUUUUUAAAGAAGAUGGCGCCUCCAUUUUUGAAUAAGCACCAACUUCAAUAACCUGUUUAAAGAAAUAAAAAAAAUGACGUGGUAAUUCAAUAAAGACGACGGUUUAAGGAAUAAAAUGUCGUUUUAAAAGUAUUUAAACGACGGUGAAAAAAUUGUCGUGGUAAUUUAAUAAAGACGACGGUUUUAUGAAUAAAGAGUCGUCUGAAACCAUUUAAACGACGGUGAAAAAACCGUCGUUUAAAUAUUUUAUUACGUCUUAAAAAAAUUCCGCCGUCUAAGUUGUAAACAAACGACGGAUUAAAUAAAAAUAUCGACGUCUGAAAUUUUGAAAAACAAAUAAAAAAGUUAUGUUAACAUACCUUGUCGUCAUGCUUUUCUUCAUCUUCUUUCUCCUUUUCUUCUUCCUUCUCUUCAUCUCUUUUUUCUUCUUCCUUCUCUUCAUAUCUUUUUUCUUCUUCCUUCUCUUCAUCUCUCUUUUCUUCUUCCUUCUCUUCAUCUGGCUGAUGUUUCCCCAUUUUGGCAGUAUCAUCCUCCAAAUGUAGGGAUCUCACAUCACCUCCAGAGCAGCUAGCUUUGUCAGACAUUGGAUUUUUGGGGCUUUGGCUAAUUCUUGGUUUAAGCAUGCUUGGAUCAAAAUUGGGAAUUAAUUGGGAAAGCUGACUCAGGAAAUGCUCCCUCUCAGCCUCUACCAAUUGUUUUGUCCUAGCCUCCAUCCUUAAGGCCUCUUCCCUUGCCUUAGCCUCAAUCUUUUUAGUCUCUUCUUGAAGGAGAACUCUUAAACUCUCCUUCAAACGGUCGUCAAAGCUCACCCUCUGUGGUUUGGGCAAAUUGAAAUAUUGCCUUGGGGAAACACCAGCACCAACUCCCCUCACCCUGCCUGGAUGCUCGGGGCCCAAAGCCAUGGUCAGCACAUCAUUGCUGCCAUCUACUCUGACUUUGCCUUCCGAGACUUGUUUCUGCAAUUCAUCCUAAAACAAAGAUAAACAAAAAAAACACACGACGGUUAUUUAUGUACAAACGACGUAUUAUAUAAUUUCACACGACGCAAUAACGUAUAAACCGACGUUAUUAUAACUUAUCACGACGGUAGUUAUACCGACGUGGUUAUUUAUUUAAAACGACGAAAUGAAUAAACAACCGACGUCUUAUGCUAUAAUUAAAGAUAACAGAGUAGUGAUUCCUAUUUAGACCGUUAACGACGUUUUUAAAAAAUUUUCGACGUGGUAAUAUCCUUCACACGACGCGAAAAUGAACCACCGACGUCUUAUGCUAUAAUUACAGAAAACAUAGUAGUGAUUCCUAUUUAGACCUUUAACGACGUUUUUAAAAACUUUUCGACGUGGUAAUAUCAUUCACACGACGAAAAAUAUAACAUACGACGUAAUAAGAAUAAUUCACAGUUUAAUAAAAAUUUAAAACAGAGUGAGUAGGCUUACAAUUAAUUUUGCCUUCUCUGCCACCUUUGGAUCAGGGAUGUUACCAUGUUUGUCCUGUCUAGCUCUCUUCCAUAAGGUAGAUCGAUCAAUUUCUACCCCAGGCAUGGUUUCCUCCAAUUGAUCCUCCAAUCCAGCAUAUCCUUUUCGAGACAAUCGAUGAUUGUACUCGAGUUUCUCCCUAAUCUGUGAAUGUUGAGAAUGCACAGACUGAAAAUCUUUGGAUAGCCUUGAAGCUACAAAGGCAUCCCAUUGUGCUUUCUCUAUGAAUUUAUAUGUUUCAGGGGGUUGGCUUAAUUUCUCCCUGUCAUUGGUGUAUGGAAGGAUAUAAUGCCUCGUUAGUGUAGACUUGAAAUCCUUCCAUUUUUUGGCAGCAGAAGAUAAAACAGAGGUCUUGCCCCCUUGGCCUACGACAAAAGCCAUGUCAACUGCUUCCCAAAUCUGCUCCUUUAUAUCCUUUGGGAUUUGGGACCAUUUCUUGUCCACAAGUGGGAUCCUGGAGCGUGCCAAGACACCAAUAUACAACUGCAUCUCAAUAUGUGCUUGGCCAACACCUUUCCCCCUUUUAUUGUACUCAACAAUUGGCCUCAGUUUCUGAAGCUUUCUCUUCACAACACGAGGCAUUGUGCUCAUACCUCGACCAGUCUUUGAAUCAUCAGAGAUUGUUGUCUGGCUGGUUGGUUCUGUCUCAGCAGAUGAUGAAGCAAACUUCAUCUUCUUCGAAGACUUCAUCUCCUUCGAAGACUUGUCUUGGGGAGCUACCACUCCAAGCUUCUUGGAGCCAGAAUCCUUAGUUUGUUGUUGAGAAACCAUUUUAACAGACAAAACUGCAAGUGAAAAUAUUUCAGGAAAACAUUAAGAACACAAACGACGGUAUUAAAAAAAUACGACGUAUGAUAUGAUUUUAGACGACGCAAUGAAAUAAUCUCAGACGUAAUAAAUGUUUAAAACCAUUAUUUAUAUAACGUCGUGGUAUAUAUGUUCACACGACGUCAAUAGUAAUACACCGUCGUGGUAAACUAUUAAUUAUAUAACGUCGUGGUAUUUAUGUUCAUACGACGUCAAUAGUAAUACACCGUCGUGGUAUUAACAUUCACACGACGUAAAACAAUAAGAUAUUUUGUCGUCUAUAUUAGAUACCAACCCUAGUUUCUUUUUCUUUAUAUUUUAUCAAAUAAGGGAAAAACAAAAACCAUUGUUCAGCGAAAUCAAACCUGCAAUUAAACAAGCAUAUAAAAAAAGACUAUUAUUUUAAAAACAACUUUGUCAAUUUUCAGACGACGCUAGAACAACUGACGAACCGUCGUGGUCUACCGUCGUCUUAUUUAGUUGAUGUAGUUGUCUUCAAAGUUGGAAACUUUCUCUCUUUGUCUGUAUAUUUUAUCAAACUUGGAAAGAAGUAAAAUGAUUUUGGCCAGAAAAAAGGUAAAAAGAUUUUUCAAACAAAAAACGUAUGAGCAUGCAAAACAGUAACCAAAAUAGUGAAAAUGAAAGCUUACCUUUUGCGUGCAAUGAAAGCAAGAGGAAGAUGAUCGAUGUUUAAGUUCAGAGACGACGAAGAAGACGAGAGGAAGACGAUGAGAAACUCUGACAAUGCUCUGACAAGGAAAAAAGACGAAAAGGUUUCUCUGGGAGAUUGAAAUUUUUAAUCGGGUUUGGAAACAGUGCAUGUGUAAGUCGAAAAGUUGCUUACAUAUAAAACCAUUUCAAAAAAAUAAUACGGCGGUUACAUUUAACUACGUCGUUUUUAACUAAAACGACGCAAUAUUUUUCAUUCGACGUGGAAUCAUUUCAUUUAACGUCGUUAGGUUUAAUAUAACCGACGUGGAUUUUAAUUUUUAAAUUAUGAAUAGAAUUUUUUUUCCCGUGACCUUUCAGUUUAUUUUCAAUUACAGUGCGUUAUAAAUAGAGUUUUUUUUCCGGAGGAAAUUUAAAACGAAGGAAAUUAAUAUUCUGCAAUAUGUAAAGUUUCUUUUUUGGAUGACAGAUUUAAAUAAAAUAAGAAUAUAAAAACAACAAAUGUGUAAGUCAAGUAGACGAAAAGUUGCUUACAUAUAAAACCAUUUCAAAAAAAUAAUAUGGCGGUUACAUAUAACUACGACGUAUAAAUUACAAAAUACGACGGUACAUUUAACUUCGGACGUGGUAAAUAAAUACGACAGUAGUUUGUAGGUACCGUCGUAGUAAACUCAAAAAUUAAAGUACAUAAGUAAUAACUCGCGUCAUGGUAUAUUAUUUAACACGUCGUUUUUAUUAAUUUACCGACGUGGAUUUCUGUAAUAUACGUCGAUCAUACCGACGUUGAUUUUACAAUUUAAACGGCGGUUUUUUUGUAAGGACCGCCGUUGGUUUUAAAAAUUUAUUCUAUAAAUUUGUCGCUUUCAUUCAUUUUCGGUUUACAUUUAAGGUUCCAAGUUCUUCCUCUCUCAGUCUCUCAUGUCUCAAAGAUAAUAAUUUGGAUGUUUUCUCAAAGAGAAAUUGAGCUUACUCGCAUCAAAUAUAUGUCCACAAGAAGAAGCUUGUCAACUAGCCUUCUCACUUCCUUGAUCAAGCCUGAUAGGACACUUAGUGCUUCUGAAUACUCCUUGCUUUCCAUCAAAAGAGAUGCAAGCCUGGCCUCCACUCGCUGUCGAAGGAAAGUUCGCUUCUCAGGGAAAUCUGAAGAUCAGAUGUGCCUGAUCCUCUGCUUGAUUUUCUUGCCUAAGAAGAUCCGUCGGAUUUAUUGUGAUAGCCUCUUCCUUUAUCCGUAGAGCUUCAGAAGAAGAAGAUGGGUUUCAAGAAUGCGAUAAAGAAUAGAAAUGGCUUCAGAUGGCCUCUAAAGCAUGAGCAAUUGAAUCAGUAGUUUCUGGGAGAUAUGAUGAAGACAUUGUCAAUGCUUUGAACUACACAAGUCCUGCAGAAAGAUAUGUUAAAGAAACUGAAACAACGGCGGUUUUCUGUUCUACCGUCGUCUUUUCUCGUCGUCUAUAUUAAGUUACGAUGGCGGUAGAUUUAUAAUUACCGACGUAGAUUAUUUUGUUAAACGUCGUUAAGUGUACUACAACCGACGUGGAUUUUAAUUUUAAAUUAUAAAUGGAGUUUUUUUUCCCGUAUUCUUUCAGUUUUAGUUUUCAAUUCCAAAGCGUGAUAAAUAGAUUUUUCUUUCCCGAGGAAAUUUAAAAUGAGGGAAAUUAAUGUUCUAGAAUUUGUAAACUAACACGACGCAAUAUUUGCAAAUCUGUGUCAUCUGUUAAGAUUAUGAUGUGGAACAGAGUUCCAUCUGGUAAGAUUUCGUAACCCUUGGGAUCUCAGACAAAACUGAUUAUGUCGGCGGUGUUCUAUAUAAACCGUCGUGGUUAUUUCAAUUCUUGUCAUUAAGUAGAUCUACCGACGUAGGAUAAGAAAAUCAAAGAAAAAAAUUGUUAACAAAAAUUCUUAUUAAGACGACCGUUAAAAUUAAAGGUACGACGUAUAAAAUGAAUAAAUACGACGAUAAAUUUUAUUGUACGAUUUAAAGAUAACGUAGUAGAACUAUACGAGAAUGACGUCGAUAUAUUUAUAUUUUCCGUCGUUGUAAAUUAAUUUAAUACGGCGAUAUUUUGUAUUUUAAAGCCGUGGAUUUGUUUGUAAUUAUACGGCGUCUUAUACGAAAACCUCGUCGUGUUAUUUUAUGAGUAAAAACGGCAGUUUUUAUUGAAAUCGUCGUCUUUACUUUCUACGUCGGUCGAUUCAUAACUUCUGCCGUUCUUUGUUGGCAUUGAUUUUACACUGCGGAAAUCUGUUUCAAAUAGACGUCGGUUGUUUAAUUAUGUACGUCGUUGUUUUUGAACAGCCAUUUGAAACUCCAUUUUUUAGUUGUCUAAGGUUGUAUUACACGACGGUGUUUUUAGAACCGUCGUCUUUUUAUAAACCACGACGGUUUUCACUGAGACCGUCGUUGUUUUCUGGUCGUCUUUUUCACUUUUUGUAGUAGUGAUAAUUUAUAUUCAACAUAAAUAACCCCCUCAGUUUUAGAAAAUAAUGCUAAAACACCAAGAAAUAGAUUCUUUCGGUAAACGUACAUAUGUAUCUCAUUCAAAACUUGAAAUACCUCAAUUCAAUGGACUCAUAUCAUAACAUACUAUAAUUAAAACCAUAUAUUAAAUGCAAUCUAAAUUUCUUGAAGAACAUUGUAAAACAAUAAACUGAAAACCUUCAAAGUAAAACCCCUUUACUCAAACCAUUUCAAACUCAUGAACUUUUUCAAAAAUCAUUUCUCAACCUUAAUCCUUUUCAUACAUAAUUAAGCAAAAUCCCUUUUUUUCCCUCAAUCAUACCCUACUGAAGGCGUAUGUUGCAAAGCACCAUAAGUCAAUUGUCAAAUCUGAACUUCAUGUCAAAUAUUCAUACCUAUGCAAAGUACCCUCAAUGCGCAUGCUCAAGAAACCUUAACCUGAAAAUAAAUACACACAUACUCCUACACAAAUACCCAUAUAUACACACACCCAAAAUCAACACAUCAUCAUCAUGUCGGCCUCUCCCUUGCCCGCCUUGGCUUCUUCAUCGUUGGCCUUCGAAACCUCGGCCUCAUAAGAACCACGUCAACUACACCGUUGAUAAGACCCGACCCACUGUAGAAUCUGCGCUGAACCCUGUGCAUAUCCAACACCUAUCAAGUACCGGACACACUUGACCAAAUUGCCCUCUAAAUUAAAACUCAAAAAUUCUUUUAAAGUUUAACUUCUGUCGAAAAAUCGGCUGAGUCUCUCCUGUAAAUUGCUCGUUUUCCAAUAAUUUACAUCUGUACAAAAUGCAAUUCAUAUAUCCACAAGCAUUUAGCAUGCAAAAUAGUGGUGUAAAUUGGAUUGGAAAAUCUGAUUCUGACGUUCUAGUCUGAAAAUUUCCAAAAAAAUCCAACUCUGAUACCUCCGAUAUCCGAAAAUGUCGAAAUCUGAUUUUUCCGAUAGAAUUCGGAUCGGAAUCGGAAUGUGUCCAAAAAUUCCGAAAAUUCCGAACUACUCCGAACUCAUUCCGAUCCGAUUUUUCCGUUUUUUUAGAAAAUUCUGAAAUUUUAAUUAUAAUUACAUUGUUUUUUGUUUAUAGGUCUUAUAUGUGUUUUAUUUCAAUACUCAUAUAUUCAUAUGUUAAACAUAGGAGUAUAUUAAUUUAAGACUAUUGGAAAAAAAAUAUAGUCUUGUUCGGGUCAAAUUUGUAAAAUUAAAUGACAUGGUUCAAAGAGUAACAAUUCCAUGGUCACAUAAUAAGGGUAAAUGCCAUGGUCACACACUAGAUUAAUAGUUGAUCCUAUAAAAUUGAUCAUGGUUCAAGGGGUAACAUUAAAUCAUACACUAGAUUAAUAGUUGAUCCAAUCAAUUUGAUAAUGGUUCAAAAGGUUAUAAUUUCAUGGUCACACACUAAGGGUAAAUGUCAUGAUCACACACUAGAUUAAUAGUUGAUCCAACCAAAUUGAUAAUGGUUCAAAGGGUAACAAUUCCAUGGUCACACACGACUGGAUUAAUAGUUGAUCCGAUAAAAUUGAUCAUGGUUCAAGGGAUAAAAUUAAAUUCCAUGGUCACACACUAAGGUUAAAAUUAAAUGUCAAUUUAAUGAUGAGGGUGCAAGUUAUAUUAAAAUGUUAACAUCAAUUAUGAUAAAAUCAAUUUAACUUGCGACAUAUGUGAUUAAAUUAUAUAUAUAUGGAGAAAUAUGCAAUAAAUUUAUAACAAUAGUGUUUGAUAUUACAAUAUCCUUCAAACAAAACCAAAAAUGAAAAAAUCAUCCACAAGUGGUAUUUUCGAACCCAAGGCCUCUCACUUGCAAUUAUACUAACGGACCACCAUAGCUAGAAUUGUCCUUGUGAAAUACAUGUCAACUGAAUAUAUUUACUCACUGAUUUGAGGAGUUUGAAAAAUAUUUAAAAAAUCUUAGGGUGAAACCCUAAUUUAUAUUUGUUUUCCUUUCUUCUUUUCUCCAGCCACCCCAUUCUUUUUCCUCUUCCUCCCUCCAGAUGUUUAUUCUCACUUCUCAUCUCUCCUUCCCGACCAUUCUCCUUCCUUAUUCUCUCUCUCUCUCUCUCUCUCUCUCUCUCUCUCUCUUCAUGACCUAUUUCCUCUUCUUCGUGACAAUAAUAUAGAUAGACACCAUUUAUUGGGAAACUAAAAGACAAUACUGAUGGAAUACCAUUGCAAGUAUGCACCAAAGUUUCUACAAGUCUUCCUGUCAAAAUUGCUUUUGACUAUGACCUUCGAAAUUCUUCCAACAAUUUUGAAAAGAUUUAAUUUCCGAAAGUUCCGAUUUCACCGAAAAUUCCGCAUCGGAAUGGUGUUAUUAUAUUCAGAAAUUUUGGAAUCGGCAUUGGAAAUGAAUAUGACUUCCGAAAAUUUUUGGAUCGGAAUUCAGAACUCUUAUAUCCGAUCCGUUCUGGGCGAAGAACAGCCCUAAUGCACAAUGUUAAACCACACACAAUCCAACAAUAAAUCUGUGUGGCCUCAGGUCUUACAGAAAUCGUGGGGCAAUAUCAAAGCCUACUAAUUAAUUUAAUUUACAAAAAUAGUACAGUUAUAGUAUAAUAUCCUACAUAAUGGAAGAGGAUGAGUGGUGGGUGAUGAAUGCCCGGUGGUGGUGCUCCGGUGCUCUAUUACUGCAUGGGGGCUCAAAACAUUAAAAGCGUGAGUUGACAAAAUAAAGUUGUGCAAAAUAUAAUAUCAAUAUACUAACCCCACUGUUAAAACCAUUUGAAAAUUCAUUUAAUCCAUAUUCUAUAUUCGUACCAAAAAUCAAGCAUGCAUAUUUAUAUUCAUAUAACCGUUCAGACAUUCAAUCAAUUCAUCAAAACCAUGUGAAAGCAUUGAAAAAUAAUAAUUCCUUUCCACUGUACCCUUCAUAAAUUCGUCAAUUCCAUGAUUUUUCUAUUUAUUUCCCAUAUUAUACCAUCAAUUUCAAGUGUCACAUAAGUGACACCUCAUCGCAAAACUCGGAAACACAAUGUUAACCUGAGUGCAAUCCUCGCAGAACUCAAGAGACACUUGGUCAACCUGAGUCGCAUUCCUCGCUCCUCACAGUCCGAGUAUCCCUAGGACUCAUGGAGCAACUAUCAAACGCGCUCUGACUCAACCGAAGGCAACUACGAUAUCUGUGGACAUCAUUAUAUCCAAAGGCAACAGUUUAUUCGAAGGCAACAUUUUGGAUACCUAUGGUGGUUUAAAAACCUUUCCUGAAAAAUUAUAAUAUUGUUUCUCACUCAAUCGUUAACUAUUUCAUUUUCUACUUUUCAAACCAUUCACAUUUAAGCAUAACAAAAUUUUAUAAAAACAUUUGAAUUCAAACUAUAUGCUUGGAAAGCAAAAACCAUAAAUAAUUCAUUCAGGAUCAAUUAAUAAAACUUUUACUACAUAAAAUUUAUUUUUAAAACAAACAUCUAUUCACUGUGCGUCCGACCUGGCAUGACCCUUCGAGGGUUAUUGCUGUGGGUUUGGUGGAGCUUGAGUACCUAUUCAAGCGAUUAAAACAUUUAAUUAAUAAAAUAGCUCAACCACAAUUAUUUAAUCAAAACCCCGACCCCCGGCUUUCAAGUGCGUGCGCGUAACUUAAGAAAGUUCAUAGGCCCAUUUUCAACAGUUCUAACAGAUAGAAUGGUCUGAAAAGACCCGAGAUUAAAUAUACGAUUAAAUUCUUAUAUUGGUCAAUCCAGUCCCCCGUAGGGUCCACAACCUCCAAUUACUAAUCCAAAAAUUCAUAUGGGUUCAAUAAAGUUUACUAAACACAUCCUGCAAGUUUGGUCCAGAUCAAGAUGUCAGAUCACUCAUGAUCGAAUGAUCAGAAGGUCACCAUUUUACGUAAUCUUUGAAUCAUUGAAUGGAAGCAUCCAGGACUCCGAUUCUCGAUCUGUGAGUUCCUAUACGAUCCUAGAGGUUCCUAGAUCAACAUAUUUGGAAAUGGAGUCAAUCCAACGAUCUGAAUAUAUCGAACUCAGAUAUCGCCUAAUAUGCAAAAUCUGUUCGAUUGUCAAACGAUAACCAAAUUCGAAUCCAAGCAUACCAUCGUGCUCAGGAUGAUAGGGAGAACAUUUUAGGACCAAAUGGGCCACCCUACCCCGGCCCACGGGCUUGAGUGGCUUGAGAAAAUUUCGACGACCAUAAAAUGCUCAAAACACCCAACAAUACCUAUACCCACCUGAUCAGGACAACUAGUGGAGCAACUUUUGUUCUUGGGCCACGGCCAAAAAGUAGCCUGAGCUUGCUGGAAAUUCGAGCCGAAAACGGCCAAAACUUAGAUCGUGAAUCGAGCUUUAAAACUUCAAAAUCAAUCCAAACCAACUCAGCCAUCAUCUAAGUCACGUUGAAAGGAUGAGAAAGCAUACCUGGAUAGACAAAUUUGGUGGUCGAAAUUGUUGAAAACGACGACGAAAAAUUUGAAGGGAAACCGGCGAUUUUUGAGCUACAUCAAGCAUCAGUGGUGGCAAUUGCGGCGGCGAUGGGGUGGGUAGGAGAGAGGAAGCUGAGCUGGUCACUUUGUACCGGUCUUAUGGCUGGAGGUAGCCAAAUGAGAGAGAUUGCCGGCCAAACAAUGGCCGGCUGUGCGAGAAAUGAGAGAGAUUGGGGGAAGAGGAGAGAGAAAGGGGAGAGAGAGAGAGAGAGAGAGAAAAACCAGGUUUUAUUUAUUUUAUAAAAUCUGAGUUUGAAAUAUUUAAGAUUAUGCCACUGCACUUCCGUUGAUCGUAAUUUCUUCGUUAAAACUCUGAUUUGAGCCCAUUACGUGUCUUCGAACACGUAUCGUCGCGCUCUACACAAUGAUGCUACUAAAAUCCCCAAAUUCUUUCCCGAAGAAAAAGUCAAUUUUAAACCUAUUAAAAUAUUCUCGAGGUCAAAUUAUCUUUUACUAGAAUAAUUUAAUAAUUGAAUAUUAAUUUAGAGACAGGAUAUCACAAUCAUCGUCGAUGUCCUCAAUGGAAAUUGUAGGCUCGACUAUGCUCUCAUUGGAGACAAGCACUGGUCCAACUUCAAGCUGCUCUACAUCUUCAAGCCCAAGUCCAAAUAGGACAAAGCCUUAGUUAAGGGAUAGCUGCUCUGCAAAUUUUAUUUUAUUUUCCUAAAAAAUUAAUUAAAAUAUAUUUUAUUUAAAACCAAGUGGCUCUAUACCAUUGAAUGUGUGAGCUCCACACAUUUGCCACCUCAGCAAUUUAACAAAAAAAUUGACAAAACUAACGAUAUGGACCAUUUUUAUGUGUGAAUGGUAACCUUAGAGUAUCUAAAAUCAUGCUCCCUUUUUUUUAUUUAAAUUUAGCUAAAAACACACAAAAGUUAUUUUAGGAGCUCUCUAUAAAAUUUGAACUCCAAUCAUACUCCUUAGUUAGCAUUAAUUAAAAGUUUGUUGUAAAUGCAUGAGUUGGUGGAUGACCACUAUACCUCUUAAUAUUCCACCGUUGGAUUUUAUGUAACCUAUGCACUAAGUAUUUGUAAUUAAUGCUUAUAACCUAUAGGUAUAUUGUAAAUGAUGGUAUUCAAUCUCCUAUCUUGUAAGCCUAUAAAUAGGUGGUUCUACCAAAGAUUUAGAGAUGAAUAAAACAUGGUGAAGCUUUAUCUUUAGCAUAUCACUUCUCUCUACAUUUUCUCCCUCUAGUUUUAUAACACGUUAUCAGCACGACAUUGCUCUUGGUAUGUUUUCUUUCUCUGAAUUUUCUUUCUUCUUAUAUGAGCUAGAGUCAUCACAUGGUAUAGAGUUUCUUUGUACUCACCAUCAGACUUCAUCAUGCUUGUUUAAGAAAAAAAAUUCUUAUUCUUAUUACACAUGAAUAUAAUGCCAUGUUUUUGUUUUUAUUUGUUUGUUUAUUUAAUUUUAAGUAUGAUCUUAAUUAUUAUGAUGAGUUUGAAUUAUACAAAAGAUCAAGGGCCCGAAGUUCCGUGAUCCUCAUCAUAUAACUAGAUUAGGAUAUAGAGUCCUUUUGAUUGAAUCAGAGCCUGAAGUUCUUUGAUUCCAAAUCAUUGAGGGCGUGAAGUUCCGCGAAUUUAAAGAGCACAUAAGGACAUAAAACUCCUCGAUUUUGUAUUAAUCAAAAUCAGAAUUCCAUGAGGCCUACAUAUGUCAAGAACUUGAACCAGAAGUUUCGAGUGCAUAUACAUCGAUUUGAGUAUGAAGUUCAAAGCACAACUAUUAAUUCAAUUUAUUUAGAUCUACGUAUUCGUACCUGAAGUUUCGAAUAUAUAUUGAUAUGAACCUGAAGUUCAUAGUUUUUCAUGGAUCUUAAUACUAUAUAUGAACUUGAAGUUCAUUACUUAUUUGUGCCUAUAUGAACCUGAAUUGGUUGGAAAUCCAAUUCUUAAACUUGUAGUUUUAUCCACAUAUUGAAUCCACAUUAAUAUUGGAUUAUCUUGGAAUUUCAUAGUCUUUAAUUGAUUUAUUUAUUCCUUGUUUAUACCACUUUACUUAUUUUAUUUAUGUUAGGUUAUUAAUUAAUUUCGUUUUACAAUGGUAAUGUUUUGUAUUACCGCCCCAAUAUUGAUAACCAGAGGCGUCUAUUGGAGAAACUUCCUACUUUCUUUUGUGGGUAGGAAGUUUAUGAUGUUAUGAACCAAAAGUUCUUGAGGCCCCAAUGUUACACAACUAUUAUAGUUGAAGAUUAUGAUGUCAUGAACUAGAAGUUCAUUGACCGAAUAACUUUUAUGUUGUGACAUGAUUAUCUUGGCAAUCCAUGUCCCACAAUGAUGCAUAAGAUUUUUAUAAAUUUGUAAGGACAUCGUUUAAAGACUCAAAUUAUUGUCUUGUCCAACAAUAUCAUUACAAAGAACGCUCACAAAUAAAAGUUGUCAUAAGAUCAUCUCAGUCAAAAAUUGACUUUGAGCCAUCUUUCCUGAAAUAAUUCAAGGGGAUAUUUGUGAGCCUAUACAACAUCUAAUUAUGGAUCACUUCACCAGUUUUACUGAAUGUGCCUACUAAAAUGGUCACAUAUUUGAUAACGACUGUGAGUUUAUUUUCCUACAUUUUGAGACAAUUUUCCCGCCGUUAGGGGGAGAAAUGACAAUUCCUAAAGAACGUUGUGAAAUAGUGUUGAAUCAAUCCGCUUUUGUCUCAUCAAGAUAAUGCAUAUAUAAGUUGUACAUAUGCUAACAUGGAUUGAUAUUCUCGUAUCACAAUCCAUUAACAUGGUGACUAUAUAUAUAAUGCAUGCCUGAAGCAUGUCAGAAAUAUAGGUUCUAAAGACUUAACUCCUCAGAAAUGGAGAUUAUUUGAAAAAUUCAAGCCCUAUAAAAAAUAACGCUCUAUAGGAGGUUAUGAUCCACAUAUUCUAAAUACUUCAUUGUAAAAGAGAUGUUUGUCCCAUAAGUGACAACAUAAGCCCCUGAAGAGGCAUUGGUACCCUAAAGUAAUGAGAUGCUUAUAAAUUAUGCAUGCGCAUGCACAUGAGAAUUGUGGGAUCACAAAUUGAUGAUACAUUUGGUUUAUUAGUAGCUACUACAAUCAUCAAGGGCUGUGAUUAUAUUAAAUCACGUUUCAUGAAUGUCGACAAGUUAAGUGAUUGGCCAAAAAUGGAAAUAGGCAAUUCCAUUUAUCACUAAAUAAGAAGAGUUGGAUAUUGAACCUAUAACUCAAACACCAAAUUACAAAUGUUCAGUAUGAAGGUUACGAAUUGGUGUUUGUGAAGUGAAAUAAGAUCACUAAUAUGACAUAAGGUUUCCUGGGAGAGACAUGUGGUUUUAGUCUCCAAUCUCAUCGUAAAUGCAUCCACAUUUCUAUAAGUGCGGUUGUUACUUUAACGCAAAACUUAUAGUAUGUGUUAAAUGCAUAUUUAUUAAGACUAUAUGGUACAUGGAAAUCCUCAAAGCUCAUGAAAUAUUUGAGAUAUAUCGGAUGAAGCAACCUCUUGAAGGAUAUAAAGUACCACAAUAUUCUUAAUUAAGAGUUAACACUAAGAGUUUGAGUAUUUUGAAUUCAAAUUUGAUAUUGUUGUAACAUAUUUUAACUACUAAAUUAGUCGUUGAUACUCCUAAAGAUUUCAAUCAUUUGAAAAGUGAAAAGCAGGUUGAGUAGUGUGAUAGAUGAUCAUGUAUGAAGACAAUGUUGCUUGUAUUGCUCAAAUCAGAGAAGGAGAGAGAUUAAUCAGGGGGAGCAUCCCAAUUCUACUAUAUUCAAGACAGAUGCGCGUUGUACUCUUUUUCCCUUCGACUAGGUUUUUGUCCCACUGGAUUUUUCCUAGUAAGGUUUUAACGAGGCAAUAUAAGCUCAUCCAACACCAUAUCAAUGAUUCAGAAGAAAGUUUCACUCUUUUUCCCUUCACUUUGGUUUUGUCCCACUGGGUUUUCCAAGCAAGGUUUUUAAUGAGGGAACUAUGUCAUUGUAUGGUGGACAUUCAAGGGGGAGUGUUGUAAAUGCAUGAGUUGGUGGAUGACCACCAUACCUCUUAAUAUUCCACCGUUGGAUUUUAUGUAACCUAUGCACUAAGUAUUUGUAAUUAAUGCUUAUAACCUAUAGGUAUAUUGUAAAUGAUGGUAUUCAAUCUCCUAUCUUGUAAGCCUAUAAAUUGGUGGUUCUACCAAAGAUUUAGAGAUGAAUAAAACAUGGUGAAGCUUUAUCUUUAGCAUAUCACUUCUCUCUACAUUUUCUCCCUCUAGUUUUAUAACAAAGUUUAAAUUAUGCAUAAAACAAAGCAGCAUUAAAUUAUAAGGAGCUACAAUAAGUCAUAUCUCUCCCCUCACCCCUCAAAUUUAUGAGUUCCUAGAAGUCUCCCUAUUUUAGGAGGUGGAUAAGGAGUAUGAUUGCGAUUGUAUUUUUCUAAUUCCUCCCUAAAAUUUGUCUAAGAAUGUAAUUUAGAGAACCCAUUAUGAAUGCACUUAAGGGUCAUUGGUGUCACAAAAAUGGUUAGGUACGAAAGGUGAUAAUUUCGCAAACCUGAAGGACUAUUUGUUAUAAAAAAAAAAACCUAUUAAAUAAAUACAAAUUCACAAGUCCAUACACAUUCGGGUCGACAAAAUAGUUCAUAUAUUACAUAUUACAUAUUACAAACUACACAACCACACAUUUCGACCUUGGAAACGAAUGGAUCUCAAAAUUCACAUAGCAAUUUAACAAAGUAUGGCAAUAAAUCAAUCAGCAAACCAUAUACUUCCACAGAAAUGCAUCUUCACACGUAAAAAUUAAAAUAAUCAUAUUAACAUCUACCUUCGACAUCUUUUUAUUGAUAGUCUUGCCCUCGGAUGGGUUUUGAUUCUUUUUCUUUUUUUCUUUUUAAAUUGCUUAGCUGAUGAGAGAAGAAGAUGGAUGUGAUAAAGCAGGCAACCCAAGGCCCUAUAGAGCUCAAGAAGAUGCAGUAACAGCAGCCUUGGUUGGGUUAAAUGCAACCUGCUCGGCACAAGUUAGCACUUCAUGGGGCCCUGCUUCCUCUCGUCCGACACCCAUAAGGUCAAGGUAGUACUGGUAAUGGGAAACGAUGGUGUUCAUGGCAUCAAUGUCGCCCUGCCCACAAAGUUGAUCGCCAUAAAGAAUAUUCAUUGUAGCACCAAAUCCAGGAAACCUCUUGCUCAAAGUAUCAUUCUUGGUGGGCUUCCAAUUGCCAACAAAUGCAUCGUGCGCUGAGGGUUGUGACUUCUUGAUAGCAGUCAUCCACCUCCAUAUUGCAGCCUGGAAAGCAAGAGUAGCAUUCUGCUCAAUGUAUUCGGGAUGGUUCAACAGAUCAACCUUCAAAGCUUCUCCAGCUGCACCAUAAUUGUAGUUCCUGGAUGGCAGCACCAAUAGAAACUUACAAACAUUGUCUACUCAACGAGCUCAUUAUAAACUAACAUAUCAUCUACAACUCUCGUAUGACACUAAAUUUGAGGAAAAGAGAAAAGUGGCAAUAGCUAGACUAUGCAAAAAACUGACAUGUAAAUUGAAGACAACAUGCCGGACCUACAAAACAACUCUAUCAUUUACUUCUGAGUAUAUCAAUGAAUAAUCUCAUUUUAUAACAGCUCUAUUCCUCCACAAGACAACUGAUAUCCUCCGGUUAAGUUAUUAGGUAAAAGAGAGUUUGGAAAAAUAAUAAAAGGAAAUUCACAUAAACAAAUUAUGGGGGUGGAUUAAUUAUGAAAUAAAAACAAAAGGAAUACAAACCAGUAGAUUGGCAAAGCACCACGACCAUAGUAUUCAGCUCCAGGAGUGCAGGGGUAUGUGUAUUUGUAGUAGUCAUCGCAGUAUGACUGCAUGGGACUCAUUUCCCUGUUGUAGCAAAGUCCCCAGGCCAAUGGUCCUCCUGUGGCCACACCAUAACCACCUGGAAAAAUCAUUGCUCUCGCCGUCAUCAACCAUAAAAACAAUGGUGCGCAUAUGUGAAUUUCAGCAAAAGCUUAUUCUAGCUUAUCCAAUCUAGAGUUGUAUUAAGCCCGUUCUACUUUGUAUCCACAACAAUAUCAAGUUUUAACAAUAUGUAUUUGUGAUCAAUCAUUUUUUUCCCAUAGUUUUAAUAUUUACUAUCAUUGUAAUUCUCAUUCUUUACUUGAUUGACCAAUUAUUCAGCUGAUCUAUCUAAACAUAUGAAAAAAGUAAAAGAUAAAAAUUUCUAACCCUUUUAGUUCUUCACAUCCCUGUUUCUAUGUUCUAAGUGAAAUUCAAUCUGAUGUUUUCACAAGACCCACAUUGUUCAUAAACCCAAUUAACUCAAACUUAACAAAUCACAAUCAAAUCCUAUCAAACCUCACCCGCAAAAACACAACCCAUAAUUCAAUUCAACAUUUGAUUCAACCAUUUUAAGCAUCCAACAAAAGCAUUACAAAUAACAACAGCUGCCCACUAUAACAGUUCUAUCCUAAACCAUCUACAUAUUUAUAUAUACACAUCCAUAUACUGUAUGUCCAUGAAGAUAGGACUUGCAGUUGCUGAAAACACAAACUUUUCAUAAACCAAAUUCACUCAAACUUAACAAAUCCCAAUCAAAUCACCCUAGCCCAUUCUAUUCAAAAUUUGAUUCAACCAUUUUAAGCAUCCAACAAAAACAUAACAAAUUAAAGACAAUUACCCACCAUAACAAUUCGAUACAAAAUUCUUGACACACCACAGAACUUAACAGAAGUGGUGACUUACAAGUGGUUUUGCUGCCGACAUGUCCAAGAAAGGCGGCGAUCUCCUUCAUCUGCAUAAGCUUCCCACCAGUGGUCCCGAACCCAAGAGGCUGGAAGAGGGCAGAAGCAGUAAUAAACGACUGAUAAUCCCAAAACCCAACGGCAUGCGCCACCGGCGUGUUUCUUUUGGAGAAGAGAUUCUCAAACUGGUAAGUUUGGAAGAAAUCAGAGAUGGUGAGAUUGCAACAGUACUGGGACCACCCUUUACACUCCCACCCUCUGUCACACACCUUCUUCCCCCUCACCGUCUUCACCCGCGGGGUCGUUGACGGCAUAUCGCCGUCGCUGCUGGCACCUAAGAAAACACUCAGCACCACCGCCACCGCCAAUGCAGCAGUGGAAAUCUUCAUGACGGCUAGAGAGAGAGAGCUGAAAUGGGUUGAUGGGAGAGUUUGGGAUCUGACUGGUUUUGCUGAGCAAUUUGCAGGUUAAGAGCUUUUGUUUGUUGGUGUUUUGGGCUGUCGUAAGGCAAGAGUUUGACGGGGUGUCGUUUUCGGGGCUGUGGGUAGAUGCGUGCUGUGGGGUUAAAUGUCGAGCAGGUGGUAUGGAAAUGGACGGCCGAUGAUGGAUUGGGGAUGGGAAAGUGUUCGAGGUUUAAAGAGAGAACAGACUGGAAUAAUGUUGGAGGGGGCUGACCCACGAAGCUCCACCGACAGCGCCUGGAGUGUUGUGAAGUGUCCUUACUGCCCUUGUUGACACUUGGCAGAUCCAUGGAAUAGAAAUGGGGAUGGGUCGACUCAAACGGAUACCCAGCCCUUUUACCGGCUUUUUUUUUUGUUCAAUCGGAUGGGUCGACUUAUUGGAAUUCAAACAUGAGAGAAUCUACAAGCAAAUGCUACCCGUUGCCCUUUUACUGACUUCAUUGAAUUUAGGGAAGAGAAUAAGAGCAUUCACAAUGGUUGACGUUAUCGAAGGAAGUGAAAGCGAAUAAGAGCAUUUAGAAUGAUUGUUUAAUAGUUUAAUUCAAUUUGAACUAUUUUGGCAUUUGUUGAAUUGAACCUCAGUUGUAUUUGCAAUGUUAUAGUUCAAUAACUUCAACUUAUUGACAUGUGAGUCUCAUAAUUAACCUAUUGCAAUUUAAUAAAGGGUUCAUCACCAAAACCGACCUUGACCUAGGGCGAUCAGCGCCAUAGCUCAGGGCCUAUAUAUAUAUAUAUUUAUAAAAUAAAAUAAAAUAAAAAGAAACUAAAUAGUCAAGUGAACAAGAAUUGAAGUAUUGAUAACCUGUUGGGCAAAGUCGAAGUGAUUGAUUCAUGAAUAUGUGGGUUUCAACCAGCAUCAAAGCCAACGUAAAAAAUACUUUUAAGGAACUGGUAUUUCCUCCGAUGUCUUAGCUAUCUUGAAGAGAACACAGUUGAAUGAAGGGUUGGAGUACGUGGAAUUUUGCAAUUUGGAUUUUGAAGAUCUAGAGGUAUCAAAACUUUCGUUGUUUGUUUUUUUUCUCUUUCUUUUCCGUUUGGGUUGGUUGAGCGUUCUUUUGUUUUUGGCUCAACAAUUUUACUCACUAUCUUUUUGUUGUUAGUUUUCUUAACUUUUUUAUUUUAAGUUGCUUUGAAUGUUUUUAUUUUUAUUUUAUACGAGCUUUUCAUGUUUAGUUUAGUUUUAUGUGAUUCUAUUUUAAUGGAAAAAAAAUACUCAAAAUUCAGGUGUUAUUGUUCUCUGUUUAUUAGUUAAAUUAUUAAAGUAGAAUCCUUCAUGCUUGAGUGUGAUUGAUCAUAUUUUUAGUUUCUUUAUUCCUAUUGCCUCUAUCUUCCUGUGCAAAAAAGCUUUCUUGUAACAAAACAAAAAACUUUCUUUUAAGUGUUUCUCCUUAUUGUGGUGAUUGUUGAGAUUUUUAUUGUUAUUAGUUGCGUUUAUUAUAAAAUUUAAAACUUAGAAACCUUAAAAAGAAAAAAAAGAAAAAAAAAGGAAAAAUAAGAAGACAUUGCUCAAAGUCUUAAAAAUUCUUUGGAUAAAAAUUUUCUUUAAAAAACUAAAGAUUUGUUUAUAAAAUAAAAUAUAAAAAAUUAAAGUUUUAGUGAUUAAUGUGCGUGUAUAUGGGGACACUUUAGACUUUCGCCCUGGGCCUUUGAGAGCUCGGGACUAGCCCUGUUUAUCACAAAGCACCCUCUAUUGCAAUUGCAUCUAUUGCAUCUAUUGCAAUGAACUAAAUCACACUAUUGCAAGUGAGAUUUUCCUGUUUUAAUUCAAUUUCAUGCAAUAAAAUUACAUUGAUCUUAACUAUUGCAGGUGCUCUAAGAUGAUUCACUUAUGCACUCAAACCAAAAUUUGGGAUAGUUUUCUUUUCAAAUAUCCAUCGAAAAAAGGAAAAAUUACUCUGGAGAAAAUACAUUAGGGAUUGAAGAGGCCCAAUAAAUUAAGACCGAAAAGAAUUAAGUUUUUUUAUAUAAGUGAUAUUGGAAGAAAAAUUAAUCAAAGUUAGGAAUUCAGGUGUAUGGAUGCUCUUAACUACUUUCUACAAGUGCCUUGCAAAAAUGAAAUAUUGUGUCUUUGAGAAGACUUGAAACUUUAACCUCAAAGGAGGAAACCUCUACCACAACCACUACACUAAUCUUGUUUGUGUAUGUUCAAAAAUGCAUAUAGAUAAAAUCAACAUUUAUUGAGCUUCACCAAAAGUAAAAAGGUACGUUUAAAAGAUUAGUGAAAUACAAUCCAGAGUGAGCCCUACAAGGGGUGUCCCUCAAAUAAGCUUAUUUGAGGGAUCCCUCAAUGGAAGCUCUCUGUAUAUAUAUAUAUAUAUAUAUUUAAAAUAUAAGCGAUAGUCUAAAUGAAAAAGAAAAGGGGUUUCUCACACACACUAUCAAUGUGUUAUGAAAGUUCGAACCUACAGUCAAGACGCUUUUAUAUUAGGCUAGACUCCGUUAACUUAAGUGACUUUAUUUAAGAGAACAAAACCAGCACAAACAAAAGGUUUAAAGGCCAAAAUCCAACAAAACCUAGAAUGAGAGCAAAGGAUCACUGCCACCUACCACAAAGCAAAGAUGAGCAUCGACUAAAAGCAGCUGCAAGCUUACAACAAGGGCCAAGCCGAAAGAACAUUGUUUAACCACAUGUUCGAUCACUUGACUGAGGAAAGGCCUUUGUUUUAUUUAUUCAUUUAACAAUAAUAUAUGAGCAUCUCUUAACCAACUAAAUAACAAUGAACGUAUCGGAUUCACACAAAAUUAAAUGCAUCCAUUCAAAGUAGAUGGAAAGCAUGGUCGAGGAAUUUUUAUAUGGGCUGGUUAUAAAUGAUCUCUCAGAACAUGCAUGUAGAUAAAUCCUACCAUAAAUAGUAGGUGGCAGGUACAGAUGUGAUAUUUUCACACCGAAAAGAUAAUAUUGGAACACAUCAGAUAAUGUCGUACAAAUUAUAUAUUUUUGUAAUUAGUUUGACAAAUUACAAAAAUAAACAAGAUUGACAGCCGUUAGGCCAACUGUCAAGAAAAAAAAGGUCAUAACCCUUUCUUGUCAAACAAAGUAAAUACAUAGUGAGAAAUUCUUCAAAUAAUUUUAUUUGAAGUACACGAAAGUUCAUAAUCUUUUAUAAAUUUUUUUUUAAUGAUUUAAAUGAUUUAUUUUUUUAAGUUUAUAUUUACAGAUUAUUUUUGUAAAAAAUUAUAUAAAUUGGAAACCGUUUCGACAUCCAAUUGUGUUCUUCAAUAAACACAGUACUUCAAAAAAGUAAUAAAAUUUUAAUAACUCAAUUGAGUUGUCAAAUGAUAUCGGAUUCAAGUGAUUUUUUGUAGAGAUAAUCUUUGAAUAAAUAUCUAUAAAAAUAGACGGUUUUAAUUAGUGAAAUAUAAUACGAAAUGGACCCUAUAAAGGUGUUCCUCAAAUAAACUUAUCCGGAUACAUUGACCAAGCCAAGAAGAAAAGAAUAAAAAUAAGAGCAAGUAGGUUAAAAACCUAAAACCAAUUGAUAUCCAGCCAAAAGAUUGCGUUGGACUACUUGAAGACUGAUGUCCAUCACAGAUGUUAAUCCCGUGACGCUACAGCAUGGCCAAUUUCUCGGUUCACGGGCUGCAUGCAUGGCCCCAUUCCUUCCCUAUCCCUCCCACCAAUGCUCUUUUUAUUGUCAAUAAAUAAAUAAAGAAAUAAAAACCCACCAAUAUAAUCCUUUGGUUUCCCUAUAAAACCCACCGACUAGGAGCUCCUAAAAUCCACACACACACACCAAAGAAGUAAAAGAGAAUCAGUAUUUAAUGAUCAUGAAGGGUUUUCAUCAAAAGCUCCUAGUUGUUGUGGCUGUGGUUUUGGUUGCACUUGCAAGCAAUGGUGGUUUUGUUCAGGUUUGUGAUGCUCAGAACAUAUGCAAUGUCUCUUUGAAUGGUUUGAUGACUUGCAGGCCAGCCGUGACCGCCCCGAACCCGGCCCCGCCUACAACCGCCUGCUGCUCGGCGCUGUCACAUGCCGACAUGGGCUGCCUUUGCUCCUACAAGAACUCCAACCUCUUGCCUUCUCUAGGGAUUGACCCUAACCUUGCCCUCCAGCUUCCUGCCAAGUGCAGGCUUCCUCAUCCUGCCAAUUGCUAGACAGUGUGGUUUAAUAAACAACGUGAUAUAUAGUGAUUAAGAUGUGAUUAAUCAUGUAAUCACAUGUUGAACUUGGAUAAUGAUGUCUACUAUAUAAUUAAGUGUUUUGAGUUGAAUAACCAUGUUUCAGUGUUGUUGUACGUAGCUUACGGGUUCUUGCAAUUUGCUACGAUGUUGCUGGAUAUGGAAUAUGUAAUACAGUAGUACUAUAAUAUAAACCUUGGUUUUCACUAUAUAAGUAGUUGCCUGGAAUUUCUCUCAGUUGGUUUGGUUCUUCCACUUCCACUCAUGUAAGCAGAGAUUAAAAAUACCGAAACACUCGAUGAAUAUUUGUGUAAAUCCCUCUCCUCCAAUCACUUGUAUUAAAAAUAAAAUAAAUAAAAAUUUACGGUUGAAGUCGUGUGUAUUACCAUUACUUGUAUUAAAAAGAAAGUAAGCCCCUCUCUUCCAAUCAGUUUUUGCCUUAUUUUUUUAUCUGCGUGAAUUAUAAGUCACGCAUCUUUGUGUUGUCUUUCUUAUGUAAUAAGCACACUUCAUGUCUUGUCUUUUAGGUAUACGUAACCUGUCUUUAUAGACCAUUGGAUUGAAAAUAAAAAAAUAAAAAAAUAGGUAAAUCUACACCAUUCAAUUUGGGGUAACCUGAAAACCUGUUAUUGUAGGUUAAAAUUAAAAUAUAUUUGGGAUUUGAAGAGGGGAAUUUUCUUACUGCAUCAACUCUCAAGGUUUGGAAAUCUCCAGAUCUCUUAGUUUAUUUGCAUACUAUAAAUAUAUAUUUAUUUUUCAGUGAGUGGAAUGAAAAUUUAUGUUGCUUAGUUUAGUUUGAUACUUUUAAUACAAAAUUAGUGAAACACCCUAUAAAAGUAGUUGUCGAAAGAUCAUCUCGUGACAAAAAUUGAGUUACGAAGAAAUCGGUAAACAUUAUCUAGAAUGUGUAUAGGAUAAGCGUGUGAGUACUUCUUGUAAUCAUCGUUCUAUAGUGGAUUUGUUUUGGACUGAGGAGUCCCAUGGAUUUUCCUCAAAAGUGGGAUUUUACUACGUAAAAUAAUUUUCUACGUGUUCCUUUAUUUUUGCGCAUGUUUCAGGAUUGAUAAGCCAUAUCAAUCCUACUACUGAAGUUUAUUUUUAUUUUUUUAUUAUAAUUUUAAAUUGACCUAUUCACUCCUUUCUAGGCAUUUUCACUUAUUAGUUAUAAAUUAAUGGCAUGUUACCCAUUUUCAGGCGAUGGAUACCAAAGCAAACAACUCGAACAAAAGCCAAAAGAGCCCUGCAAUGCGAAGAGUGAAUGGGUGCUAGUCACAACAUAACAAAUUGUCCAAAUCAUAAUCUUAAUGAUAUGGGUAAGUGCAAAAAGGGUUAUACAAGCGACGGGAGCGACUGUCUCACUAGUUUUGGAUCAUGAGAGGAUAAAACUCGUUGGAACUAAACAUUACCUACAUCCUUGACGUUGGGGAAUUGGAAUACAAUAACGUUGUAUAUUAGAACCUAAAUCUUAUAAAUUACAAGAUUUAUGUGCCUAUUUAAGAGUUUAUGCAUAUGGUUUACCAUGUCAUGGUAAACUCUAAUCCAUAAUAUGAUAAUCUUCUAUUUAUACUUUUAAGGAUCCAAAUUACAAUGAAUUGGUAAUGGUGGACGUUAAAGAUGUAAAUGAGGUCAUAUUUCAAGUAAAAACAUGUGUUUACUAUAAUAAGGACUAAUAUUACAAUGUUGGUGUCACGCCCUAGACUCGGGGUCGGUGGAAACUCCUCGCCAGGUGCGUAAGAAAAUAAAAAGUAAAAUAAAAUAAAAAGAAGCCGAAACAUGGAUUUAAAAUAAACUUCUUAUAAAAAUGGCUCCAAAAUCUUACAACUUUACAAGAAAUAAAUAAAGCUCUAUCACUCUCAUCUAAUUCAGCCUCAACUGGUUUAGUCCUUGCCUUAUCCAAAUUCAUCUAGGUGAAGGAUGAGCAACCACCGCUCAAUAGGGACAUGAGACCUUACAAUAGUAGAUUGAUAUAACUAAAAUAAGUGAGAUGCAAUCGCACAACCAGAUAUCACAUUAAUUGAAGGGACCCGCCACGAAUUCCCCCUCGGAAUCUAUAACGAACCCUCUCCCUACCCGACACUAAGCAUGUGCCAGCCCAAAUUACUAAAAUACCAUGUUUGCCCUAAUUCCAAAACAAUUUUAGAGUUUGACUUUUACCGGAAAUUUGGCAGAGCCUCCCUUGAAACUGGCUCAAAACCCAAAAAUUUACUUGCACAGCAAACACAAUUAUUUCCCAAGCGUUCAGCAAGCAUAAACCACACACCAAUUAGCAAAAGUUUCAAUGGGCUUCAAGCCCACCUUUACCAACAUAAGAAAGUCAGCAAAAACAUCUUGACAUAACUGAACAUAACAAACAAAUCCUAAACUCGCGGUUGCACCUAGGUUAGCCUAGGUCACCUACAUAUCCUUACUGAGGGAUCAAGCCACACGUAAUUCUUUCUGUCAUAAAUUACAAUUAAGAUAUUACAUAAAUGUUCAAAGUGAAACCAACAAUAAAAUUCUAGAAUCAUUCUUUACCUUGAUUUCAACAAGCUACAUAAUUGAAUGUCAUGUCUUGAAAUUAUCUACCUAACUGUUCAAUCAGUUUAUCAUUGUACAUCAAACACAUAUGUAACCAAGCCUUUUACGUGAAAACCAUACCUGUGACUAUCAGCAUAGUGCAUAUGUCUUGUAAUGACUCACCAAAGGGUAUAUGAGAAAUAUCAUUAAAUUCGAAGGCAACCGGGUAAGGGGAAACUAGCCAAUCACAUGUGGCUAAGGAUCCUGGCCAACCCUGUGUAGAUAAUAUGAGCAGGGUGGCAAAGAGUAUCCUGUUAACUGUAUAAACAUAUCAGUACUACACUGUUCUCCACAUAGGUGUAACCCAAACAUAAGUAGUCAAUUCCAUAUACUACACUUGUGGAAUGGUCCACUCCACAUGUGUGGCACAUCUUAGCAGAACUCAAGGAGAAAUGGUCAACUUGAGAACGUAAUCCAAGCAUAACUCAGGGAGAUAUACUCAACCUAAGAAUGCAAAUCCUAGCAUAACUUAGGGAGAUAUACUCAACCUGAAAACGAAAAUCCUAGUAGAACUUAGGGAGAUAUACUCAACCUAAGAACGCAAUCCUAGCAUAACUCAGGGAGUUAUACUCAACUUGAGAACACAAAAUCCUAGCACCACACUGUUUAGGCAUACCCGAUACUAAUGGGGCUCAUCCGAAGGCAACCAAGUCGUCCGAAAACAAUCUGAAGGCAACCAUAUUUCCGAAGGCAACUGUAUGUCUGAACACAUUCGGAAGGCAACUGUAUGUCCGAAGACAUUCCAAGGGCAACCAUAUGUCCAAAGGCAACCAGGAUGUCCGAAGACAUCAAUAUCUCUGAAGGCAAAGAUAUUUCCAAAGGCAAGCGGGAUGUCUAAAGACAUCAAUAUCUCUGAAGGCAACAGUAUUUAUGAAGGCAAUACAAUCCAAUUUUAAACCAUUUAACACAUAUGUAAAAAUAAACAUGGAUAUAUCAUGCUUGGAAAGUAAAAGAGAUAGAACAACAAUUCAUAAAUAUUUUAUACAACUCCCAUAGCAUAAUACCAUUUUAAAACAAACAAUCAAAUCACAAACGCCUCCUAACCAAUUGAUCACGAUCAGGCCGACGAGUCCCACCAUCUAGGUCAAUUAGGCCCGCGGGGCCAUGACCUCUGAUUUUCAAUCCGAAAGUUCAUAUAGGUCAAACAAAGUCUACUAAACAAGUUCCGAAGGUUUGGUCUCGAUCAAGUGGUCAGAUCUAAGCCAAUUGCACGACCGGACGACGAUUACUUCGCCUAACCUUAGAAUCAAUUACUCGGAGUAUCUGGGACUCCGAUUCUCGAUCCGUAAGUUCCUACAGGAUCCUAGAGGUACAUGGAACAACAUAAUUGAAAUUGGAGCCGAUCUAACGGUCUGAACCUAUCGGACCCAAAUAUCACAUAAUAAGUGCAAUAUCUGUUCGAUAGUCAAACGGUAACCAACUUCAAAUAUGAUUAUACCAUCGUGCUCAAAAUGACGUGGGCGGCAUUUUAGAACACAAUGGGCCGCCACUCGCCGCUGGCAGUGGUGGGUGCCUUGAGAAAAUUCUGACAACGAAAAAUUCUCAAAACUCCCUACAAUACUUAUACCAACACGUUCAGACUAACAAGGGGAACGAGUUUGGUAUCGGACCCCGAACAAAAAGUGAACGGAAAUUAGUAAAUGGCGGCCAAACUGUCGACCAUAAAUGGGUGUUUGAUUAAUUUCCAAAACUCCACAAUUGAUCCAAAAUAACCACAAAAACAGCAAGAACACAAGGAGAGGAUGAAAAACCAUACCUAGAUCGACAAUUUUGGAUGUUGGAGCCGUCGGAAAUGGUUUCAGAAAAGUUUGAAACCCUUAGUGCUUUCGGAGCUCACCGCGGCUCAGGGAGGGGCUGGGCUCGAUGGAGAUUGACCUAGACAAGAUCGUUGGCUCCUUACGGUCAUUUCUCGACUAGUGACGAGGCCUGGUGUGGCGGGAGCAUCGAGAUCGCUGGUCAAAGAGCCAACUAUGUUGCCGCAUGCGAUGGUGAGGAGAGAGAAAAAAAUGAGGUAGAGAAGGGCUGACCAGUUUUUAAAAUUUGACUUUGAGAAAUUUACGGUUAUGCCACUGCACUUCCAUAUAUCAUAACUCCUUUGUUUUAAAUCGAAAUUGAGCAUGCCGCCUGUCUACAAACUCAUAAGCUCGAUCACUACGCAAUGGAACCAAUAAAAUUUUCAAAACUAGCCAUGAGCAAAAAGUCAACUCUAAACCAUCAAGGAAACCUAAGGUUAAAGUCGUCCUUUCACUUUAGAAUUUUGAAAAUUAAAUUAAAUUUCGGGAUGGGAUGUUACAUUAAUAAUAUUAAUGCAUGAAUGUUCUUCAUCUACUCGCGUUAAUUCAUAUAACUAGACGAGCAGACCUACACUUCCCAUACCAUGCUUAUACCACCUAAACCCGAAUGCCCAUUUAUAUGAACUGACACCCAUUUCAAUAAUCCCAUAAUUCCUUUUUUGUUAGUCAUCUUGUCUAACUCCCUGUCGCCAAUCCCACAUCACCCAAUAAAAACCAUGAGCACAGUGGGAUCCCUAAGAUCUGGUACGUACCUUACAAGAGUUAGACUCAACUACAUAAAAGAUUAUUUCAAUUACCCUCUUUUCCAUCAUUAUUUUAUCAACACAACAACUCCAAUCAAUUUUCAUGACAUGAUAUAAUUAUAUCUUUCACAUAGCCCAUAUAUCUCACAACAAUGUAACCAUUUAAAAUAUCACCAAUUAAUGUAUAUAUAAUUAUGCCAACAUUAUUCAACCAGUCAAUAACACAUAAACAUUCCAAGGAAGCCAUUCAAUUGUAACAAGAACAUUAACUAAAUAAUCAUAUCAUGCAUAAUAUAGUGCUCACAAAAUUUAAUUAAAUCAAUCUCUAUAAAGGCCCCCAAGAACCCCUAAUUGCCUCGUUUUAAAGCUAAUUCCAAGUUAAGAAAACACACGAGCUAGAACCUCUAACUCCUCCAGGAAUUCUAUCACCAUUAGCUUUCUUUCUUCCUUUAUCCUCUUCCUCUCUCUCUCUGUCUGCCUCUCUCAAGAACUAUUACUUUGCAUGCAUUGCAUGCAAUGUGCAACCUCAAAUAUUACACAAGGUUUGUGUACUUUCAAAAGUAGCAACGGAGGGGUAAGAAAAGAACCAGUGGAUAUCGAACUAUCAAAAGACCCUUUUUGGUACGCGCCCCACGCGCGGUCAAGUUUUCUGAGUUUUUCAGAUCUGCGAUUUCGUUUUUGACUCCGUCGUACUGGAGGCCACGGUGGCUUCCAGGUUUUGUUCUUAAUCAUCUGUUGCUGGUUCUACUUGGGGUACACCCUCUUUGAUUAUGGAGGAAGGAUCGCCAGGGGUUUUCCUUAAAACCUACCGUUCAAUGAAGCGAGUUCGGGUUGGAGAUGAGUGCGCCACUGUGUGCAAUAUGGAUGAUCAGCCGAAUCCCUCUAUGAUGGAGCAUGUGAUGUCUGAAUCUGAACAUGGUCCUGUGCCGAAUUCAACUUUUGGAGCUGAAAGCUUUCGUGACAAAUUGAUGAACAAGGUCAGGUUGGAGAAAAAUGUGGGAAUUGAUAUCAGUUCCCUUGAUGCUGAUUAUGAUGAUUUAAAUGAUGAAGAAGAUGUUCUAAUUUCUCAUGGAGAACGUGGGCCAAGUAUUCAAUUCUCUAAUCGGGCUAUGGAUCGCUUUUGUAAGCCUUGGAGAAAUGCUCUGAUUAUCAAAUUGUUAGGUAAAUCUCAUACCUAUAAUUAUAUUCAUGCUAGAUUACAGCAGAAAUGGAGUUUGAAAGGGGCAUGGAAGUUGAUUGAUUUGGUUAAUGAUUACUAUGUGGUGAAAUUUGAUCUUGAAGAGGAUCUAAACUUUGUUCUGACUAGUGGUCCUUGGAUCGUAGCGGGACAAUAUCUGGUAAUGCAGAAAUGGAGACCGGGUUUUUGCCCAGCCACUGCUCAUAUUACCCGUAUGGCAGCCUGGCUCAGGGUUUCGGCUAUUCAACUCGAGUGCUUUGACGUUUGGUCCUUGAAACGGAUUGGUAAUAUGCUGAGCAAAUUAUUAAAAAUUGAUUCGCUGACCACGGCCCAGAAUCGUGGUAAGUUUGCUAGGUUGUGUGUGGAGUUAGAUUUAACUAAACCCUUGGAGGCUUUUGUACAAAUCAAUCAAAAUUGGUACAACAUUGAGUACGAAGGUUUGCCUGAUAUUUGUUACCAUUGUGGAAGAUAUGGGCAUAAAUGAGAAAAUUGUGAGUUGAGAGUUAAGGUGCCUGCAGAUGUGAACACUGAGAGUACAAUUGGUGAUGAUUCAGAUAAAAUGAAAACUGGUGCUGCUGGGGUUAGUGUGAAUGAUCCUUUGGCUGAUUCUGGUUUAAGAGGUCCAUGGAUGAAUGUUCAAUCUCGCAGGCGACCUAAGCUUGAUUUUAAAGCCUCUAGUGGUAAGGGUUUUGGUGCAAAGGUUAAGGGCUCACGUUUUGAUGCGCUUAGGAACCUUAGUGACAAUUUUGGAAGAGAUGAGGCGGCUAGUGAUGUGUUUGUUGAGCAAGACAAGUCCAAUUUUAAUAGCUCAUUUCUUCCUGAUGUGGAGCAUGGCAAGAAAGUAUGGACUAAAACCAAGAAUGCUACGCCUGUGUUUAGAAGUGCUUUGAAUGAUAUCUCCAAUAAGCCUUUUGAGGGGAAAGCCCCUGGUGAUAUGAGUUUCAGGAAAGGUGAUGGUCCUUCAAAAGUGUCUUCAGGAAAGGUAACUCGUAUUGGUAAGAUGGUUGUUCAGGGAAAGAAAGUUGAUUGUUCUAGCCCUGUUAAUGAUCAAAUCACUAGUUGGGUCACUGAUCAAAAGAGUCACCAUGAGAAAGGUGUCUACAUCUUUGGUCAUCAACCGCCUAAUAUAAGUGAGAAAGCUGCUAGUAGUGUGGGGAGCACUGAUUCUGAGGGUGAUAAGGAUACGUUGAACUCUAAUGUUUCUGAUAGCUUGUGUCAAGCUGAUAAAAUGGAUCUUUUGGAAGGUCAAGCUAUUCUAUGUGGUGAGAACUUGGCAGGCAAUACCUUCAACGAUGGUGGAGGUAUGACUGUUGGUAUUUAAUAAAGGGUUUAGCCCUUGGGGUCCUCUUCCCUUUCUACUUACUUUUAUGAAUAUUGUCUGCUGGAAUGUUCGAGGUGCUGCUAGCACAAAAUUCAAGACUAAUAUGAUGGAUUUGAUCCAUUCUCAUCAUAUGGACAUCUUGUUCAUAUGUGAGCCUCGUAUAAGCAGUGGUAAAGCUACUUCUAUUGCUCAAUCCCUUGGUUUUUCUAAUUUUGAAAUUGUGGAUGCUACUGGUUUUUCUGGUGGUCUUUGGUUGCUUUGGGAUGCCACUAAAGUUCAUGUUGAUAUUUUGGGGACUUCAGACCAAUCUAUUUCUGCUUCUGUGGCUUGGCCUGGCCAGUCUCCUUGGUUGUUUACAGCUGUGUAUGCUAGCCCUUGUGGUAUUAAAAGAGCAAAGCUAUGGGAGUAUCUAAGUUUUAUCGCUGAUUGUCAACAUUUGCCUUGGUUAAUUGCUGGUGAUUUUAAUGAAAUGUUGAAUGUGAAUGAUAAGCUAGGAGGAGUUCCUGCUUGUAGAUUGAAAGGUUUUAGAAGCUGGUUUGAUUGCGACGAGGACCACGUCACCGGUGGGCUUGAAGCCCAGCGACCGGAGAAGGGCGGCGAGCUCCAGCUGGGUGAGGCUACCGUCGGAGUCCAUGUUGAAUCGCAUGAAGAUUAUGGAAGCUGCUUCCGUUGAUCAGAGCCGAACGCAGCCAUCAUUCUGGUAAUGGCCAAAGAAGAAGAAAGGGAUCAAUAAGAUCCCAAUUGUGUUUUGGGCGUUUUGGUGUUUUUUAAUUUUAAUUUUGUGGUGUGGGGCUAAUUGGUUUAAUUCUGUUUUUCUCUUUGGAAAUUUGCAAUUAUAGACACCAUUAAGUUUCAAUUCACGUGGGCUUUCAUAUUUUAUUGUUCAGCACAAUUAUGUAUACCAGUCUAAAAAGUUAGAUUGCAUUUUUUCUUGGCUGAUUCUUACUUCUCAUAUCUUAAUAUCUUUCUUCCUCCUUGAAAUUUGCACGAACUGGGAGGGUGGCGUUGGAGAGGGAGUCUGGUGUGGAUUCCACUUAUCUUCGUGGAUACCCCCUUCCAGUAUAAUUCCAGAGAGAGACAGAGCCUUAGAGAGAGAGAAGGCAAAGAUGGGAAAGAAAGCAGAGCGAGCGAGAGAGAGGAAGGAAGAGAAAAGAAUGAGAGAACGGUUUUAUUUUUCUUUUGAUUUUUUUUUUAUAAUUUUUUUUUCACACAUCAGCCCCAAUAAAUAUCCCUAAUUAAAUAUAAAUAUUUUUUAAGUCAAAAUUCUCAAUUAAAUUUAAAUAUUACAAGAAUUAUUUUUUAGUCCGACACAGCACCAAACAUAGGUAUUCACUAUUUUUACAAUUCAGCUUCUUAGUCCGACACAACACCAAACGUAGGUCAGUACUUAAUCCAACUUAAGCCAAUCCGAGCUAAUCCAAGACAGUCUCAGGACUUAGUCUAGUCCAUGACAGUCCGCUGUACCAAACGACCCCUUAAUGGACUAGAUAAGUCAUUUAACACUGACAAAUAGUUUAUAAUAAAAAAUAAAAUAAAUAAAAAAGCCGAUUUUACGACUAUUUGUCAUCUUUGAGUCGUCGUUUGUUGUAUUUUUCCCCUUUGCUAUUCCCUUUAUUUUUCUUUCGUAACAUUUUAUAAUUUCAAUUAAUGAACAGUCUAUUAUGAAACUGCAUUCAUCAAACAAUAUUUAGUGAAUAAUGGAUAGUGGGUAAUUAUAAGUUUUCAUCAAGUUGCAAUAUUGUUUAUCGCUUUGGUAAUUACUCAAUAUCAGUUUGGCAAUAAUUUAUAAUAUGGCAAAGCGAUAGACAAUAAUUCCCCAACCAAAAUGGCGUAAUUUCCAAAUCGAUAUCCAGGAAUUGCUAUAUCGAUAAUCCAGAACUGCCAAAUCGAUACCCAUAAUUGCCCGAUCGAUACCCAUCAAUUGCCAAAUCGAUAUACAGUAAAGUCUACUCCUACAAACCCUACUAAAAAACGUCGCCUACAAGUUUGAACUUAGAGACCCUUGCUAUUGCUACAAAAACAAUUUGGAAGAUAGACAAACCUUAGAAAACUCCAAACCCAGUGAUAUCUAGUGCUUUAUACACACUACGAAAUAUCUGACAACCAAUGGAGGAGAUGACAAACUUCACCACAAGCAGCGGCACCAAGUUUAGCAGUUUCACCACUUGCAGAGGACCAAGUUCAGUAGCAGAGAUUUUUUGAGGUUUGAAGUUCAGCCGCAGAGAUUGUUUGAAGAGCAAGGAAAGAGAGUCAUGACGAACCCUUAACCUACUAUAGCAGGUUUCUAAAUAAAAAACAAAACAAAAGCACAUGCUAAUUAAAUUAAAAAUAGAUGGUGUAUGGGUACACAGGUGUACCGUAGACGUUGCCAUCAAGGGAAUUCAUACUGAUAAUAAACUUUAACAUUCCCCUAACCCUGAACUCUAAACCAUAAACCAAUAAACAUACUUUAUUUAAAUAAAAAACUCGUACAUAAGGUACCAAAAAUGGACUACAAUAAACACCAAUAAACACGGAUUAUUUAAGCAUGAAUGUUCCUUGCUCAUGUUUGGUACAAAAAUUUGGUCCUCUUAAGAGAGAGUGAUAAAUCUUAAGCAUUUGAUAAUUAGUCGCUCGAAUGUACUGAUGCAUCCAACACUAUUCAAGAACAAAAUAAUUGGUAUAAAAUGCAGAGACCAAAUAAAAGAUUAAAUCAACAUAAAAAAUCAAGAGUAUAUUCCAGUGUGGAUCCAAAUCAUCCUUUAGGAAAUUCUUGGUUUCUAAUUCCAGUCACUUACUAAAAAUCUGUAAGUAAUAAUGUUUUUUGGGUUUUACUAGGAAGAACACUUUGAUUUCAUAAAAAACUUAGAUUGAAAAAUAAGGAUUGCAAAGACAAGGAUAAGAUCUAAAUUCUGAAAGAAAUUACUAGGAAUAACUGAGUCUUGGCCAUUAAAUUUUUUUUUAAAAAAAAGAUAAUAUACAUACAUGAGUACAGCAAAUGGCAAAGUGAUAUACUUGAAAUGUUAUAAGCUAGCACUGCCCUUUACCACUGUAUUCUCUGCACAUGUUGAGCACAUAUUCUUGUACAAAAGAAACAAAUGAAUCUCUUUACACCAUAAGCCUUGUGAAGAUCAGCAUCAACUCCAAUCAUAUGAAGAGAUGGGGCAGUCAGACUGAUCUAGUGCCUUCUACAGCAGGCUCAACGGUACUUCGCGAUACCUCUGGCUCCGUGCCAUAAUCCCAAAGUUGUUUUAGCUCACGCCUUAUCAGUCCCAAAAACACCGUAACACCUGAUUACCAGAGCAGGAUAAGCAGGAAGGAAUAGAAGACAAAGUAAAACAUCUGAAAUUCUAUUGGCCAAAAAAUGAAAAACUCCUUGACAUUACCUAGUGUACAUGGAACAAGAUAUAGGAGAGCAGGCUGACCAUUCCCGUUCAUGAGGUAUAAACCCAGGUACGUAAAACCAAGUCCUGGAACAAGAAUUACCAUCCAUUAGUACAAAGACAAGAUGAACAAGCAUACUUUGGUCAUGUUGAAGCCAGCUAUUAAAAGUAAAUGAAAUUAAUAAACUACCAAUAUAUGAAGAAAAAGUGUAUAACAUGAAACAGAUAGAUGUUGCACAAGCACUCACCGAUUCCAUAGCCAGUUACCAACCAAAGGAAAUAUCCGCUAAUUCCAUGCUUCUUAUUUUCUUUGUCAAACCUGAGACAGCCAAGCCCAGACAAGAUUUAAAAUUAGGAAAGAUAGAUUGAAAGCAAAUGCACACAAAAUUUUCAACUUAAAAAGAAAAAAGAAAUUGAAAGAAACAGCUUUUUAGGUGACCUCGUUAAUUUUAUCUAUUUAAUUAUAAUUAAUGAGGCCAUCUAACAAAGUUUAACACAUAAGUUCAGCAUACAUUCACAAAACAAUGAUGUUAGUCAUUUUGUGGUUUUACGCCCCGACAACUUUGGGGUUCAAUAGGAGAACUAAAAAUAAAAGUCAGGAAGUUAAAAAGACAACAAUUGGAGAGCAUGUUCUGCAUCAAAAAGUGACUCGAUUCGUGCAGACUCAGAUGAGGACGAGGAGUUCGGUUUCGGUAAAGCAGAUCUGGACUUGGAGCCUAGUGAGGAAGGUCUUAAAAGUAUGGUGAUGGUUUCAGGUAAUUCAGGGGCGAAUUUGGUGGGUGUACACGGGUGGCGGAAUUGGGCAAAGUUGGUGUCUCUUUUGAAGUGGAACGGGCUAGGGAGGAAGAGGAGCUGUUGUCAAAUCAACUGGAUCUCAAGGUUUGGCGGGAGAUUUUUAAAGAAACUGAAGAGACAUUUAAAAAGGCCAAUUCACUUUUUAUAUGGCUUUAAAAUAUCAUAACUUUCAUUUUACAUCUCUUUUUUCAUAAAACUUAAGCAUUUUUUGAGAUAUUUUAAGAAGACCAAGGUUUAUGCAUCUCUUUCACAAAUACAUCACUCUACAUAUCAUCAUAAUGUUUCGCACUCACAGAUAUAACCGUUAAAACUUGGUACGGGGAUUUUGGGAACGUAUGCUAUAUAAUGAUAAAAAUCUCAUUUUAACCAGAGAGAAUCACAUUUAACUAAGGACUUUUUCCAUAAUGAUAAAAAUCUCAUUUUAACCAGAGAGAAUCACAUUUAACUAAGGACUUUUUCCAAUUAGUCAACUAGCUCAAGGACUUAAUCAAAAAAGGAUAUAUUGUACUCUUUCCAAAAAGAAAAUGUGUUAAUAGGGACCUAUGUCUAAUUUAACUAAAAAGUAAACCUGGCAAAUGUUAUUUGAUUUCCUAUUUACAAAUAGAAAGUUGAUUGGGACAGAAAUCAGUACCUGUAAGAAAAUACAAUAAGCAAACCCGGAAACAGAACAUCCCCAAAGCCAAGCAUGUUCUGACCACCCCAGGGGUCAAAAAAGCGAGGGAUUCUCAAGAGCAUUGGUAGGCCUUCACCACUAUUGUCACCUUUAGCAACCUAGAAGAAAAAUAUGAGGAUUUAAUAAAAGCAGUCAUGUGUCAAAGCUAAUAAAACAGUCAAGCCCAUCGGGCACCCUUGAAUCAAUUGCCCGGCAAUGUAUAUCAUGUAAGCACAAGCAUUAGACAUGCAUGAACAGGAGUUUACUCGAAAUGGACAUCAGAAGCAUAAGAUGUCAGACAUUUACUCAUGGAGACUUUGUUCGUGAACCAAUGACCUUAAAGCGGGGAUCACAAGCAUAAGAUGUCAGACAUUUACUCAUGGAGACUUUGUUCGUGAACCAAUGACCUUAAAGCGGGGAUCACAAGCAUAAGAUGUCAGACAUUUAUUCUUGGAGACUUUGUUGGUGAACCAAUUGACCUUAAAGCAGCAUUAGUAUGCCCAAUAGAUUUUCUUGUUAAGUAUUUAUGACGUAAUAUGGAUGUGAACCAGAACAAGUAUUUUCCUAAGGGAGGGAGGGGGGGUGGGGUGGAAUUACCAUGAUAUGAUAUAAGCAAUGUUUUUAUUAUGUGUAGAAAUAUAUGUGCAUGUCCAUAUGCUUUAUAUAUGUAAAGACAAAACCAACCAGUCCAAACUUGUCAACGCUGUACUCUGCCACAUCGCCCAAUGACCAGGCUACUGGCCUGGUGGACCGAUGGACACAACCAAAGUCAGGUUAGAUAAUUAAAAAUCUUUACGCCUUAACAUUGGGCCACCACCUAGACUGCUGCUCACAUUUUUACAAUUACAACACUAAGUAUGAUUGCUAUUCCAAAUUUCAUUAUAAUAUGUUAGGUGGAAGAAUAAAAUAAAAUGGAUGUCAAAACCCCACACAUAAGAUUGAUGUCAAGAUGAAUUACGCUAAAGUGAAUAUCCUUAAUAAUGAUGACCAUAAAGAAGCUAAGUAUAUAAUUUUUCCACUUAUAAAACUCACUUCUGAUGCAAAACAAAUGUAUAAUCAUUUUAUAAAAUAAGCCUCAACAGAAUGAUAAAUAUAAGAAAUACACCCCAAAACUUCAAUUGAUGAAUUUCAGACAAAAACCUAUGCACUUUCCAGUUCAAGGUAUAUAAAUGCUAUAUAGGCAUCUUCUAGAUUCAUCAAAGUUGGUACAACAAUAAAGAACAUCAGUUAAUAGCUAAGAAAGAUGUUGCUUGGUGAAUCCUACGGGAAAAUUUCUGGCCCAUUUUGGUUAAAUCAUCCUGGAAUUUGGAACUAGAAAGACCUAUGGAAUAGACAAACCAAUAUAUGAAGAAACUUAUGCUUGCAACAUCCUUCAGAAAUCAUGAGAACUCCUAAGGUAAUCUAUCUGAAGCUUGGAAUGCUUUAAACAUAGAGCAUGAUAAGGGGGAAAAAAAAGCUUCUCCAGCCAUUGCAACUUUGACUUCCAAUAAGCAAAAUGGCUCCAAAAAAAAAAAAACUGGUCUACCUUCUCAAUGUUCUCACAAACCAAAAUUGUGACAACAGCUUGCAUGGUUAACAUGAAACAAAUGCAACUUGUAAUCUAAUAAACCAAGAAAAAGAAGAAAAACGGAGAUCAGAACUUACCACAACCAUGACGCUAUCUUUGAACAUUAAGGGUGACAGGAAUACCCAAAAGAUGUCGUAGACAAAUGCACAACAAAGUAGUACGGUAGCAACCUGAGACAUGUUAGAAUUAUGAGACAAAGGACUGAUUUAUUAAUUACAUGACAAAAGGACUGAUACAUUAAUUACAUGACAAAAGGACUAGUACCUUGAUAUUAGGUAAUCGAGCAAUUUGCAAGACUGUUAUCAUCAAGCAGAUACCCUGUCAAAAAAUGAUAUUUAAGUAGCAGAAGUGAAUUAAAGGAUCGAAGGAGGUCUACAACCAUCUUCAACACACCUUAACGCAUCAUGUAGACAACCAGGAUUAACAUGUUGCUAAAAACCGGCAGAUUAAAAAUGGUAGGCAAGUUGUGAAAGACGCAUAUCCAUAUGGCAUAACAUUGUAAAAUUUCAGGUUUCUUCCCAAGAUAUCAGCAGUCCAUAGGGAACCCACAAACAACUCAACUUAGGCUCACAGAAGAACUUUGGGUGACUAUCUUAACACAAAGUAAGAGCAGAAAAAAUGUUUAAAAAAUGCAUAUAUCCAAAUUUGCAAUAGUAUGCAUCAGACUGUCAUCAACAGCUUAACUAAAGGGGUGGUACGUAAAAGCUAUCUUGCAAGUAUGGCCAUUAGAAAUGUUCUGAGAUGGUAGAAUAGAAGACUGACCCACAGUAGUCUGGACAUCCAACCACUCUAUUUUACAAAGUAUUCAGCAUUCAAAAUAUUCAAAUUGCUGCAACUGCAGGUAAUUUCGCUGAAUGCAUAAUAGGAUUAGCCUAGAACACAUAUAUCAAAACUUGAAACUUACAAGAACAUCUUGGCCAACCCACGAAUAUGAUGCCCGUCGUGUUACAACCCAGAAAACUGCAAACCCCACACACAAAGCCAGCACAACAAGUGAGAGAAUCGACACCUCAUCCAGGAGAGGCAAAGUUAUUGUCUUCCGUCCACCACUUCUCCAUGUUCUGCUCAACAAGUAGUAGAGACAUGAAGGAACACCGACUGAAAUAAAUUAUUGCAUGCACUGCAGCUAGUGAUAGGUUUAGCAGAAACUGGAAAUAAAUGUGGAGUGUACCUCAAAAUCAGGCUUAAUAGACAAUUAUGCAUUCCCUGAAAACAAAAGCUACAUCAACUAGCAUGACACACAAGUAAUAAUACGGGAGAAUGACAGAAAGUAGCACAUAAAACACAUUGGAGAGAACAAACCAAAAAGAUUGCGCUUGUACCAGAGUAUAUCACAAUAUUUUUUUUCUCAGGUUAUUCUCUAAUUCUUUCUUUUUUUCACCUUUUUCCUGCUUUUCAAUAAAAAAUAUGUUCCAAAAAAAAAAAAAUUGUCUUUUCCAUUCUCAUAAAGAGCUUUCUAGGAUGCAACAAAAUGCCAACAUAACUGCUCAACUAAGAACUCAAAUAGAAAGGGUGAAUGUUACCAUUCAACAUUUCAAAAAAAAAUAAGGAAUCAAUAGGUGAUAUUAUAAUACAGGUAAAGCCAAUAUAUACUCUACAUUUCCUCAUCCCUUCCAUAAAAUGCAAAAGCAUUCAGGAUGUGGCGGGGAGUAGUCUGAAGAUGUUUGGGGAUAGGAUUUGGCUCUGGUAAUCUUUAUGAGCCCAAUAUCCUCACCAUCUAUGGCUAGAUCUUUCUUUUCCACUUUUUCAGAGUGGAAAGCUGCUGUUAUGUAGAUUUUUUUUUUUGGUAACGGUUCUGACUAGUAUAAUAUGCUGCUGAUGUUGUUAUUUGAUGCUGUUAGUAGGAUGUUAGGACAGUGGACAUCUUGUCCUCUGAUUUGUACAAUUGCAUUUUUCUUAAUGAAAGUUAUAUCUUGUCCAAAAAAAAGUGCAUUAUUCUGUAUUCUACAGAUUGUAAUGCACAGUUCGACUUAGUUUAAUUCCCAACACCCAAAAUAUUUCAUUACCAGAAACAUUCUCAAAUUCAAGAACAAAAAUGCCAAGAACUCUGUUUAUCAUCAAUUUUGUUCAUUCCCACUACUUGGCAAGCAUACUUUUAUUUAAUCAAGAAGAAAUAAACAACAGAAUUUAUCACAGUACCUCAAUACCGCCAAUGCAGAAAAGUACGAUCAGCACCCAGACAAACCACGUAGACAUAAAGAAAUAUAGUAGCAACAGAAAAACGGAUGCUGUUAUGACAAAACACACAGCACCCUUCACGCUAAGAUUCAUGACUUCAUCCUCAGAAUCAUCUUUCGCUGUUCCAGUAUUAGAUUCCUAUUCAAUAAAAGAUUAUAUAGAUACUAUUACCCAUAAUUACAGCAAUAGAAGUAACAAGAGGGCCGAGAUGAAAAUAUCGGGCGUAACGGGAAUAUGCCGUUACUCAAAUUUAUGGACUACAUUAUGGUUUCAGUAUCGAUAUUAGUGACUGUCAACGGAAUGAUAGAUAUUUGCUUUAAAACAUGGAAGUUUUAAAUGAAACUUUAGUAAAUGUUAAAUCAAUCAUUUCCGUUGAUGGUCACCAACAUCGAAAUAUCUAUCAAUACUGAUAUCUCAUCCCUGAUCACCACACAAUUUUUCUUGUAAAAGCCAAAGACAAUAAACUGAGUCUGUCCAAACCUUUUCUGCCAGUUCAUUAUAGCGCUCAUCAGACUUCUCAGGAGCAGUAAUCUUUGACCAAAAUGAGGCAACUAUUAUUGUUCCCACAGCCAUUAGCCACAAGAACACAACUGAGAAGUCCACCACUGGACGCUUGGGGGAAUAUAAUAGAAGCUCCACUGCAAUAAGUUACAGGAGUUAUCCAUAUAUUUUUUCACAUAAAACAAACUUGAGAAUUUCAAAGUACAAUCACAUUAGCUAACCUAGUCUUUAAAACUCACUAACAUAACACACUAUGACAAACUAACCUGUCUUUAAACCUCAGCCCUCAAACACAUUACCUAUGAGUCUACUAUCAAUCACUUCUUCUUUUUUUUGUUUCUUGAAGCACUAUUAUGUCUUCCCCUCCCCGUUCAACACCUCUUCGAUAACUCUCCUUUUUAUCCACCCUAGACCUCCAAUGUUCCAGCUGACAAAUUCCAUUUGAGCAUAAAGACCCACCCUUGCUCUGAACUAACCCCUUUCAAAUUCAAACGCAUGUCAAGUCCAACUUUAACCUCAUAGCUUGUCUUUGGGCUCUUUGUCUUGAACACUUUGAUACAAACAUAGUGCACUAGUUGUUUUGUGUCUCAUGCUUUUCCCCGAGGUUGGUAUGCUUAUAUUUUUUUUUAAAGAUUGUAUGUGGUGAGCAUCUUGGUAGAUUGAACAAGUUAGCUUGGUAUAUGCAUUAAUGCUGAAUACAUACAUACAAUUCUCUAAGUUGGUCAACCUCACCCAUAGAGUUUAUAAUUCUGUAAAUAGAUAUGUUAUCUUGAUUUUAGAAUGGAAGAAAAUGUUCUCUGUGGUCCUAGAAUGGUUUUGUAGAACCUAGUUUAAAUUUCACAGUAUUUUAGUUCACCGCCUUGGAAGUAUUGUUGCUGUAUAUUGCGUUUCUAUAUUGGUUGCAAGCAAAAGUGUUUCUUGUAUUUUGGUUUGAACUAUGUUGUAAAGAAUAUGUUUCCCUAUUGCUUGUAGUGUGAUAGAUUGUCUUAGACGAUAGUUACCUAUACUCUCAACUUUUAAGAUCUCAUGGCUAAGGAACCCUUAGAUGCAAUCUCUCUUAGGUUAUGUUCGUCUAUAUUUCUUUGUUUUUUUUCCUUCUUUAUCUUUAUCUUUUUCUUCUUUUCUUUGAAAAUAUAGAAAAUUGUAUCAAAUACACUCAAACUACACAACUGAUGGACAAGAAGUCCAUUCCGUCUCUAAAGCAUGUCAGCCACCAGCCAAGUGAAAAUUUGAAUGUUAGGUGGAAUACCAGCCUUCCAAAUAAUAAUAGGAUCCAUUUGAUUGUCAAUCGAUUGAAGGAAAAAUAUCCAAAUAAACAUUACCAUAAGACUGGGUUGACCAUAAUGUUUCUACAACAUGAUUUGGAUGCAUGGAGACCUUGUUUAUACAAGACAAUGAACCUGAAUAUUCUUGGAACUCUCUUUCACUCCAAUUCCAACGAAACUGUAAACCCCAGAACAUGACCCAGAGGAAACAGAAGCCAGUGAAGAGAUAACUCAGUAAUAGGUACCUAUAGUCUCAAUUUUUCAGAUUGAAGCCUAAGGAAUCCUAAAUGUAAUGGUUAGGUUAUGUUCCUCUUUCAUUCCUUUUAUUUUUCAUAAAAUAGAAAUUUUUAUUAAACACAAACUCAAACUAGAAUGCGAUGGGCAAGAAGAUCAUUUGUACUGCACAAAACAAAAUAAAACAAAAUCAAUACAGGUCAGCCUCGAAACUGAGAGCGAAAAUAGCUAACUGCGAACCGCAUACCAAUCUAACAAAACGGCAGACAAAUUUAAGGCCCAAAGAGAUGACCAAAAAAUCACUCUUUCCCACAACUCUUCCACAUCCACCCCUCUAUGAUCAUCAAAAUUCUUUCGUUUCUCUCCAUCCAGAUAACUCAUAUGAUGGCCAAUGCUCUGAAAUUCCAAAGAGCCUAAGCCCUUUUAACCCCACCAAAGCACUAGCCCUUUCACUUAGCAAAGAGUAACUUCCUUUUGGCCAUAUUUACGACAAACCUGCUUCCCUGAACAGAUUGGACCACACCUUUACAGCCGCAGAACAAUGAAUAAAAACAUGAUUGACACUCUCCCCUUUUCCCACAAAACAUAACUCACCAUCUUGGAGACAAGCACACAUUUGAUCCUCUCUUCUGAAGUAAAUCACAGCAAUUUAAUGUUCUUAUUUCCUAGUAUCGUCUUCUACUUUCCAUUUUAAGUUUCUGCAAAUUCUAUGGAAUUCCCUGCCACAACCAAGCCUCAUAGAGAACCUAUAUGUCCAACAUUAAAAACCUAAUCCAACCAACGCUUGAAAAAGCUAUCAAUCUUCCCCCUUUAAAGCUGCAAUUAAGGAAGCCCUUUUGCUAUGAAACACUCUUUAUAAAAGCCCUAAAUCAGACCUCCCUAACUGUCCCACAUCAGUAUGCCAUCUUCCUAUUAUGUUAUGUAUAUCACCACUAACCGCAUUCAAGGUAGUAAGCAUUUGACAAAAAUGUAUAAAUAACAAAAGCUAACUAACCUUUCUUUCCAUCUUGAAUAGAAUUCUUGAGAGAUUCUCCAUUUGACUUUGGAAUCAUCACAACAAAAAUCGAAAUGUUCAAAGAAGUGCUAUCCUCAGGACAAGCCAUCUUGGCAAGACCUAAAACAAUGGGAGAAAACAUCAGAAUUUACUAGUAUUAAGGGAAAAAGAGAAUUAGACUCAAGUACUACCCAUCAUAUUACUUCUUUUUCUUUUUUUCUGAAAUUCAGUCUGAUGUUACAUUUAAACUUAAGGUUCUAUUUCAAGUAAGACAAUUUCCACAAACCAUUUUCAGUUUCAGGUUUUUUAUGCUACUUCAAAGAGAAUUUAAAUAACAUUUUCUGGAGAAAGUAAAUCAAACACAUAGAUCUAAGGAACAAUAAAUAUACAUAAAACUCCUACGCAUAUUUCUAAGAUUCCAUUUGGCAUUUAAACUUCGUAUUAUGGUAGCGAAAUUCCUUAAUUAUUCACCAGAUACUUAAAAAGUUACUUUUUACCUUCAGGUGUGCAAGGUGUUUAAUAAAUAUAGUAAAGAAACAAAUAGCAUGCUAAGAAAGUGUUCAGAACACAAUCAAAUCACCCGCAAUGCUCAAGUGAACGUCAUGUUGCAGCACAUCAUCAGCAUCCAGUACCAAUAUUGUAACAGUCUGACCCAGUAUUCUUCAUUCAAUUUCAGAACAGGAAAAUUGUGCUCUAAUUCAAACAUUUGCAUGAUAGCUUUCGGAUUUUAUGUAGUAAAUUUUCAGGUUGAUAAAUUUCUUUUAGCUGCUUUAGAUUGUCAACUGACCACCAGAAAGAGAGAAUGUAGAAAAGGUCGGCACAUAUCAGAAAUAUCACUAUUCAGAAGAGGUUAACGCAGGAUUUCCCAAAAUAAGUAUUUACAUGUCAAACAAUGUUCACUUAGAAGUAGCAUUUGACCAAAGAGUAAAACUCCUAGAGUAUGUGGCAUGAAAUACGGUUAAAGAUACCUAAAAGAUGAGGAAUAGAUGAAACGUGAUAUGGAUGAAUUCAAGCAUCAAACCUAACUCAUUACAAGAAGAAUACCGAUAAAAAUAAUACCAUCCCCCCUAACCUCAAUAAUACCACUAGCCAACCCCAUUUCCAAAAAAGCCAGCCGUACUCCCUUAGGGGACUUUCAUGCACAACUUUCGCAACUGAUUUUUAUAAGUAAUGCUACACCUCUUUUCUGUAAUGCAAGAAAACUUUAUACCUACAAGCACAAGUUUUACUCACAACUCCCAACACAUACUAAUUUUUCUUAUUUAAAAUAGGGUGCUGAUUUUCCCACUCCCCUUUUGUCCACUUACACUCCUUUUCGUCUUUCAAUACUUUUUACUCAUACAAGGGAGUGUAAGUGGACAAAAGAGGAGUGGGAAAAUCAGCUCCCUUAAAAUAAAUAACGAAUCAUGAUCCCUAGUUAAUCAAAACGAUGAAAUGCUGAUGACAUGAGUAAGUGCAUUGAGAAUUACAACCUUCGUCAUCAUUUAUCACCACCAGCGCUUUAGCACCUCCUGACUGUGCAACUUUUGCCUUUACGGAGAACUCACAAUCGCCACGGGCAGACAAGGCAAUAGCGCCAGAUAACUGCACAAGUGAAAAAGGGACCGUAUCCACCCAAAUACAGUGAGUUCCAGGAGACAAUGAUGCUUGAUCAUAUCCUAGAACCUCAAGGCACAUUUUGUUUCUACAUUUAAAGUGUUUAAAUUCACAUCUAAAGUGAUAACAGAGAAAUUUUCCAUUUAAGAAAAAUCAAAGUGAAACCUUUGAAGAUGAUGCGUUACAGCCAUUCAAGGGAUUGGAGAUAACAACAGGCAAUUUGACGGCGUUUUCUUUUUCGGAAGGCAAUAAAGCCCCAAACUUUGCACCAGCCCCUUCAAAAGUUUCGGCUUCACGGCCAUUAACCCAAUUCCUAACCUUUGCCUGAGAAAUUAGAUGAAACAGUACAAAUGGGUUUUUAGCAGGAAACCAAUAACUGUAUGAAAUUGAAUUCCAGAAGAAAAACAAAACAAAAAAACCCAACUCAAUGUAAUUCAAUUCUCAUAUUACAAACAUGUAUUUCAUCAUAAAUCUCAAAAACAAAUUAAGAACUCAAUCUCUUGAAAACAAAAGGUAUAAAAAUGAAAGGAGCUUACCAUUAGGUAAGGGUUGUUACAGGAGGGAGUUUUGGGGGUGGAAUCGGUGUCCAAAACCAUGUCGUUUCCACCACGGGCCAAAGACAGAGCAAUCAGAGAUACCAAUAACACAAGGCGGAGGAGACCCGACGCCAUUGGACACCACCACCAGUCAACGAAACUCCUCUAAUUUGUAAUUCAAUUUAUGAACCGAUUCAAUCCAAUGUUGAGGAGACAGAGAAAGAAGAAAGGGAAGAGAAUUGGUUUUUUUUUUUUUUUUUUAAACCUCUUUUUCUAUUGGUUUUUUUUUUUUUUUUCUUUCUUUCUUCUUUUUUCUCUGCUCCUAAGGAAAAAAGAAAGCUGGAAAUGGCGAAAUAUAUAAUUUUAUUUGUCCACCGACGACGUGACGUGAUGCCAAGACCGGUAGACGGACACCAGACAAAAGGUGACGCGUAAUAGAAGUGGGAACCAAAGUCAUUCUUUUUCCAAUGCACUUUUCAUAAGCUCUCUCAACUGUAAAUUUAUACCCUGUUUGAAUCUGCUUUUAUGUCAUUUUUGGAAGUGCUUUUAUGUCAUUUUAAGAAGAAGGUACUUUUAAAAUGGCUAAAUUGCUUCUAAAAAUAUUGACAAAAAACAUUCGAAGUGUUUUUAGGUUCCAAAGGUAUUUUUUCAAGAAGUACUUUUUAAAUUAAUUAUUUUUUUCAUAAAAUACUUGAACUUUUUUAAUAAACAUUUCAAUGUGUGUCUACCAAAAGCACUUUUCAAUAACAAAUCAAAAUUAUUUUUCACUAAAUUAGUCCCGUUAGCAUUUUAUAUUCGUUUUAAAAACCAAGAGUAGUGUAGUAAUUCAACUCAAUUUGACACUCACUUUCUCCCUCCCACUUCAUAAUUGUUUUUAUAAAUAAAUAAAUAAAUAAACAAUGCCCUCCUACAGUAAAUUCCUCAUAAGGACAUGCAUAGGCUAGCAUAUGUGGAGGUCGAGGUUUCUAGUAAAAUUAUAACUUUAGUCCACACUAGCCUUUCUGCACGCGCUUCUGCGCUUGCGAGAGGUUUUUUUUAUAAAAAAAUUUAAAUUUAUUUUAGAAUUAAAAAAGAUAAUGGAUAGUUGGUUCCAUAAAAAUAGGAUCCAUUAUCUGAAUUUUCUUUUAAUUUUAAUUUUUUUAAUAUGAAAAAUUAUGAAUUUACCAUAUUAUCCUCAUUUAAUUACUAAUUUUAAUUCUUAAUGUUUGCAUUAACCAAGGGCAUUUUCUGGUAUUUUGAAUGUUUCACCAUUCUCUGCCUUUUGCUUUAUAUAUAUAGAUGACACAAAUUUUUUAACAAUAUCCAACGGCAAGGACAAAAUUGUUGUGUGGAAGUUAACUUGAAAGGAUGAUUCAUAGCAAAAAAAUAUAAUAAAAAACAAAGGACCAUAUGAUAGUUUCAUACCUUAAGGACGGCUGUGAUAAAACCCAAAAUAAAUAUGUACUCCGAAAAUUAUUUUGGAAAACUGGGCAUAUUAGAAAGCAAUUGUUGUUCAGAACAUGUUAAUAAAAUUAAGAGGGAUUCCCUAUUAUGCCAUAUAUGGGACCCAAAUUAUUUAUAAAUAAAUAAAAAAUAAUAUUAAAAAAACUUCUACAAUAAACGAAUUUUAGAAACACACCUGAAGUUUAUUUACAACAUAACAAAAAAACUUAUAACUUCCUAUAAAUUACAAAAUUGUCAUCAAUUUCUUAAAACAAACACAACCCCAAAACCUUAUAAAAUAAACUCAAAACACUCAACAUGUCAUCAAAGUAAUUUAAUAAUCAAAAUUAAAUUCAACAUGACCAACUGUCGUUUUUUGAGUGAGUUUAUAGAAAUUAAAUAAUGCAUGAUUUAUCUAUAUCAUUAGUGCUAAAAAUAAGUACAUAACUAAAUAUCUAUAAAAUUAUUUCUAAAAAGUGUUUCCGGAAAACGCUAAAAAUAGAAUUGUUCAUAUAUCUCCAAAAUUUAUUAACUCCGUUACGGAGUAACAAACAAGGCCAACCUCCAACUUCAGAUUUUGUUUGUUUGUUUUUUUUUUUGGCAAUUGGUCGUUGUCUUCUCCAUAUUCUUAGUUUAAGAUCAGGUCAGAUUUUGUUAAUCUUGAAAAACAGAUGUGCACACCUCAACCUUCAACAGAUAUGCCAAAAAUAUAAAAGGUAGAGAAAGGUUUUCAUAAAAAAGCAUUUUGGAUUUUCGUUCUUUGAUAACAAGACAAUUUGGUUACAAAGAUGCAGCUCAUCACCAUAGUUAUUUUCCGCAGCAUAUAUUACACAUCAAAUGUUACAUUUUUCACUUUCUAUCGUCGAUAUCGACUAAAUUUGUUUCUCACCACUACCUAGAAUUGUAUGGCAUUUGGGAUGAGCUGAUAUGCUUCAUGUUCAUCUUGGUUUUGGAAUCUGUUGUAUCUAAAGACUUCAGGCUCUCUAGGCUACUUAUGUUAUGAACCCACAUCUCUCCCCCCCACCCCCCAACAGUAAAAUUCGCAGAUUUCUUGUAAGAGGGGCAAGCUAAAAAUCAAGAGAUAGUUCUUUGUCUCAUCCAUUUUGUAGCCGACCACUUUUCCCCGGCCAGCACCUCACAUCCUCCAUGUACGCUAUUUGGAUCUGAUUGUCCAUCAAGGCCCUGAAAGAAGCAAGCAAAAACAAAAUGACAUGCAUGGAAGCCAGACCACUCUCUACUGCAUUUAAAGCUAUAGGAUUCAAAAUUGCAUCAGUUCAUCACCAUAGAAGGCAAACCAUCAUUUGGUUUUCAAUAAUGCAACCAGUAAUACAAUUUCAUAUACCGAAUUAAACUGGCAUUUAACAAUUCUUAUAAAUUAUAAUAUUUUGAUAAUUUAUAUAUUUGAAUAUCCCUUUUCAUUUCCCUAGUCAGUAAACAGUAGAAACCGGCAUUUCAGAACAAUUAAGAGGACUACUACUACCACCUGGAUUACAAUCACGGAUACUCGCCCAAUUAUACGAGCAUAUAUUACACUCAGAGCAGAGCAAACAAGCAGCCCUAGCUCAUUUUCUAUAAUUUUCUUAACUGUUGACAAGCAUGAACCAGUACUUAUUAGUAUCACUAAUCAUGUCCUGUAAUAACAAAAUUUAAAGCAUCCAGGUUCAGAAACAAAUAAAUAAACUAUGGGCACUAAAAACUCUACAAUUUUAUGCGUGUGGUCUUAUGAUCCUAUCUUUACAAUUUCCUUUCGUCUAUGACAUGCCAUAUGAAUUUGAGCGCAUACCCUAAUACACUUUUGUACAUAUGGCAUGCAUUGCAUGCCACCGAUGGCAAGUUAAACGAUGUGCCAAAACAAGGACAUCCUCUAAUAUGAUCAAGGGACUGAAGGCAGACCCAAUUUUUUAUAAAGAGGAUAACAAAUUAAGGAAACUACCAUGCUCCAAAAGAGUACUGCAUCUCCUUUAACUGGCUUUACAGACAAACCUCUGACAACUUUUCCACCACAGCUACAUUCACCUGAACCAGCCUGAAAUCACACACAAGUUAAAACACAGAUGAGCAGUGCAAAAUUCAACACAUAAUAUGUGCAAAGGUAAGGGUGGAAAGAAAGACCACAAAAGAAAAGGAGGAUCGAAAGAGAACUAAAGAUUGGGUUAAUUAUAUAUUUAAAUGUCACGUGUAGAAUAAAGUUGUUAUAUGGGUUGUGAGUGAUUUUUAUGUACCUGACAUAACAAAAGAAAAAGAUGAUAGUGUCAGGUACACUAAAAUUAUGUCUAUAUAAUCUCGAAUCAGGUACAUAAAAAUCAACGGUGAUGUAAAUUUAAAAGAAGUAUAACCCAAAGAUUGUAGAAAUAGGGGUUGGUCUUACUCCAAAAUAUCGUUGAAGCCAGGAUUUCUUAAAGGAGAAACCAAGGAGAAAACCUCAAAGCACAAGAGUUAUUAGAAUCUGAGUUAAAAUACUUAAAAUUUACUGUUCAAAUCUAUUUGCUUUGCAUAGGUCCUAUCUCUUUUUAUAAAGACAGCUUUAAUGCGACUUCAAGCACCCUCUUAGCAAAAAAUGACUAUUUAUAUUUACUAGAACUCACUUAUUAACCCUCUCAAUGACUCUUUGACUACCAAAACACUCUAAAUGACUCUUACUCCUCAUUCAAUGACCAAAACCCAUUGCCCAUGCAUCAUUAAUAUAUGCAUCAAAUGGAAAUCUACACAUCAACAAAAUGUCAGUUAAACCUGUACGGCUGAUGUGUGCUUUCAUGUCUAUGUGUUGAGUAAGGUAAAUAUUUAAAAUAAAAUAAAUUGUGGGAUUCCUAUAAUUUAAUCCCUUAAAUUGGAGGACUCUUACCACUUAAAAUUUCAUAAGUUACUGAAUUUAAUGAUGUUGAAGCGUAAUACGGAAUGAAACAAUAACAAAAAUGUACCUAUUGAAACCACCUAGUCACCAACUUAUUUAAGAAAAAUGGGGGACUUGGUUGUGGAUCCAAUUUCACUAAAGGAAAAACCUCAGUUCCACCAGUGCACCUGUCCCCUCCCCUACCCCAUAUUUCACUCCAAAACCAUGUCCGUUAUCACUAGUUCUGGAAGCAUGAAACCAUUAGGUAGCAAGUAAAUUAGCCUCCUUUUUUUCUUAUUUUCAUGUAUCCAAGUAAAAGAAGUGUUGUUUUUAGCAUUGAAACCUACAUAUAUGAUAUAUCAAGAACAACCGCAUAAAAAAGAGCAUCAAAUCAUAAAGACAAAUUACCAGAGGGAAAUAUGUUUCUCCACCCUCAACAAUAUCACUUAGAUACAUUAGAAUUGUUGCUACUCGCUGACCACCGCGUUUCAAGUUGAACUGUUAACAAAAACCCGAAGUAAUAUUUAGAUUCUUAAUGCUAACACGAAAGGAUUUAAGCAUGACUGCAACUAAGGCAUACUAAUGCUUGCAAAUCUAGGGUAAAGAAACUUACAGUGUCAGAGAAGUAGUCAUGAUGAGGUUUGUAAAACUGAUUCUUUUCGUACCUGUGCUGCUGCAGAUGUUAGUCUUGAUACUGAACUAUAUCACUCUACAUGUUCAUGAAAUUUACCAUACUCUAAAAUAAAUAAAAUCUUGACCUUAAAACUUGAAUGAGUUCGCCAUUUUCUACUGGUACUUGCGAAUAGACAGAAAUACGCUUUUCAAUUGCCUAAUAAGGAAGCGAAAACAAGGACAGUUAGAUGGAAUUCUGUUUGCUGUUUUACCGCAAAAAAAGAUUGUAUCUUCUGAAUCGGUACAAAUAUGAAGCUGAAUGUAAAAUGGAAGAGAAUUGAACUCAAAACAAAAACUAACCUGUAUCGUCGGGUACUUUUUCUCUUCAUGACUCAAGAACAUACCAGAGCUUGUACGAACACUACUUUUUAUUCCCUGGAAGAAAUUAUACAUAAUAUGAUCAAUAAUGCACUUAACUGGAAAAGAAGAAGAAUAAUAUUUCUUGUACUCAAUUACAAUUUGAUGAGACCCAUGUGCGAAAUUGGGUACUUCUCAAAAUAAUUUGGUAUACUAAAGAUACCAAAUCCAUAAGAAUAAUUAGGUCACUCUGCUAGUGCUAUCUUGUUGACCAAAAGUAACAGGUUCUCAUCCAACUAACAAAUUUUAUUAAAUAAUAAGGGAAGAUUUUACUGGGGGCAAAUCUUAUUUGGAAGGCCAAAGUAUCUCCUAAGGUACUGGUGUUAGCUUCGGUUAUUGCUCAUGGGAAGGUGAGUACCUGUUAUAUGGUUCAGAGGAGAAGAUCUUACUGGUGUCUCACACCUCACUGUAGCGAGAUGUGUAAAAAUUCUUUUGAGAGUUCAAAUCACUUGGGUGUUCUUAGUAUAAUCACUUACCAAAAUUUUGGAUGGAAAGGAAUGGAGGUGGUAGAUUCCCACCAAAAAUGAAGUUUGGGUGUCACAUUGCCAAAAAAAAAUUUUCUAAGUAACAAUAUCAAAGCAUUUUCUUAAUGCAUUGCAUAAAAUGCGCUAAGAUCCAUCAAAGAGUUGACUGAUACUUGAAGUGUAAGAUAAUAAGUAGGGUAUCAUACGUACCUUUCCUGUUUUGGUGUCCACUACAGUGGAGACUUCAAGGCGAGGGGAGGCAAUAGUUCUAAGAUUGUCACAUUCCUGCAAUGACCAUAAAUAUAUCCUGUAACUUCUUUUUCAGAUUAGAACAGUUAAAGAAUAAUGCAAGAGCUUUCAUAAAUCCACUAGCAGAAAUCAUUUUGACAUGUGCUUGCAAAUAUUAUUGACCACUCAGCAUUUGAAAGCUUAAGAUUAUUAAGCGAAUGUGCAAACUUCUAUCAGAAGUAGGGCACAGCAACUUUGUAUUUCAAGGUCAGAAAUGAUCCAUUGUCUACUGAUUUUGAAUUUGAGUGGAAAGGGGAGAGAGAUAAAUGGAGCAAGAUAGAAGAUAGAUAAGUCCAAAUUAAACAUCAUAAUCAUCUAAUAUUUAUUGCUGCAAUCUAGAAGCUUCCCCGACAUCUCUGCAGGGCCACUACACUUCUGGUACUAUGAACUCAGUUUUCCACUAGACUCUUGCUAAUUUUUCUGGCUCACCAAAAUCAUUAUAGAUCUCUUCUAGAAACAUACCAGCACUUGAUUGGAUUGCAUCAACUGAACUUACGUUUUUUGUUUAUUUGAAUAAGCUGAAAAAUAUUUACUUACCCCUCUAGUUCACUAGGAAAAGAAAAAUAGCAGCUAAAAGGAAAGAAAGCAUUUUAAAAAUCCAGUACACCAACUUGGCCCAAAGAGUGACACUCUGUCAAGGAUGAAAAUAUUGGCCAAUAUCCCGAUAUAUCCCUUUUUUUAGGUGUUGAUACAGAUACAGGGGGGUCAGCCUAUUUCUUCCCCCUUAUCGGCGAUAUAUCCCCGAUAACCCCUGAUAGCCUCGAUAUUUACCGAUAUUUCCCAAUACCAUACAAAUAACCCAGAAAUUUGUCUUCAGUUUUGAAAGUAAUCAUAGAUCCCAGCCACUGAAUCAUUGUCAAAAACCAAGCUCUAAUAUUUAGUAGCUUCUCCUUUAUUCUCUUCUCAGUCAUUUCGGCUAUCAUUGGCUCAUUCUCUCCUCUCUCUGGUUGCUCGGUUUCUUGUGUGUUUGAUUUUAUUUUUCACCUAAUCUUCUAUCUCUCAUUUCCUUUUAUCAUUAAGUCGCACUUUUGCAAUAUAAUGUUGGGUUAUGUAUAUGGGUUGGGUUGGGUUAAGUUUGAAUAAUGUUGUCUUUGUUGUGUUAAGUCUAAUUGUAUUUAUUUUCAAGAUUUUCAUCGCGCAUUAUAUGCACGUACAUUUCAUCAUAUGCAUAUCUUAUACUUAGUAUAUUUUGAAUUUUAUUUGUUCAAUAAAUUCAUUGAUAAUGUGCUUACUAUCUAUGAAAGUUUCACUUCAAAAUUCCGUGUUUUUAAGCCAAUAUCUGUCUUUUUUGUCGAUUUUCCCAGAUACCUAAAACAACAUCGAUAUAUCCCCGGAAAUAUCCGUAAAUUGAAGGCCCGAUAAUAUCUGUAUUGCCAAUAUUUUCAUCCUUGCACUCAGCUAGUAAAUUUUAAGUUAGUGAAUAUGACCUGUUUCUCAUUUCUCAUUAUAAAUCCCUAGUAAGCUUAAUUUACAAUUUCAUGCUGAAUAUUUUAUUUUGAAAGAUUAAUUUAAUUUCUUCAAUCCCUUUUGCUAUUAAAUUAUUAGAGUAACCUCUAAAGUCAAGCAUGCUGUAAAAGUAUCCUACAUCAAAUGUCAUUUCACAAGUAUAAAGACUAACCCAUUAAUCUAUCACGAAUUCACAAGUCAUACUUCCACAUAAGCAGGUUGUUCUGAAUACAUUCAGACAGACAUAGAUGUUAUGGGUUUGUACUUAUUAUUCCAAAUAAUUCCAUGCUUCAAUUUUCCAAUAUACCAACCUUUUUCAGCUUGGUAAGUUCCGUACGUGACAGUGUUUGGGAUUUAUUUUUUGGCACUUUAUAUUAUCAGUAGUAUCGUAUUUUAAACAGAAAAUUAGUUCAAGCUCAUAAAGAAUACUGUAAGAGUAAAGCAAAAACAAGCCAACAAGAAGAGGGUGAUGCUAUUAUAUGACAUAAACAUACCUCCAUGCUCAAGAAGUUAUGAAGUACAAUUAUUCGAGGGGACCAGCUAAUUAUUUCAGGUUGGACCUACAUUGACAGGAUAAAGAAAGAAAAAUCAAAUUCAACUUAAGCACUGAACAACCAUAAAAACAUCUCCAUCGUCACUUUUCUCAACCAAAAGGGAUGUGAAGAUAUAAGCUGGUGUUCUAAAAGUGGAAAUAGGUAAUUCUUGUAGGAAGGCAUAGAAAGGGCAAAUUAUGAGUUUAAAAAUUACAAAGAGAUAAAUUAGAACAUCUUCAUGUUUGUAUGCAGAGAGGGAGAGUGUGAGAGAGAGAGUCAUGGUUUUCUGGAAGUCACAUCCAAUAAUAAAAUAAAAGCCCUUUCUAUACUUCCUACCAAACUCACCCAGUUGUAGCCUCGAGCAGAAACAUUAAAAAGAAAAAGUACCAAGCAUAAGAACACAGAAUAACCACAAGCCCUGCAUUGAUCUUUUAACAGAACCACUGUAUGGUUUUUUUAUGAAAUAAAAUUUCUCCUUUUCAAAAAAAAAAAAAAAAAAAUCUUUUAACAGAACCACAUAGGCUAACAUACAGUCUGGAGUAUAUAUAUUCUUUUGUAUUGUGCUAUAUCAAGGGAACUUAUGUAUUUUAUCUUCUCUGUUACCAGAAUAAGAUGACUUAUGUGUAGGUUCUUUUCAUAUUUUGUUUCUUUGUUAUUGGAAACUAAAGAGAUAUUACGAUCAUACUUCAAAAAAUCCCAGAAAUUUAAAUCAUCAUGGAUUUCAGGUCUCUAAUUAAUGAUUUUUCAUUCUCUAGAAAAACAUCCAAUUUUCAUUGUCCUUUAUGUCAAAUGGUGCAUGAUACUUUUUCCAACAGGCAUGGGAUUAUCUUAAAGACUAGAAACGAAAAAUAAAGCUAAAUAUGCAAGCAUACAUAUCCAAGCCGUAAAAUUUUUGCUUCUUUGUCAUUGUUCCAAUGAGAACCUGAGAAUUCAAAAGAGAAGAAAAGCAAAUUAGAUAAGGAAAAAUGUUUGCAACACCAUAAUGAUCCUUUCUCAAGCUUCUUCUAAUCUGAGGAACAACUGGAAUACUAGAAACUCAGAGACACUUAAAAACGGUUAAUUCAUUACUAGUAAAUCUAUUGUGCAUGCGAUAACUCUAAUUAAAACGUCAAGAACAGAAAAGAAGACAUCAUGCAUAAAUAUAAUAAAUGGAACGCCUACCAUAUAAACAAUGAGUCAAAACAGUGUCAAAUACUAACACCUGAAUUCAAGCUUCAAGCUCCUCUUCGUACAUGCAUACGCAAAACUUUGUGAUGAAGGGCCCAAGAAGAAAAGUAUAUUCAUUUUAUGAACAAGUGUUUUAAAACGCUGAUCCAACCCAAGGGAAAUGUCUUUCCAUGGACUUCAGUUUGAUCCUCUCUCAAUCAGAAUCUUCACAUUUUGAAGAAGGUGGAAGUUCCAAAUGGGAUACCUUUUUUCUUUUCAAUUUUAAAAGAGUUCUAAUUUGAGUACUUUAAGUGCUUCACUGUGCACACCAUGUCUUUUCGGUCACAGGGAACCUUCUUUUUAAUUUGUUUUCACGUUUUAGGAAAGCCUUGGACUUGGAUUGUAAUUGUAUAGGACACCUUGGUCUUCUUCCUUAUUUUGUGAAUAAAAUUGACGUACUGUGGAAAAAAAAACAAAAAGAAAAGAACCUCAGUUACACUCGUUACUUUUUAAUUGCCCAAUAUGUCUUUCUGGUUUUCAUUUUUAGUUUUACUAAUAAAAUUCAAAACUAAGAAUAAAUUCUCAUUAAAAAAACUAAAAAAAUCUCCUUAGCCUCCCCAUGUUCUUGUUACAGAGCCUAACAACCCUAAUAUCAUCCCAUAAACUCCAUGAUAUUGUGUCAUUUGGUUUUUUCCUUGGCAUUACAAAGUUGUGUCUACAGAGAAUAUAACUGCAAUAAAUCAAAGUCAAACAUUUUAAAGACAAUGUAAAUAUCAAGUCCUCACCUACGUCCAAUUUUCUUUUUUUCUUUUUUCUUUUGAUAACUAAACAUCUUUAUUUAGAAAGGUCAGGGGGUAAAGAAAGAAGAAUAUACAGUGAAGAAAAAGAAAUCCACAAGAAAUUCAAGAGGUUAUAUUCAACCACACAGAGUUAUCUCAACAACCUUUCCUUUGGUGCUGAAUGCCAUAUCGUAAUGAAUACCCUACUUAAAUGCAGCCGAAUCAUAAUAUAAAUUAUGAAAAAUAAUAGAUUGACUAAAAUUAUUAUUUUCUAAUUCAAAACUCAAAUAAGGAACAAAUGUGGUGGCAUAUCUAUCUACCAAACAAAACUUGAUAAGAACCAUACCAACCUCCGGGCAACUCGAGAUAGCCAUCAUUUAGACUUCUACGCACUCUUCUAGGAGAUGGAAACUCGGAGCCUAAAAAGGACCAAUUUUAAAAAAGAUAAAUCAUGUGAUAGAAUAACAACAAAAUAAGCAUGAUAUAAAAUCAUCAAACAAAAUAACAAUAAAAAGAAAUAUGAUAUCACUUUACAAGAAUAAAACAUUACAAAGAAAAUGUCUUAGACUCAAUGAUUCAAUCAACAAUAAAAAGUCCUAAAAAAAUGGAAGAUUGUACAAUUUACUCAACUAAAUGUAACAGCUCAAUUUCUGUCAAAAUAGACCUAACAAAGAAGGAAAAACCCCACAGAAUAUUAAGCAAUGAAGAAAAUUAUACUUCCAAAGAUGUGCAGCAUAGCGAAGGUGGAAAAGGGACAUUUACAAACGGAAUAAAAGCAUGCCAGAAGAACAUUCAAAUUAGUAGAAUUAAAAGAAGAUCCAAAUCAGAUCUUUUAAAAAAAUACAUAAACUAAAGAUAAACGAAUUUUCUUCAGACAUUAUUCAUUUCCCGCAAUCAAGGUUCAACACCAUGUUACACACAAACCAGGUUUUAAUCUCUUGCAGGCUCUCAUAUGAUAGCUUCUAUGACUCUAGUAUCUUAAUCGCCAAUUAUUUUCAACUAUUGCUGGUUGAAUAAGAUAACAUAAUUUCACUCAAAAGCAUGCAGUGGAUAUAUCUCUGAAUGUUUGAUGCCAAGGAAUACCAUAAAAUUUGUACAUACUUGAAUCUUAAUUAUCCUGAAUCUCGUUUAAUUGUAUUAUUUUUUAUGACACUCUAUCCAAAAUUACAAUCCAAUGGAUCAGCUCUUAAAAAUGCCAGGCCCAGUUUGAAAAUUCUGUUUUACAAAGAAAAAUGAUAUAAAUAGAUGAAAAGGAUGCCCGUUGUUCUGCCAAAAAGACUGUUUCAAUCUGACUAAAAAGUCUGAUCCAUGUUAAGGUUUGCAAAGAGGAAAAAGAGAACCAGAAAAAUCUAACAUAUAUGAGUAAGAACUUCACCAUAUGCAUCUGUCAAGAGCUCUUCUACUUGGUAGAGAAAGAAAGAUAUGUCAAAAAAGAAAAAAGACUAACAAAGUCCCAACCAUGAGCUGAAUGUGCAAGUACGAGGGGAAUUACAAGAUAAUAUAUUUUUGUAUGAAAUUUAAUCAAUUGCAAGAUACCAUAUGACUCUUCCAAUCUUCGUAUAAAUGCCAAUUGAAACAAAGCACCUGCGAUUCAAAAAAAACAAUCAGAAGAUGCUCGCUUAUUGAAAAUAAAGUAAUUUAAAAUCAUUCAAACGUAAUGUCAAACUAACAGCUUGUUAGAAACCACCAACCAUUUAACAUGGAAAAAAAGAGGAUAGCUAAAAAUAGUCAUACAUUCAUACCCAAGAACAAAGAAUUCUUUCUUUGCAUGUAUUAUAUGAGGGUAAAGCGUAAGCAGUAAUCGUAGUGGGGUUUGUUUAGGAUAAUAGAUAAUAAUCCUCUCUUAAGGUCUCCAGGUUGAUCCAGGAGUCUCUAGAGGUUUUCAAAAGAGGCAAGGAAGACAGUUGAUAUUGGAAGGCCGGAAAUUCCCCAGACUGCAGCCCCAUGCCUACACCUUCUCUGUGCUCUGUGUGAUCCGCAGUACUAGGGUAGGGUGCAGUGCCAUUGCCCCACAUGUCUCUCUGUUAUUUCAAAUUCCUGUUUAAAAGGAGGAUAUCACAGGUUUCAUUUUUUAAGUUCUUCCAUUUCUUUCAUCAUUUUGAUCCCUCCAGUCCAACCACAGGGGUUUCUAAAGGUAGCACAUCUUGGGAUACACAUAUAUCUGCAAAGAUUUUAGCUGUGAGCUUACAACGCUGUGCAUAACUUCAAUGUUUCUAAUUUUUCCUUUACCAUACUUACCAAUCCGCAUAGCCAGAAAUCAAUGCAUCACAUCUCAACAAACUUCAGAGCUAGAUUAAUUUGACAAAUCUCGACCAAAGAUGUACAAUUUUUCACUCCAAAAUACUGCACUGAAAGUGCUGUCUAUAAAUUUUUUUUUUUAUUAUUCCUACCAAGAGCCCUUAUGAUAUGCCCUAAGAAUCCAAGUCCAAUGAACCUAUUUGUGGCGUUGGUCAUUCCUAAAGUUAUGAAUCUGCAUUACAUUAGUUUGAUUCCGAACCUAAUAUCCAAUACCCAGAUCAAAUCCAGAUAGGAGCUUUCUGGUUGGUUUUCGAGAAACCAAAGGAAAAUCAAGUUUUCGAGAAACCAAAGGAAAAUCAAGGAUAAUAAGAACAUUGGACCAAGAUUCAAACUUCCUCUUCGACUCCUACAGUUUUCUGGUUAAAUAGAAACGAGAUAUAAUCGUAGAAUCAACAUAUACACAAAUCAAUAUAAUGUAAUGUAUAUACAUGUACAUGUAUGUAUAUGAUCAAGAUAAUAGAAAUUUCUUUGAUGAUUUGGUUUUACCUAUAAUCAUUCCGACUGUGACAAACGUUAGCAGUCCGAAUACAAUCUUCAUCGCAGCAGCCAUGGCGUCAGUUAGAGAGAGAGAGAGAGAGCGAGAGGGAGCGUGCGUCUGUGUGGCAGCAAAAAGGGGGAAAUCUAGGAACGAAUUACUCUCUGAAGACCAUUGCUUGCUUCGGUUGAACGCCUUGUACUCUACACUACGCCGGGAUUAUCCAGCAUUUGUCAAAUGAGUUUUGAUGUUUUAGUCAAAGUUUUUUCUAUUGGUCAAGUUUUUCUUUUUUCUUUCAAGAGUCAACCAAAAUAAUUUUGGGCAAAAAAAAAAAAUACCCUUUUUUUUUUCAAAUUGACCAAAAAAAGUACUACAUCCCCCACCUCCCCUAAACUUCAAUUCGGGGUGAAGUUUGCUCGGGAUGCUAGCUUUUCUUCUAUACUGAUUGAGUUUGAUUCACAAGCAUUGGUAAAAUGACUUAAAGAAUAGUGGGGAAGAGUCUUGGGCAUUAGAUGGGCAUCUCAUUGAUCAUAUUAAGAAGAGUCUGCAACAAUUUGAUAGUGUUACUAUUUCUUUCAGUCCAAAGGAGUGCAAUCAAGUAGCUCAUCUUCUAGUAAGGCAUGCACUUAAUUGUAAUUCUAUUGCAACUUAGAUUGAAGAGGUUCCCCUCUGGCUAGGCCAAUUGUACAGGAUGAUACUAUUGUUUCCUCUUCAUUGUUAUCAAUGAAUUCCUCUUUUACAAAAAAAAUAAUAAUAAUUUUUUAAAAAAAAAUAUUACUACACUGUAAUUACAUUUCCAUCUAAAACUUUCUAUUACAUGGUUGGGGGCAUUGGAUGAGGGAGUACGAACAUAUGAUAUAAUUUGAACAUGUAUUAUAAUAUAAGUGAAUCUUUAUUUAUAUUAUUCUAAAAUGAGAAAUAUUAAUCAUGCCGUCCACCAAUAUUAUAACACAUACACAAAUUAUACCACGUGACUUACCUCAAUAUCAUACUAUAAUUUCUUAGACACAAGGACAACUUCACCCAUUUGCUCUUUACAAUAGCCUAGGCCCAUCUGUAGCUGCUGGAACAAAAAAGGCCCUGUAGGAUUUUCUACAACCAUUCAGGAGACGCCACGUGGAUAUUGGAAUAGAAGUCAAAUAAUUGUGUCAACUAAAUUCCCAUUUAAUUGGCCAAUUAUCAAGAUUUAAUAUAGGGGUAUCUUCAUAAAUCAAGGAUUUUAUUUCCAUUAAAUCUUGUUGAUUUACCCAAUCUCCUUAUUUACGGAAAAGAGUAAUUCCCUUAAAAAAUAAUUAUUCUCCCAUAAAUCAUACCAAAGAUGACAGAAGAUCAAAAAACUAUAUAAAGAUAACAUCAUAUCGCAUGGAGGUAACUUCUUCCAAACCCUAAACAAAAAACCCUAGGUUACACGUCUCUCUCUCUCUCUCUCUCUCUCUCUCUCUCUCUCUCUCUCUCUCUCUCUCUCUCUCUCUCUCUUCGACUCAUGCCGCCCACUCUCUUUCUGAAGAGAAAACACUCAUUUCCUUUCAGAAAUAUUUGUAUCUCCUUGAGACCAUAUUCUAACUUAGGCAUCGGAGGGCUCUUGGCUAACACCACAUCAGCCUUAAUUGAUUUGCAGUGUGCUUGGAGGAAUUCAUUCAAGAGAAGCAAGGAUCUUCUCCAAAUAUUCCCGCAGAGAACAUUUGCACAAACAAAGAGGUGCUUUCAUUGAGAGAUUUGAGUUAUACUCAAAGCAAGUCUCUCGAAUCUAAAUCAAGGGAAAUCUGUUUCCUUUCUAUCAACCAGUUUCAUCUGAAACCUUCAAAUCUCCAUGGUAGGAGGUGUUGUCACGAGGAGCAAGGCUGCCGUGACCAACAACUCCACCACGAGUUUGAGUCAUCCACAUGGUGCGAAGUCAAGCCAUCCGCAUGGUACGGAUUCGAGCCACCAUCCUCACGGCCCCAUUGCCAAAACCACCAAUCCACUAUAGCCAUUCCAGGAUGAGUCAAAGAAGCUUGCCUUUGCACUUGUUAAAGCUAGCACCACAAAAAUGGAAGUUCAGCAAAGUGGACUUGGUGCAAGCACUAGAAGUAGUAGCCAAAAUAGGCAAACAUGCUCCCCAACGUGGACAAACAGACAAGCUUUCUCAACUGCUAAAGUAAAUACACUACAGAAGUUCGAUGACAGAGUGCAGCUCUAGUUAAUCAAUCGUAAAUCCUAACUUCGAUUUGCGCUUGUUAAGGUUAGCACGACAAAACUAGAAGUUAGCAAUGUAGACAUGGUGCAAGCACCUCUUGAAGGUGACAAACAGGGUUCCUCCAAUUCUUGUAUUAGCCAAGAUUCUUAGUGCAUACAUAUAAUGAGUAGGGUAUUUUAUUUUAACCAGAUUCUUUUAGUUUCUUGCCUGUAAAACCAAUUUUUUAAUUCAUUACACUGUAAAUCCCUUUAUGUAUAUAGUUGAUUCAAUUGUCUUCUUCUUUAUGCAAGAUUGAGUUGUACUAUUGUAUUCUUUUCAAUGGAAUGAAUUUGAUUUGUUUCUUGAAAUAAUUUUAAAUGUGGGAGUAACAACCAUGACAUUAAUUUUUCCAAGAGAUGGCAGCCAGCCCUACAAGCAUCCACUCAAGGUUGGGCCUGUGAGGAGAUCAGCACCAAAGCCUCUUCGCUGAGAACGUGAAGGAAAACACUCACUGGAUUGUACCAAAUGGGCAUAUUCUAGUUCACGCGCCAUGGGACUCCCUUCACAAGCUCAUUCCACUAACAUGCCGCACUGGCAAGACAGCCAUCAAGAAUAACCCCUUCGACAGAAGUGGAGGUUAACUAGCGAUGCCGGUGUCGGGGACAUCCUCAACCCAAACCGCAACCUUUGCCAGUAGAGGAUAUUGAGAAGCUGGUGAACGAGUGACUCCGGAACCUAAAAGUUGAAGGAGACCUAGAAGACGCACUGUGUCGAGAAGUAGACCAGGUGAACACCUCAUCGUUCACUAACAAGAUUGAGACGGCAACUCCACUAAGGCAGUUUACAACACCUUCCCUUACACCGUUCAAAGGGGAUUCUGAUCUCGAAAUCCAUCUAAAGCAUUUUAGGAGUAUCAUGAUACUCUGCAAAGGCAAUGAUGCAUCAAUGUGCAAGGUGUUAGCCAUGACCCUGCAAGGAGCAGCUUAGGAUUUGCUCCACACUCUAGCGCUAAAGUCGAUCCACAACUUCGGGAGUUAGCUCCCAUAUUCACAAAGGAAUACACUUCAUAUCGAGUGAUCAAGAAGCAUUCUGAUCACCUUUUCAACAUAAACAAGGAACAUAAUGAAUCUCACCUAGACUUCAUCAAAAGAUUCAAGGCAAAGAAAUCCAAUAUAAUAGGAUGCGACAACUGAAUCGCAUCUUCAGCUUUUAAGAAGGGCUUACCUACCAAACACAAGUUGUAUCGCGAGCUAACCAUGGCUCCAAGUCAGACUCUGACUAAUGUCUUCGCAAUGGCAGAGCGCUAUGCUCUUUGGGACGAUGAUUGGAGCACUGCGAAAGAACCAUGCAAGCAAGUUGACCAGCCACAAAAGGAAGC